UACAUAAAUAGAAUGGCAUAAUACUAAGGAUAUUAAAGUGAUUAUUCCAUAUAGAUGACUUCAAAAUAAAAACACACAAUCGACAAUGUCAUAAUGCCUUAGCUAUUGUGAAGCUCGUAUACGAACAAAAAGCUUGUCAUUUAAGGUGAGAUUCCAUGUCUUUGGUUAUGCCAUUCAUGAUCUCAAUGUAUUUGUAUGGAUAAGGAGAGCUGUGAUUGAGUUUCUCAUAUUCUAUGGUUAGAAUGGCCAAGCAAUGGUUGGGAUCAUCACCUUUUGGCACAAACUGAUAAAUUGGGAUGAAUUUUUUAUAGUACUUGAAUGCACUUCCUUCUAAUCCAAUCAGUGUUACUUUUCCAUUCACAUCAUCAAAUUCCACUUGCUCUUUCAAAACCUCCGGUUUACCAUCUUAACACAUAAAAAAAAAAAUUAGAAUAUGAUAAUAUAUUGUGUAGAGACGAUCAUAUAUUCAUUCAAUAAAUAAAAGAAAACGAAAUACGUUUAAGAUUUUAAAAGUAUAAAAUAGAAUGAAAGCAAAAGUACAAAUAGGGAAAUAAGAAAUGAUGGAUUGUUGUUGAAGGGUUUAUACAGAUACGUACCGGCAAAGUAGUUCCAAAUUUUGAUAGAGCCAUGACCAUGAGUGUCCCAAUCACCAUCAUGAACAUCAACUUGUUGAAUGAAUUUUGGUGUAAUAUUUGGCAUAUGCUUACAGUUAUCUUUGAAGAUUUUGUAGCAUUUUUCUGCAGAUGCAUUUAUUGGUAAUUCACUCACAAGUUUCCCACCAAGAGACAUUGUUUCACUUUCGAUAGAAUGCUUUGCUACAAUGUCCAAUGGCUUGCCCUUCUUAUAGGAAUCUCCAUUAUACACAUCAUUCAAGAUAAUUUAUUGUUAUGCUGAGUAAUAUAAUGCCAAAUAGAACUUAUGCCUUAUUGAUGUCAAACCAUCUCAUUAAUAAUUUUGAAUUUCACGCGUAAUAAAAGAUAUUAAGAUUAGAUUAGUUUAAUAGUAUAAAAUUAAUUGUCCAUCAAUUAACUAAUAUUUCUAUGAAUUCCAUAUAGAUUCAAUACUGAUACGAUAAAAAAUAAAAUUAAAAUGUUCACUCAGUUUGGAUGUAAUUUUACUUAAUUUAAAUUUAUUUUUUUCAAAAUAUUUAUUAAAUUUCACUCCUUUUCGAUGUAUUUAUUUAAUUGAAACUCAAUAUUUCCAUCAACAAUAUGUCAAAGUGGUUGGGUAAUUACAUCUAUAUGCAAUCUAUCAAAUUCUUCAAUUGUAGUUGGUCACUUGCAUCCUUAUUAUUUAAGUAGGGUGAUUUGUGUGUAUGGUGAUAGUUAUAAAUGUAGUCUAGCAAACAUUUAAAUAUGAUUAUAAAACAUACAAGUAUCCAAUCUCUAACAAAAAAAAAAAAAAAAAAAUCAUCAACAAUGCCAUAUUGAUGGUCUAUAAAUAAUAUACAUAACAUGAUUAACAGUCUAUGCAAAAAAAAAAAAAAAUGACAACACUAUAAUAAUCUCGAACUAAUAUUAUAGAGAAAGUAUUUGUCAAUAAAUAGAACUUUUAACGACGUGAUCGAUUAGUAUUCACAUACAGUGUUUAAUUUAAAAAUAAAAAUAAGUUAUUUUGAAAAAAGUAACGUUUAAAAACUAACUCAAAACAAUUUUAAAUUAGGAAAUUAACUGGCGUGAAUGACAAAUUAAUAGUACAAUAUUUAAAGUUUGUUGUACACGUUCUCAAUUUUGCAAAUAUGAUAUUUUUUAAUGCAUAGAAUUUAUCGAAUGCAUUAAGUAUAUUAAGUAUAUAUUAGUGAUGUAUCAUAUCAAGAAUAUCAAAUGCAUCGUGUGUAUAUUAAAUAUGUGUUAAGUGUAUAAAGUGUAUCUAUUUGUAUUUCUUUCUGUAAUCUCGUGGAUUGGUAUCGUGUUUUGCCAUUUUUGCAAAAAUAAUAUUUGUGAGCUAUAUUCCUAAAUUUUAAAACUUCAUUAACUUUUAAAUAUUAAUUCUACAAGUUUUAAUCAACCAUUUUAAUGUUUAAAAGUCUAUAAGAUACAUUUGCAUUUUUAUAUUAAAUAUUUAAUCCUACCCGUGUUAAAUAUUUUAUUACAUUUAUAAAGUAUUUUUUAAAGAAAUAUUUUUAAAUAAAACAAAAUAAGAUAACUUAUUUACAAAUAUAACAAUAUUUUAUUUUUAAUGUAUGAUAAACAAUGAUAAACUUCGAUAUAUAUCUAUCCUUUUUUUAGCAAUAGACACGAACAUAUAUUUAUUUAAGUUUUUCACAAUCCAUACUAAACAUAGAAAAUAAAAUUUUGCAAUAUUUGUUAAUGUUUUCUAACAAUUUACCAUUAAAAAGAAUUAUAUAUUUGUAGAAUGGAGGAAGUGUAAUAAAAGGUGAAAAUAUAAUUCUUUGUUUCGGUUGAAUUGUACUUUUUUUUCCAUUUUGGGAAUUAUCAAUAAUAGAGUUAAUCCUUAUAUUUGAAUUGCGCUUCAUUAAUUAAGUUAUGAUGUCAAUUAUUCUAUAGAUAUUAAAGGUUAUUCUCAAUAAUUUAAAAUAAUAAUGAUUUUAUAUCUGAAAACAGAUAUAAUUGCUUUUUCUUUUAUACUUGUAUCACCUAACCAAUAUUAUUGCAUGAAUAACUUUGUGAAAUUAAUUGGUAAAACAUAUAUAUAUUUAGAAUAUAUGGUUAUAGCCACAUAUAUAUUUAGAAAAUAAAAUUAGAAGAUUAUUGGAAAAUUAUCAAUAGACAUAGGGUUGGUUUGGAAUUGUUUUGAGUGAGUUCAAUGCAAUUGAUGUAUCCAAACUUUAACCAUUAUAUUUGGUAUGUUUGGUUAUAUAAUUAGAGAAAUUUAUUUAGGUGAUGAAAAUUUUGAAACUAUUUAUAAACUGUUGUAGGUGAAUUUUAGCCAAUUAAAAGAGAGUCUAUGGGAGCGCGUAAGUGAGCCUAGUGAUAGCUUAGUGGACUCAUGAAGUGAGUCUAGACGGCCUCAGUGGCAGUUCAAUGGACUCAUGUGGUGAACCUCAGUGAUCUCUGUUUACAUGAGGUUUCGAAGAAAUGUAAUUCGUGGAAUUGAAGUUUGUAUAUUGAUUAAUAUAGCGGAUACAAUCUCUAGUAUUUACUCAUUUGAUGUUUUCUCUCGAAUACAAGUUAAAACUUAGAACUUCUUGAUCUUUGGUAUUCGGGACGUUGUAGUUGCAAGUCAAUUUAAACUUCGAUCUUCUGAAAUCCAAGUAAAGUUUCAUAUUUCAAGUCUUCAAUCUUUCAGAAGUUGUUGAUCUCGAGGUUGAUACGAACUUGCACCUCUUGAGAGAUUUUAGAAGUUUAAGUCUUCAAUUCUUAAGUACUUCAGUACUCCGAAGCUUCAAUUCUUCCUUCAACAAAAGACCCCCUUAAAUGAGUGACAAAUGUCUCUAUUUAUAGAGAAAUUUCAUGGACUUUAGGUGGGCUUGGGCGUAAGCCCAUUUUCUUGUUGGGCUUGGACUUGGACUCAUUUGCUUGUUGGGCUUGAGCUUGGGCCCAUUUGUCUAUAGGGCUUGAACUUGGACUUGAGUCCAUUUUCUUAGCAGGCUUGGGCCCCCUUGUUUGGCUCAGUUUUUAUUAGGGACUUGCAUUGGGUUGGAUAUGAAAAAACUUGAUUACCCAAAAUCCAAUCAAAUUAUAAUCAUCACCAUUUUGUUGUGAUGACAUGAAAAAAUUUAAUUGGCCGAAAUUUCUUGCUCAACAAUCUCAGUGGUAGCUCGAUGUACCCUUAAAGUGAAAGUAAGCAAGGUUAAUAUAAAAUAUGCUCAUUUCGGUUAAGGAAUGAAUAAGUUAUGAUCUUCUCAAGUUGGAUCUUUGAAUCCGGAAAAUUCUUGGCAAAUUUGUGAAAGUUUGAUUUUUAUUCCUUGAGUAGGAAUCUUUGUAUGACAUCUUUAGUACGUCAUAUUAAUAUGGCAUAGAAGGAAAAUAAUAUUUUAACGUUCUAAUGCUCGGUUAUGGUUUGUUUAUUAGGUCAAGAAAAAAUAGACCAAGUCUACAGACGGAGGUUCUCGCCAAGACUGCAGUAACAAAAAGAAUUUCAAUAGUGAUUUCCAAACUUGUUUCCUAGCCAAAUUGUUUUAACAUACUUUGAGUUUAUUUAUUUCUCUCAUCAAGUCCCUCUAUUUCCAUUUCAUCUUGUUUCCUUCUUUGUGUCAUGGUCAUCAGCAUCAUCAGACGUGUUUGAUGAUUUGUAUAAAUAUAAGUUAUUGCAGCCUUUUCUGUAAAAUAAUGAAGUCUUAUAGCAUAAGAAUAAAAACAAAAGGAAAAAGUAUAUACUUCGAUUAACUUGUAUAGCGCAUCCCGUAAAAGAACUUUGUCCCUGUUUUAUCGCGCUUUUAGUUUUCUUUAUCGCAAGAUAUAAGCAAAAAAAAAAAAGAGCUCGAUGAUAGAAGGCUACACUAGGAGAAGCAUCCAACCAAUGCGAUGACAAGCAACUAAGCUAGGUGAUCUGAUGCACUAGCAGAAAAAAUUGAUUUGACGUGUAUUAUCAGAAAAAGGACGAAAGGUCGUAUAUGCCGCGCUGAUACAUCCUAUCAGAGACAUUAAUGAAGCAUGAGCUGCCUAGUCACAUCAGUCCUCACAUAUAAGUAGAGGUUUGAUAUACUUCAGAGAAUAGGUGUGUAAUAUUGGCGGGAGAGCAAGUUCAUGUCAUCCAUCCUUUCUUCAUCCCUUGAGUUUUAGGUGAGAGUUAGAACAAAAAGAGAGAGAGAAAGUUCUUCCCCACAACAUUUUCCACUCUUAGUCAUGCGAAGGGAAGGAGAGAGAUAAGUUAGAUACUCCUUUUUAUAAGACAGUUAUUUGACGUUCAAACCUCUCCUUCUUCAUCUUUUUGAGUAUUUUUUAGCUUUUAGCAUCUCUCCGGCUUUGAAAACAAGUUCAAUAUCCUGGAGGGCUGAUCGUCUUAAGCCUUAAUCCAAGAACGGUUACGUGGACAACUGAAGGGCUUGAUGCAUUUCUCUCUAUCCUACUUUUUGUUUUUAUUGUAUUACUAUGUAAAAUGCACUCUAUGGUCGAAUGGCCUAAAUUUUUAUUUAUAAUAGUAAUGCAUUUCUUCUUCCAUUCUCCCAUAUUUCUUUUAUUAUGGAGAAGUCACGACGUCAAUUAUUCUAUAGAUAUUAACGGUUAUUCUCAAUAAUUUAAAAUAAUAAUGAUUUUAUAUAUGAAAAUAGAUAUAAUUGCCUUUUCUUUUAUACUUGUAUCACCUAACAAAUAUUAUUGCAGGGCGCCCGAGAUGAAAUUAAUGGGUAAAACACAUAUAUAUUUAAAACAUUCGGUCAUAGCCGCAUAUAUACCUAGAAAAUAAAAUUAGAAGAUUGAAAAAUUACUAAUAGACAUAGGGUUUUGGUUUGGAAUUGUUUUGGGUGAGUCAAAUGCAAUUGAUCUAUCAAAACUUCGACCAUUAUAUUUUGUAUGUUUGGUUAUAUAAUUAGAGAAAUUUAAUUAAAUUAUGAAACUUUUGAAAAUAUUUAUAAAUGUUGUGGAUGAAUUUUAGCCUACACAAGGAGAACCUAUGGAAGAGCCUAAGUAAGCUUAGUAACAGCUCGAUGGAUACAUGAGGUGAAUUUACGAUCUCAAUGGUAGUUUGGUGGACUCAUGAGGUGAACGUAAGUGAUCUCAAUGGUAGCUCGAUGGACCCAUGAGGUGAAACUAGGUGAGUUUGAUAUAAAAUAUAAAAUAUUUUGGUUAAGAAAUGAACAAGUUAUGAGCUUCUCAACUUAGGUCUUUGAAUAUGAAAAUUUUUGGGCAAAAUUGUGAAAGUUUGAUUUUGUUCCUUAAAGUUGGAAUCUUUGUAUGACAUCUUUAGUACGUCAUAUUAAGUAUAGCAUACAAGGACAAGAAUAUUUAGGGUUCUGAUACUCAGUUAUGUUUUGUUUGACAAGUAAAAAAGGAAAUAGACCAAGUCUACAGACCGAGGUUCUAGCCAAGACUGUGAGUGUAACAAAAACAAAUUUUGAUAGAGAUUUCUAAACUUGACUACUAGCCAUAUUGUUUGAACAUACUUUAAGUUUAUUUGUUUGAGAUGCAUCGCAAUUUAGCAAGCUAUUUUAAAAGUAUAUGAUUUAAAUAACUUAUAAAGUUUAAUUAAACAUACAUUGUUUAAAAUGAUUUCUCGUAAAUGAGUUUAUAGUUUUGAGUAUAUGAGUUUGUAAGAGUUUUAGCAAAGCAUGAGUUAUAAAUUUAUAGUUUGCCAAGAGUAGAGAAUUUGCAAACAUGUAGUGUUUAUGUUUUCCAUAAAAAGAAAGUUUAUAGUUUUAAAGCAUGUUUUAUUCUAAAUCAACACAUAUUGUACCUUGAAAGGGCAAGAUUAUUACACACAUAUAUAUAUAUUUGAAACAAGGACUCCUAUCUUAGAGUUUUGAUCGUUAUAAUUGAGAUUAUUCUACUAUCGAAUUAGAGGUGGAUUUGGCAUUGAUUUAAAUCUGGGAGUUUGGCUAGAGAUCAGCUCGGGUAAAUGGUAACUGGCGCGUGUGGCUCAAUCUGGGAGUUUGGCUUGCGACGGUAGCUUGCAAAAGAUAAUGAACAGAGGUGGAGAUGUCAUCAGAGUCUGAUUUCAUACAAUGGAGAAACAUCGAGACCGAUCUUCAGUUUCGAUUUGUUCCAGUUCGGGACACACGACCCGAAGGAGAAUCACUUUGCGCUUAAACUUGGCGGAAAAGCUCGGUCGACAACGACACUUUGCGGGUCUACUUGAUGCGAUGAAAAACGUCUUGAACGGAGCAUCGCUCGACGGUGAACGAAGGCAGUUAGAGGCGGCAACGGCUAGGGUUCUUUGAAGGAAGAAGAAGGUGAAUAGUUUGGCACGUUUCAUGAGAUGAGUUCUUAAUAUAAACAAUAAUAUUAUUAAUAACAAUUAUGAACCGGAGCACUUGCAAAAAUAGUAAAAUAAGUUGUAAUAAUUAAGUCUAUCUCACACACAUUUUAUUAUUUAUAAAAAUGGCAAAAAUGAAGUCCAACUCACACAUCAAGAGGUAUAAUGUCACAAAUGCCCUUGUUACUAGUAUACGUUUGAUACACCUUAUAUACGUCUGAUACACCAGAUACACCAAUUGAUAUACUCGAUAAAUUUGAUUGAUAUACUUGAUGCACCUGAUACUCUUUGAUACACUUAAUACCGAAACAUUACUAAUAUAUGUUUGAUACACCUGAUACAGUGCAAAUACAUUUUGUAUUAUUCACCUAUUUUUUAAAGGAGGAAAAAUUCGGAUGGAUAUUAUUACGACCAAUUCAUGGUACUGUUUUCAUCGCUACAAGUUUAUGACAAAGUGGGUGUCCUUCGACAUUAACGAGUUAAUCCUACUAAUUUUAAUGAUCCUACUAAUGAAGACAUCAAGUCGUAAAAAAUAAAAAGGCGGAUUGUAGAGUUAUUAAAAUCUAGUUGUUUAAAUUGUUAGAGUUAGUUCUAUGUUUAUUUCACAACACUGUAUUUAAUUUGUAAACUAAAGACAUAUUUGAUUAGUAUGUUAGGAUCAAAACAAAAAAAGUAGGCAAAAACUUGAAUAUCAUAUCUUGACAACACAUAUCAUAAGCUUAAAAAGUAAUAUAUUAUAUGUAUUAAUAAUGGAGCUUCAUCAAUUUUACAUAUAGAUGACAAUUAUUUAAUGGAAGAUGUGUGAUUAAAAUACAUAAAUAGAGUGGCAUAAUACUAAGAAUAUUAAAGUGAUUAUUCCAUAUAGAUGGCUUCAAAAUAAAAACACACAAUCGACAAUGUCAUAAUGCCUUAGCUAUUGUGAAGCUCGUAUACGAACAAAAAGCUUGUCAUUUAAGGUGAGAUUCCAUGUCUUUGGUCAUGCCAUUCAUGAUCUCAAUGUAUUUGUAUGGAUAAGGAGAGCUGUGAUUGAGUUUCUCAUAUUCUAUGGUUAGAAUGGCCAAGCAAUGAUUGGGAUCAUCACCUUUUGGCACAAACUGAUAAAUUGGGAUGAACUUUUUAUAGUACUUGAAUGCACUUCCCUCUAAUCCAAUUAGUGUUACUUUUCGAUUCACAUCAUCAAAUUCCACUUGCUCUUUCAAAACCUCGGGUUUACCAUCUUAACACAAAAGAAAAAGAAAAAAAUUAGGAUAUGAUAUAUAUUGUGUGUGGAGCCGAUCAUAUAUUCAUUCAACAAAUAAAAGAAAAUGAAAUGCAUCGUUUAAGAUUUUUAAAAUAUAAAAAUAAAAAUUAAUAGAAUGAAAGCAAAAGUACAAAUGGAGAAAUAAGAAAUGAAUGGAUUGUUGUUGAAGGUUUAUACAGAUACGUACCAGCAAAGUAGUUCCAAAUUUUGAUAGAGCCAUGACCAUGAGUGUCCCAAUCACCAUCAUGAACAUCGACUUGUUGAAUGAAUUUUGGUGUAAUAUUUGGCAUAUGCUUACAGUUAUCUUUGAAGAUUUUGUAGCAUUUUUCUGCAGAUGCAUUUACUGGUAAUUCACUCACAAGUUUCCCACCAAGAGACAUUGUUUCGCUUUCGAUAGAAUGCUUUGCUACAAUGUCCAAUGGCUUACCCUUCUUAUAGGAAUUUCCAAGGUACAAUUUAUACACAUCAUUCAAGUUAAUUUAUUGUUAUGGUGAGUAAUGCCAAAUAGAACUUAUGCCUCAUUUAUGUCAAACCAUCUCAUUAAUAAUUUUGAAUUUCACGCGUAAUAAAAAAUAUUAAUAUUAGAUUAGUUUAUUAGUAUAAAUUUUCAUCAAUUAACUAGUAUUUCUAUAGAUUUAAUAUAGAUACGAAGAGUGAAUAGAUAUUUCAAUAAUCCUACUGAAAAAAUAAAAUAAAAUGUUCAUUCAGUUUAGAUAUAAUUUUACUAAUUUAAAUUAUUUUUUUCAAAAAUAUUUAUUGAAAUUCACUCCUUUUCCAUAUUUUUAUUUAAUUGAAACUCAAUAUUUCCGUCAAGAAUGAUGUCAAAGUGGUUGGGCAAUUACAUAUAUUUUAUGCAAUUUACCCGAUUGUUCAAUUGUAGUUGGUCACUUGCAUCCUUAUAAUUAUUUAAAUAGGGUUUUUUGUGUGUACGUUGAUAGUUAUAAACGUAGUCUAGCAAACAUUUAAAUCUGAUUAUAAAACAUAAAAUUAUUCAAUCUCUAAUAAAAAAGUCAUCACCAAUAACAUAUCGAUGGUCCAUAAAUAAUAUACAUAAAAUGGUUAACCAUAAAAAUGACAAUUGAGUAAUAUAAUAUAAAGAAAGUAUUUGUCAGUGAAUAGAAUAUGUUUUAACAGUGAUAGAUCUAUCAUUCAGAUAUAAGUAUUAGAAUACUUAUGUAUGUUUGAAUUAAAUUUUCAAUUUUUAAAUUUAAAAAUAAAUUAUUUUCAAAAAAUAAACCGUUUGAAAACUACUCAUAUUUUUUAAGUGUAUUUUAAACAUUUUUCACCAAAAUAAGAUAACUUAUUCAUAAAUGUAACAAAGUUUUAUUUUGUAUGCAUGAGACAAUGAAAGACUUAGAUAUACAUCUAUCACGUCUUUUCUUUUAACAAAUAGAUACUCACAUAUAUCUAUUUAAGUCUUUCACAUCCAUCUAAACAUAGAAAAUAAUUUUUUUUAAUAUUUGUUAAUAUUUUCUAACGAUUUAUCAUUUAAAAAAAAUGGUAUAUUAAUGGAGUGGAGAAGUGUAAUGAAAGAUAGAAAAUAUAAUUUAUUGUUUAAGUUGAAUUGCACUGUUUUUUUUCCUUUUUGGGAAUUAUCAAUAAUAUUGUUAUUCCUUAUAUUUGAAUUGUGCUUCAUUAAUUAAGUCAUGAUGUCAAUUAUUCUAUAGAUAUUAAAGGUUAUUCUCAAUAAUUUAAAAUAAUAAUAAUUUUAUAUCUCAAAACAGAUAUAAUUGCCUUUUCUUUUAUACUUGUAUCACCUAACCAAUAUUAUUUGCAUGAAUAACUUUGUGAUAUUAAUUGGUAAAACAUAUAUGUAUUUAGAACAUAAGGUUAUAGCCACAUGUAUAUUUAGAAAAUAAAAUUAAUUAGAAGAUUAUAGAAAAAUUAUCAAUAGACAUAGGGUUGGUUUGGAAUUGUUUUGAGUGAGUUCAAUAUAAUGCAAUUGAUGUAUCCAAACUUUAACCAUUAUAUUUUGUAUGUUUGGUUAUAUAAUUAGAGAAAUUUAUUUAAGUGAUGAAACUUUUAAAAAUAUUUAUAAACUGUUGUAGGUGAAUUUUAGCCAACUCAAAGAGAGUUUAUGGGAGAGCCUAAGUGAGCCUAGCGUCCAUGGAUUGAGUCUAGAGGUUGUUCAAGAUUCAUGAAGUGAACCUCAAUGAUCUCAGUGGUAGUUCGAUGUACUCUUGAAGUGAAAGUAAGCAAGGUUAAUAUAAAAUACGCUCAUUUUGGUUAAUGAAUGAAUAAGUUAUGACAUUCUCAAGUUGGGUCUUUGAAUCCGGAAAUUUCUUGGCAAAUUGUGAAAGUUUGAUUUUUAUUCCUUAUGUAGGAAUCUUUGUAUGACAUCUUUAGUACGUCAUAUUAAGUAUGGCAUAGAAGGAAAAGAAUUUUUUAAGGUUCUAGUACUCGGUUAUGGUUUGUUUGACAAGUAAAAAAGAAAAUACACUAAGUCUAUAGAUCGAGGUUCUAGCUAAGACUGUGAGCGUAACAAAAACGAAUUUCAAUAGAGAUUUCUAAACUUGACUACUAGCCAAAUUGGUUUAACAUGCUUUAAAUUUACUUGUUUGAGAUGCAUCCCAAUUUAGUAAAUAGUUUAUAAAGUUUAAUUAAACAUACAUUGUUGAGAAUGAUUUCUAGUAAAUGAACUUAUAGUUUGAGUAAAUGAGUUUAGAAUUGAAUUUUGAGUAGAUGAGCUUGUAAGAGUUUUAGCAAAGCAUGGGUUAUGAUUUUAUAGUUUGACACGAGUAGAGGAUUUCCAAAUACGUAGAGUUUAUGUUUUUCAUAAAAGGAAAGUCUAUAGUUUUAAAGCAUGUUUUAUUCUAAACCAAGACAUAUUGUAUCUUAAAAGCGCAAGAUUAUUACACAGAGGAUAUAUAUAUAUAUAUUGAAACAAUGACUCCUAUCUUAGAGGUUUGAUCAUUAUAAUUGAGAUUACUCUACUAUCAAAUUAGAUGUGGAUUUGGCAUUGAAUUAGCUCUGUCAUUUUCAAGGGAUUUGUUUAUGGUAUACAGAGGAAAACUAGUUUGAGUAUCUACUUAAAAUGCUUUGCAAAGAUUAAAUUAUUUAGUGUGAUUUAUUGAGUUAAACUAUUUAUAAAUGUAUUGAUGAGUUUGUUACUUAAAUGUUUAUAACAUGAUUUGUUUUAGAAAUCUAGUCACUCAUUAGACUUUAUAGUUCACCCUUUCAAAAUGUUUUCUCACUUUUCAGAUAGAGAUCGAGUUAUCGGCGGUUGACACUCUGCCACAGUCUAUUAUAAGGUCUCAGUUUUAUUUCCAAUGUGUGGGUAGAGUACUUCUGCUUAAGAGUAUGUAUAGUUCCCUAAGUUUGAGUUUUGUAAAUACUAGUGGGGUAGUGGGUGUUAGUCUUGUAAAUUGUUAUACUUUGGUUGUAAAUAUCUUUAGCAAGUUUUGCAUAUAUCUUGAUGAGUUUUAGUUUGGGCUACACUAUUGAAUAAGAAAUUUUGGGCGAAUCACAAAUUGCCACGUCAUUUACUAAAUUAAUCAUGAAAAAAAUACAAAUAAUUAAAUUUGGGACUAAUUAAAAAAUUGGCAUGAAUGUCCUAAAUUAAAAUUGAAGACAUAGAUUGGCCAAUUCUGGUGAUGUCACAUAUUUUCAUUAUGACCGUUGGAUCAAGUUAUUUAUUUUGAUCUAAUUAAAUAUUAUUUACUUAAACUAAAGUUCAAUUGAGCCAAGAAAAAUAAUAUUAAUUUAGUCCAAAGGCUAAAUAUGACCUAAAUUCAUGUGGUUGAGCCCAUGGUUUCGAGUCCAUGGACCAACCAGGCCAAGCCCAUAAAGUCCGUUAAAGAACUCUAUAAAGUCCGUCAAUAGUGUUGUUCUCUUCAUUUGUGCGGUGGGAAAAUUUUGAGAUCAAAAGGUCUAAAGAGAAUUCUCCUAAGAGUCAGAAGACACCUAACUCUUGAAGUCGACCACCCUAAAAAGUUGAAGUUUCUUUGAAAAUACAAGUUUUCUUUCAAAACUCCAACUUUAAGAACGCCACGUGCUCCGUUUUCUCAAAUCAAGCGUAGGCAACCAACCGAGAGAGAAUCAAAGAAUCAAAUACCAAAGAUCGAACAACAUUUGUAUCAAAUGAACACAAAUACAAUAUCAACACAAGUUCAACUCUAAGAAUUAAAUUUCUCUAGAAAUUUCGUGUGAACAAAUUGGCACACCCAGUGGGACCUCUCUACCUCUCAUCUCUCUCUCGUCAUCCAAAUCUACAAGCAAACAAUGACAUCAUAGAAAGUUACAUCCAAAGCAACUACUGCAAAUGAUGCUUACACUAGACUUCUCACCUAGAGUCACUCAAAGGGGAGCAUGCAAGAACAAGAACAAAGUUCAGUCCUCACAAAGAAAAGUUGGGAAGAACUGAUAGAAUCUCCUAAACGCAAGAUCAUCAUAAGAGCAAAUCCCCUGUUCAACAACUCUACUCUUUCUUUCGAUCUACCAGAGAAAGAAUCAAACCUUAAAGUAGUGUCUGUCAUGAUGGCUAUGUAACAGUCAAGGCCAGCCAUCAUGACGAAGAUGGAGAGAAAAAUAAAUUUCUUAAUGAAAGCUAUCAGGGAGUGAGAUCAUGAAGUCGUUGACUUGAAAGAUCAAAUGAAGGCUUGUGAAACUGAUGAGUCAAGUAAAACUCCUGCUUCAAAGCAAAAGAUAAAAAAAAAGUUGUGUUGCAGGAAAACCAGACGCAAUAGUCCAUCGCUGUCACCUCCCUAUCAAUUUAACGAUUGAAAUAUGAUAACAAGCGCCAUAAGAACUCAAUAUGGAGGACCGCCACAAACUUAUUUUAUGUACUCCAAGUCAUAUACCAAGGGAAUCAAUGACAUGUGAAUGUCUGUUGGGUACCAACCUACAAAAUUCUAACAAUUCGACGGAAAAGGCAAUCCAAAGCAACACAUUACUCACUUUGUUGAAACAUGCGAGAACAUAAGAUCAAGGGGAGACCAACUAGUCAGGUAGUUCAUUCAAAGUUUGAAAGAAAAGGCUUUCAAGUGGUAUACCGAUCUGGAGCCAGAAAUCAUUGAUAGUUGGAAAACAACUGGAAAAGAAGUUUUUAAACCGAUUCUACAUGAGUACCAGGCACAUCGUACGCAUGUUGGAGUUGACAAACACCAAACAGUGGAAGGGAGAGCCAGUCAUCGACUACAUAAACCCAUGGAGAGCUCUAAGCCUACAUUGCAAAGACCAGGUUCACAGAACUGCGUGUAAUGGAGAUGUGCAACCAAGAAAUGCAUUGGGAACUUCUCUAUAUUUUGCAGGAAAUAAAACUCCACACGUUUGAAUUGUUGGCAACUUGUGCUCAUGAUAUGGAACUAAGUAUUCCCAACAAGGGAGCAAAAGGUUUCUUGGUUUACGAAAUGAGGAAUGAUGAGAAUGAAAUCAAUGAUAUUGAAAAGAUUGGGAGUAGUGUCACAAAAUAGUCUAUGGUUGUUCAUGAGACUUCAUUGAAAUCUUUCUCCAAAAGAGAAUAAACAAAAAUAGAAAGAAAACAUGAUGGUGAAGAGAAGCAUCGCCCCAACUCGUAAAGAAAGGCAGAAAAAAGUUUAUCUAUGUUCCGACUCUGAUGUUGCACACAUGUUAAAGUAGUUGCUAGAGUAGUUGCUAAAUGAUCAACUUAUUCAAAUAAAUAGUUUAAAUAAAAUGAGUUUUUUCUUUUAAAUUUCUUUUUCAGUCAAUCCAAAUAAUUCUCAAAUCUACCCCUUAAAAUGAGCAACAAAAAAAAAAAUAAAAAACAUAUAUUUAAAUCCAAAAUUUGUCCGCUAAAUAUAACAUACCCUUAAAAUUUUAAAUUAUGUAUAAUCAUGUAUUUAUUUAUGUGUCAAAUAUAUUCAAAUUUUUAAGUCUUUCAAAUUUAUUUUCUUCAAAUUUUACUCGAUUACGAAGAUUCAUAUUUUUUUCAUAAAUAAAAAAAAAGAUAAAACAAAGAUGAAAAAGAAAGUUUUAUUUUGUUCAUUUAUUUUUAUUCUUUGAAUCAAAAUGUACCGCUUCUCAUUUUUUAAUUGAGGAAACAAAAUAUUUUUUUUUUUUUCUUUUACAUAUAAGAAAAAGAAAUUAUAUAUAAUUUUUCUCAAAACAAUAACAAAUUUCCCUAAAUACUUUGAUUUAAAAAAUUAUUAUUUAAUACAUCACAUUAUAAACAAACUUUUAUAAGGGGCUGAUUUUGUUCCAUCUAACUAAUUCAAAUUAUUUCUAUCUUUAAUUUAUUUAACUCGUCAUCCAAAAACUAUUACAAUAAUUUUAAAAAUAUUUUAAAAUAGAAGUAAAAGUAGAAGUUUGAUUUUCGUAAUUUUGAAAACUAAAAUUAAAGAAAAAUAGAUGUUUGUUAUUAUUUAAACAUUUAUUUUAAAUAAAUAUUAAUGAAGAUUUUUUGUGUGGUUUAGAUGAGGUACACAAUUAAGUGGUCAAUAAAGAUGUGAAAGAACUAACUAAAGAAAGAUAAUGCAAAAAAAAAAAAAAAGAGAGAGAGAGUGUGUGCUUUUCCAUUUUUUUUAACUUCAUAGAUAAAAAAAUAAUUGAAAAUGUGAAAAUCCUCAAUCAAUGAUUUCAUAUCGGUCAAACGUGUGGACUGGCAUAAAAUGCCAAACCAAUCCAAGAACAAUAACUCCUCUUUUUUGUUAUUUAAGAUUUUGCUAUAUUUAUAGAUAUCUUUAUUUUUUUUGUUAUUUAAAACCAUUUUUGUUUUAAGGGAUUGCAUAGAAAAUUAAAAGAAAAAAAAAAUCAAACAUCUAUAUUGGGUUUAUAUUGCUUUAUUCAUUUAUGCUUUGUAAUGACAGUUAACAAAGUAUGAAGACAAACAAUUCGUAAUGUUGAAAUAUAUUUUAUAACGAAAAAAUCUACUACACUUGAUUAUUUCUGGUCGAAUAAACGUACUUAUAAUUUUAUACUUUUAGAUAACUUAUAUCGUUAAGUUAAAUACUUAGGAUUUAUUUACUUUGAACUCACUCGUGCUCGUGACACCUUUUCUAUUGUAUUUGUUUAUUUAUUUUUAUGGAAAAUCUUACUUUUGUUUAGAAUAUACCAAAAGAUUUUAACAAAAUUCUAUAAUAAUUAUUACAUUAUUAUUCAUGUGUGUUUAUUUGUAAUCAUACAAAAAAAUUCACUCUUGAAAUUUGAUAUUUUUUAAAGGUAAUUUUAAUUUUGUUAAGAGCAUCCCAACAAAUUUUAAUGAAAAUUUAAAAGAAGUAUUAACAUUAUUUGUGUUUGUUAAUUUAUUUUGUCAACUAUUCAAAUAUUUCUAAAAUUGAUUUAUUUUUUUAAAAUGAGUAGAAUUUAAUUUUUAAGAAAAAAUUAUAUGAAAAAAAUUAAGAAAGAAUACAAAAUUUAUAUGAAAAAAAAAAGAAGAAAAAGCAAUUGGAUAAAAAUGUAUACAAAUAAUUGAAAGAAAAAAAAAGACAAUAAAAUUUAUAUGAAAAACAAAGAAAUUAAAAAAAAAAAAUGGAAGACUCGCCCAAGGAGAGAGAAAAAAAUUACUACAUUUUCGUAAAUAGUUUUCAAACUGCUGUAUUUUGGUAAAAACUUUUAACAAUAACAAUAUUUUAGUUAUUAAUCCGGUUUUUGUCUUUUAGUUUAAUAAUUGGUUUCACUAUCAACAAGGUGAGCUUGGUUGAGUCGGUGAAAAUUAAUAAUUCAACGUUCUGUCCAUCAACCAUACUAUUGAAGUUGAGUUGGUUAUAUUAAUUUAUAUCAACUUAUGUCAAUCCCUUUCAAUGUUUUCAAAUAUAAUAUAUGACAAUUUUACCAUAAACGACUAUCGCUACCACAAUUCGAUGGCAUAUAUUGAUGACCAACAAUUCUCGUGCCAACUUUAGUAAUCAACUCUCAGCUUCAAAAACAAAUAUGAUGUUAAUCACCUGGUGAUUAACUAUGGUGAGAAUCAUCGUCUUUGAUUCCCAACAUUGAUAGUCAUCUCAAGAUACCAACGUAACUCUAGUGAAGUUUUGUAGCCAAGUUUGACAACCAUAUGAGGUAACAAAAUUGAAUCAUCAGCUCGUCAUUUUACGAACUGUCGUUGUAGAUAAAUUAUUGGUUAUGUAAAUAAUUACAUUACUUGUCUACACCAACUACAAUAAUUACAUGCAGAAAUUGUAAUGUAUAUCUUCACUUAUCGUGUUCAAAUCUAAGUGUUUAAAAUCUUGAAAAAUACAGGUAAUUUGAGGAAAAAAAAUGCUAUCGAUUUUAAGUUAAAAAAAAGAUAAAGAAAAAAAGAAAAAAAAAAACUCAAUUAUGCACUCUUAACUUCUAUAUUUUUUUUGAAAAAUUGUCCAAAAUAGAAAAUUUGACAAAAUGUUUACAAUAUAUAAUAAAAUUUUCAAAUUCUAUCAAUAAUAGACAUUGAUAUAACCACUAGUGAUAAGAGUCUAUUAGUGUCUAUCGUUUGAUAGCAUUCAGAAUUUUGCUAUAACUUGUAAAUAUUUUAAUUUAUUUUGUUAUUUUAAAAAAUGUUCCUAUUUUUUUCUCUAUAAAGCAUUACUUUUACCGAACAAAAAAAAAAAAAGGAAAAAAAAUUAUAACUUUUCUCAUAAAGUUAAUAGAAUAAUAGUACUUUUCUUGUCAUCUGUAUCACUUGUCAUAUCUACAUCAAUAUAUGCUUAGAGUUUAAAAUCAGAUCUUUUAAAGCGUCGAGCAUAAUCAGUUGUACCACUCAGAUAUCGAAAAAUCCACUUUACGGCUUCCAUGUGUUGUUUCCCUUAAUCACUCAUGUACAUCCUAGCCACUCCCAAAAAAUGUGCAAUGGAAUAAAUCAAAAUUUGCCUAUAGUUGAAGAAUAUGACACUCUCCCCAUAUGAUAUGUUUCUUGCCGAGAAGUUGGUGAGUUCUUAGAUAAUUUAAAGUGACAAACUAAGGGAGUACUCAAAAGUUUUGCAUUUUCCAUGUGAAAUCGAUUCAACAACUUUUUCACAUACUGUUCUUGUGACAGUGUCAAUGUACCAUCUUUCCUUUCAAUCUUCAUCCCUAAGAUUUGUUUAGUAGCACCUAAAUCUUUCAUAUCAAAUUGUUUAUUAAAUCAACUUUUAUCUUUAGAAUUUUCUAUUUAUAUGAACCUACUAUUAACGUGUCAUCAACAUAUAACAAUAAUAUAAAGUAACAAUAAUUUCUUGUCACUGUUAUUGACAUACAAAGUCCUCGACUUGCUUCAUCGACCAAUUACUAUGACCCCUUUUAUUACCCUUUUACUUUCCCUUAUCAAAGAAAACAUUGCAUCCUUAACUGUCUAAGCGUCCUGCGGAAACAAAUUUUCAACAUAUUUACUCUACAAGAAAAGUGGCCUAUUAUGAAAGUUGUAUACAUCUCAAAUUGAAAUGAGAGAAGAAAAAACUGUCAAAUGCCAAAAUCCGCGUUUUUUACGGGAAAAGAUAGGACAUUUUCGGAUUUCAAGAAUUUAUGACAGUUUUUUUGUGUUAUAAAUCUUUGAUAACUUUUAACUGUCAUGAAAUAAAAAUAAUAAAAGAAUAAAUAUUUAUUUUAAAUUAAAAAAAAACAAGGAAAGAAAAAAGGGGAACUUUGUUUUCCAUUUCCCCCAAUUUCACGAAGAAACCCCUUCUUCUUUCUUUUUCUUCCUCUUCCAAUCGCACGAUUCCCCUUCUCCAUCGCAUGUCGUCAAUUCCCCACAAUGGUCUCACACAGGUUGUCGAUUCCCCUCUUCCACUAGGCUCCUCCGUUCGGUGAUAACUCAAGGUGGUUAUUGCGGUAAAGGCUUCUCUGUCUGAUUCUUCUUUGCAACGUUCUUUUCUUCACAAUCAUCUCACUCAUAUCAAAACCCUCCUUCGUCCCCCAUCAUUGUGCCCUCUCUCAGCCACUGCCCUCUCACUCUCCAAAUCGCCGGUCAUCUCCUACCUUCGUUGUCGAUGGCGGUCUUUUAGGUAUUUAUGGAUCUAAUCUUUACUCUUUGUACUUUUCUUUGAGUAAGUCAUCCCAAAAAAGAUGGUUUUAUGGUAUUUGAGUAAAGCUUUACGCUAUUUGCUAAAUUGCAAAGUGGUUUCUCGACACAAAAUCCCAUGGUCGAAAUUUAAUAAGAAUAAAGUUCUUGCUCCUGCCGAUUUUUUCAAUUAAACUUGAAACUCAAUUCUCAACAUUGCAUCUAAGAUAUGUCCUUCACAAAUUUUUGUAUUUAUUCCUUAAUUUUUCUAGUUUUCUGGCCAAAAUGCCCAUAAUUUUUCUGAUGAAGUUUUCAUAUUCAAAACAUGUCAUUCUCAUCAUUUUUUUUGUUGAGUAAAAUGUUUGCUUCUAGAAAGGUAUGAACUCUUUUUCUAUGUUCAAAAUAAACUUACUUUUUAUAUAUAUCUUCUUUAUUCUCAUGACAUUAUCUGUUAAUCAGUCAAAAUAAAGUUGCUAUUUAUAUUUAAGGGUAUGAACUCUUUGAACAAUAUAAUAUGUCAUCAAAUUAAAUUAUGAAAGUUAAUGCAUUGAAUGGGUCUAUGUUUGCUAUUUUUUGAGGGUAUUACUUUUUUUUCAAUGCAUAUGCGUUGUUUGCUUUAUUGUCAACCAUGCAAACAUGCUUUAAUUUCACAUGUUGUUAAAUGAUCGAAGUUUUAAUUAAUUGGUAUCCUAUGAAUUUCUUUGAUUCAUUGCACUGUUGAGUAAAACUUGAUUAUUGAAUGUACAUGGAAGGAAAUCAUUUUAGAAUGUUAUUAUAAUGGAAUUCUGGUGAACUAGAUUUUACUUUGCUGGUUCUAAUUUUAUUAGUUAACUUUCUUUUGAGGUAGGGGAUGACCAUUUGAAUAAAAUUUUGAUUAGUCAAAACAUAAUCUUGAUUGUUUAUGAUUAGUUAACAUGUUUUUGCUUGGAGAAGGGGGAAUUGAAUAUGGUUUUAGAAAAUAUUGGCUUUUUGUUGAUACUUAAAUCAUAUUCUUAGUGAUGGUGCCAGUUCCUUCCCAUUUUCCUACUUCGCCUCUCUUGUGUGUGUGUUUACUUUGAUCAAUUAAUAUGGUACAUAUCUGGUGGUAUUUUAUUUAUGUUAGUGAUUUUGGGAUCUCACGCUUGAAGUCACAAGCAUUUCUUUCGUCAAAAUCACCUGUUGGGACUGUAAGUUAUUGUGUUUGUGGCAUUAUUCCACACAAUAACUGUAAGAUGUUUCGUGAGUCUGGACAUUUUAUUAACCUACAAAAAAGACUGCUUCCUAUUUAUAAGAUGUUUAUUUGUGCUUCACUACUUGUGUUCUUUAUGGUAGAGAAUUGUAUUGACUUUCAUGGGUAAAGGAAGGAAAACUUGCGAUCUUGAACAAUUAGAUAAAUCUAGUCUUCUUUCCAGAAUGCAAGUUUCUACUUCCAUCUACAAAGGUGUUACUGUUAGAGAGAAGUUUCUAAAAUUCCUACGUCCUUUCUAGUAUAUAUUUUGAUUAAUCAAGCCUACAGUUUCUCUGUAUAGAAUUGUCUUAGCUUUUAAAUGGUUGAGAACUUCUUAAGCAAUGGAUAUUAUAUAUUUCUUUAGAGAUGGCUUUCAAAUCAUUUUUAUGGUUAUUGAAACUGUAGGGAGGGAGGUUCUUUCAAUUUCUAGUGUUUAUAUUAGAACUCGUAGUUAUUGUUUAUGGUAAACCAUUAGAUCUGGCUUGUUCCUUGAAAAAGCUUUUGGCUAUUGAAAUUUGGCAAGACUGUCUUGUAUACAUAAAAGAUAGUUUGUAUUGUAAUUGUUCUUGAAAUAAUGAACGGAUACCACUAUUCUAAUUAUAUUUCAUACCACUACUAUUUUUUUUUUUUUUUUGUUCUUUCCCAGCUCCAUAACAUAACAUCACUCAAGUCUUGUGUGUAGUGAAUGCAACUAAUUAAAAUUAGGUGCUUGUCUUGCAAUCUUUUUACAUAUGCACUAUUUUCUAACAACACAAAUUGGGCAGAUUUUCAUUCGAUCCUACUGAAACAUUGGGGUUAAAUGUUGCGUUGUGCUUCUAUACAAUGUAUACUUUGAUUUCCUAAUUAAGGUAUAUUUUUCUUCACUAUCUUUUAGAGUUUUCAAAUCGAGAGAAAAAAUAAUUAAUUCGAUCAUGACAUUGGAGAAGGCUAAAGAGAUUGUGGCUUCUAAUCUCGUCAUGGUCUUCAGGUUUCUCUUUCGUUCUUUCUCUUGUAAGUAUUUUUUUCCUAAUGAUUUUUUCUGAUUGCAAAAGUGGUUGGUGUUUUUGUGUUCUUUACAGCAAGAGUUAUUGUCCAUUCUGCCGUCCAGGUGAAGAGAUUGUUGACUAAACUAGGAGUCAGUUUGAAGGCUAUUGAAUUGGACACUGAGAGUAUGUAAUAUAUGUUUCUGUGUUCUAUUGCUUGCGGAUUUAGGUUCCGUGACAAUUUCAUUGUUUUUCUUUUGUAGCCAAUCGGUGAAAUCAUGAUUACUUUGUGAUUUUCAGAUUUUGUAAUUUAACUUGUUUGUGUAUGUUUACAAAAAUAUUUAUUUUUUGAUGCAUAUUCUUGUUCUGAUUCUUUAAGAUAAAGGAAAACUUUCAAAAUGAGAACUCUAAGCAUUACUCUCUGAUAAAUAUUUGGAAUUUCACAAGAGUAAUUCAUUCUAACAUUUUUUACUAUUUUGUUUCUUUCAUAUGGUAUAUUGUUUUUCUUCGUAUUUGGAGACAUGUAAGUUUUAUCUAAUUAUGACAUAUGAUUAACUAAUAAAAAAACUUGUUCACAUAUCCACAUCCCAAUGUUCGCCCUCCCUCUCUCAAGAAGUUUAUAUAAUGAGGUUUGUUUAUAUUGUUAUUAACACCAUUCUAGAAUAUGAGUUUUAGGCUAAACAUGUAAUCAUCACAAAAAGGUUGGGCUUAGAUAUUUAUAUCUCCUUACGCUAGAUUCCAAGUGUUCAUUUUUUAUGCAAGAUACAACUACUUAGGAUAAGUAAUGCAUGAUGAAGUAUGUUACUAUUAUACUAAAGUCUGGUGUCUAAUUUUGCAAAAAAGUUCGACACAAAAAUGUUGUUUAAUUCAUUGGUGCUUGUACUAAACCUCCAAACCUCUGUAUUGUAACAAGUUGUGAUAAGUGAUAAGUAAAUGGCUUCAUAUGUAACGUUUCACUUCUAGAAACUUUGUUUCUUUCCUUUAUAAAAAGUCCUCUAUGAUUUGAAAUGCCCUCUCGUCGUGGUUAGAAUGUUUGAGUUGAAUCAUAUUGUGUAGUGUCAUUAUGCUUUAAAACAUUAUGGCGCGUGAAAGAUUAGUAUCACUCACCUGUGGAUUGUUUGGUAGGAAGUUUUGUGGGAUGAUUCUUCGUGGGUCACUAGAUGAUUGAUUUAGGUAUACAAACUUUCUGUUUUUGUUUGCUUGUGAAUUGAUUUUCUUUGAAACUGUUCUUUAGUCAUACUCUAAAAUAAGAUUUUAUUUUCUUACUAGGUUUGGAAGAAUCUAUUGGAGCAGUGAAGCUAACUUGGAGCAAGUGAUUGAUAUAAUAUUUUUUGUAUGAUUGGUAGCAAAAUAUUGAUUCCAAUGUACUGAUUUUAGGCUUGUUGGUAGCUAAAGAUGUCAAUGUUUAUUCUUUUUGUAUGUAAACUACCUUUUAACACAAAAUGGUUAUUAGUCAAUGGGUAUAUGAAUAUUACAAAGUGUAUUAUAGCGUAUAUAUAUUAAAGUGUCGACUAUUUGUUUCUAUAUGAGUGUGAUGUAUUAUAACAUUAUUGUCAUUCAAAUGGUUUGUGUAAUGGUGGAGCGACAAGAAGAACAUAGAAAAACUAUAGUGAUCGAAGAAUUUGCAACAAAAAAAAAUGUCAUAAUAUAUAAAUUCGUGACAUUCCUUAACUGUCGUUAAUAUUAAAACAAUGACAAUUUUUUUUAUUAAAAAACUGUCACAAUUGACAUAUAUUUGACAGAAAAAAUCGUCAUAAAAUAAGAAUUCGUGACAUUUUUUAACUAUCGUUAAUCUCGAAAAGAUGACAUUUAUUAUUAUAAAAACUGUCACGAUUGACAUAUCCUUCACAUUUAAAAAACGGUCAUAAUAAACAAAUUUGCGGCAUUUUUUUAACUGUCGUUAAUUUGCAAAUGAUGACAAUUAUUUGUUGUCAUAAUAGAAAAGAUGUCAGCAAGGUUAACCUUUAGCAUUUGCAAAUGAUGUCAAUAGAAAAAAUGUUUAUUCACGGGCAUUUGCAAAUGAUGACAAUUAUUUUUUUUAACUGUCGUUAAUUUGCAAAUGAUUUUAGGCUUGUUGGUAGCUAAAGAUGUCAGCAAGGUUGUCAUAAUAGUAGUUAACGACAUUUAUUUUCUGUCAUGAAAAAACUUAUUGCGACAGUUUUCGAAAACUAUCAUGGAAUGACUUUUCAUGACUCCCGAUACUAUAAUCGUAAAUAAUUGUCACACAUUUAGUUUGCGACAGAAAAUAACUGUCGUCAUAGACCAUUUUUGUUGUAGUGUUCCAACAUGACGGUACGUUGCAAAUUUUCCAAGUCAAACCAUUUGCCAAUUUUAAAUUCACAUCACUGAUCCCAAUGACAACCAAAGGUUCUCCAUCAAUAAGAUACACUUUUCCAUGAUUUCCUGCAACAUAAUUUUCUAGAACGUCACGUUGACGAGUAAUAUGAAAUGACACACUUGAAUCCAACAUCCAUGUGUCAUGAGAGCUUUGAACUGCCAAAGUCAGAGCAUCUUGAAUUUCAUCUAUAGCAAUAUUUGCACCAGCUUCAUUCUCCUCGCUCUCUUUUACAUCUUUGCAGUUCUUUUUCAAAUGUUCAGUCUUACCACAGUUCCAACAUUCAAACGCAGUCUCUGGACUUUCUUCUAUUCUUUCUUUUUGCUAUUACUCCUUCCUCUUUCCACUUUCAAUGCUGAACUAGAAGUGGAAGCAACACUUGAGUCUCUCUUUUGCAAGCGCAGAAUCUCUAACCUGUGAAAACUGCAAUUCACUUUACCACAUAAAUUAGAAAGUGCAGCUUUCAUGGUUUCCCAACUAUCAGCAAUGAUCUCAUUAACAAUAUAGCAUUCACUUCAUCACUAAACUCUAACUCAAGAGCAACUAAUUUGUUUAACAACAAAUCAAAUUCAUUUAAAGGGGGUGUGAUAGAUGUACCCUCCGCCAUUUUAAAUUAAAGAAUUUGAUUGCAAAAUUCGAUUGGUUGUUUACUGAAGCCUUCUCAUACAUGUUCGACAAAGCUGUCAUUGGUCCUGCUGUGGUCGUCUCCUUUUCUCUUUGUACAUUAUUCGUCAAAGUCAAGAGAACGGUCCCUAGCACCUUUCCGUCCCGUUCUCUAUUACCAAUGCAAGUUCCACUAAAAUAGUCAGAGAGAAUAGUACAAGAGUUUACAAUGCUUCAAAAUGAUUACUCUCACUUUUCUCUCUAGAAAAUACUCAUAUUACAGAGCUCAUAUAACUCUCCAUGGAAGAAAAAUAGCCACAGUAAACAACGCAAAAGGAAACUCAGUCGACAGUAUUUUUUUCUGGCAAAUACACAAACCCACAAAUAUGAGGAAGCUCUCGGGAACUCAUCCAUCUUCCACACACCAACCAUGUCAAUUUAAAGAGAAAUAUCCAUUUUCCAUAACAACACACCUCCACACCUCCAAUUUAGCCAAUCACAUCUAAUAAUUAGCUUGUUGGUUAAGCAUGCUUAAUGUGUAAGCAACAAAGAAAAUCAUGUGGGAUUUGAUCUUCACUGUAAAUGGGCUUGAUUUUGGGUUCCAGAUUUUCAAAUUAUCUGCCUCCCAAAAUUUAAUUUAUAGGAAUUUGAUUACGAACCAAAUGCCCGUGAAUGAAUGUAAUGAUGAAUUAACCUUGCUGACAACUCUCUAUUGAUCAUUUAUCUUAGGAUUUUGUUCAAUUUAUUUGGUUGCAUGUAGGUCUAUAUUUUUCCUGACACCAAGAAAAACAUAAAGAAAAACAAAUGUUGUCAGUUGUGUGUGAUAUUUGAGUGGAUAAUUUAUGUACAUUUUAGUAUGAUUUACAUUGGAUAUUCAUACAAACUAGUAGAAUGUAGCACCAUCGUUUUUUCAAUACCUAUAAAAUUUGUUUGUUUCAAGGGUCGAGAUUGGAUGAGUCAACCAUCCUAUGCGGAACCCUUGUUGUUUGACACAAGAGUUUAGGAAGCCCAAGACUUUCCACACCAAAUACUAUUCAAACCUAUGGAUUCCACUUUGUUUCUUUCUUAAUUUGAGGUAAGAACUUUGCAGGCCAACUUCAACCUCUAGUCAUCACGUUCGGCAAACUUUCUACCACCAACUCUGGCCGUCAUGGCCAUCGGCCAACUUCGAAAACUGUUUAUAAGAAUACUUUUAGCGUAUACAAUAAACCAAAUAAACAUGUUAAUAAAAAUAUUUCCAAAAACGAGUUGUCAAACACACGAUCUAUUCUUAUUUGAAAGAGUUUUUAUGAAAAGUGUCAAAAAUAAAAAUAUAUUUUUCAAAAACGUUUUUUUGUCUUAUAUUGUUAUUCCAAGCAUGCAUUUAUUUUAAUUACAAUAGUAUUUUUUAAAAUACACUUCCGUUUUCUUAAAAAAAUAAUUCUCUAGUUUUUUUAAUUAUUAAAAGUUUUGAAACAUCUACUAUUUCCUGUUGAGAUUUAAGAUGGAAAUAUUCAACAAAGUAUCAGUACUAUUGAGAAAAAAUGGUCUUGAGAUGCUACCUUUUGUUUACACAUCAAUUGGGGUUGUCCAUUUUCAUUUAAUAUGAGGAUGAAACCAAGUUUCCCCAUGAAAGGCUAUAAAUCAACAAUAUGAGUAUGAUUACAUUUCAAGAUGCAGAUUAUGUUGCAAAACGUCUAAUAUUCAUUGUUGCUCCAAAAGAGAAUAAACUUUUAAACGCGAGUCCUCCCAUUUUAUCAAAGACAGCUGGGGUAGUCUUUCUCUAUUCAAUAUACUUGGUCAAUCCAACUUUCCUUAUUGAAGUUUUAGUGUCAUCAGAUCAGAGCAAACCUGCACUUUUCAUACUAAAGGAUGUUCCUCUCAUUGGAGAUACUAGCCAAGAUGAUUAUAUUAACGACAACUUGGAGUUUUACAACUUAUUAAAACACUCUCCCAAUACAAUAACCAAUCCUUCCUAGAACUUGAUCCUAUAAUUAAGAUAUCAUUUCCAUCCUGGACCUUGAGAGGCAACUCAAACUCCUUACUACCUAGAGGGAAAACAAAACAUUAGAAAAGCAUGUGCUAAAAAGUCUAGUGAGUGCUAUUUUUGUAACAUCUUUAAUUUUAACUCUUAUUUCAAGUCCACUAGAAGUACGUAAAUAAUUGAAGGGGUAAGAGUCCUAGUAACGGAAAAAUUAAUUGAACCUAAACUAAAAUUAAUUGGAAACUUAAAAAUACCAUUGCAUUAGAAAAACAAUUACAUAAACAAAUUUAUAUGGCUAAGCAUGCUUUCAAAUUAAAUACAAAAAUUACAGAGAAGAACAGAAACGUAUCUCUACGACUAUGUAUUUGCCAAUCACCAAUUUUGGGGCAUCACCACUUGGAGACCUUCUUAUUCUUCGAGUUGAGAUUAGUUUGUGUGUGAACCAAAAAUGGAAAGAGAAUUUUUGUUAGAGAUAAUUUUUUUUGAGAGAAUACACAGAGGCAGAGGCAGAGUAUCGAUGAAAAACUUUAUCUCUCUUUGCCAUACAUUUAACUCCUUAAAGAAGAGGGAAGUUGGAGAGAAUAUGAAAGUAUUGGAAAACCACCGACGUUCGCUAUUAAUUUCAUAAAAUAAAUAAAUAAAUCAUAUUUAAUUAGUAUUUUAUUGAACUUAUAGUUGAAUGAACAUCUCUCAUAUAACCUAUGUAUAGUUUUAAUUUAAAAUCAAAUUAAACUAAUGAGUCUUUUAAAAAUCAGAAAAAAAAGAGACAAAAUAUUUACACCAUAUAAAAUAAUUUUGAAAAUGGAAAAAGUCCACAGGCCCACAAUGGAAAAUUCAAAAAAUGCACCGAUUAAUUGACAUCUGAACACGCGUAAUAUAUUUGGGAAACCAUCGUUUAGUAUUUGAGAAACAGUCGUUUAAGAUUUGCCUUCUCAAAUCUAAAUGAUCAAAUAUAAAUCGAAACGAUUUUUUAAUAAUUUAUUUUUGUAUACGAUUGUUUAGAUUGAUCGUUUAAAUUUGGGUUGUUCAAUCUCAACGAUUUUUUGAAAAACGAUUGUUUAUAUUUGGUACAUGAUCGUAGAUUUGGUACACGGUCAUUUAGAUUUGACCGUUUAGAUUUGAACAACCAAAUCUAAACGAUUUUUUUUAAGAUACUUUGCUACACGAUCGUUUAAAUUUGACUAUUUUUGUACACGAUCAUUUAGAUUCAAUAGUUUAAAUUUAGGAAGCCAAAUUGAAACGAUUUAGACUUGGCUUUCCAAUAUCCAACGAUUUUUUUCACAAUCUUUUAUAUUUGUCACACGAUCUAAACAACCAAACAAAAGUUUGAAAACAAAUAAAAAAAAUGAUAUUGUCUAAAACGACCUUAAACAUAUUGAUCAAUGCUUCCAAGUUCUCAAAAUCUUCAAUUUCUCAUAGAAACAAUAUGAAUAAUAUCAAGUUCAUGCUAAUACUAAAUGGAUUUUCAAGAACUAUGAGAGAACUCACUAAAUUUAUCUAAAACCUUAUUGAAAUCGCCUUGACAACACAUUAAUGGCUUUCUAAAUUUGAAUCUAAUACAAAAAACUAUUAUAUGUUUUGAGCUUAUGCAAGUAACCCCCAAGCGAAGUCCAAAGGUAAUGGAAAAUCUAUCUUCAUUCAUUAACAUUAAAUUCAAGGACCUAAGUAAGAUAGACAAUCUUAUCUAAAUGAAGCGAAACAAUAUGUUUACUUGGGUUAUUUAGGGUUGAACACAAGGAAGUAAUAUCAAAGCUUAGUUCUAGGGUCUACUUAUCAGCUAGGCAUUAUGACAAAUGAGUUAAAAGAAUAAAAAAAUAAUCAAAACUACCCAACUAUCCUAGAGAUGUUGUAAAGUUAAUUAAAAAAAAUGGUUGUGCAAUAAAGGAGUGAGUGAACUAACUUGUAUAGGGAAGGCGGUGAAGGAAUGUCUAAUACUACCAUGUGAAUAAGUUAUACGACCACCUCAACACGAUAUACCUCUCAUAACUAGUUUAUGAUUAAAGCAUGCUCAUUUUGGUCUCCUUUUGAAAUCUAAAUGACUAAACCUAGCUAAGCGAGUUGUAUCUUGUAGUGUUCACUUAUAAUACUUGGAGUUCUUUCCAUUUGAGAAUGACAACCUCUCAGCGCCUGGUGUCCACACUUGUUCACCUUUCGAAGUACAAAUGAAGGAAGUCAUCUCGCCAAAGUUGAGAAAACUCUUCCUUUCUUGUGUUAUAGCCACGUCCUUACUACUUACCCUCUCUGGCAGUUAGCAACAUACAUUGGCCAAAUGUAGAAUGUAGCUCAGCUAACGCAACAAGCAUUAUAAGCAAGACUACUUGUUAAAUAUGAAUCAUAAACCUAAACUACAAAUAACAUACAGACAGAUGAAUAGUAAAAAGAUGAAUAGAUUAAAAAGUGUAAAACAUACAAUGUAUUAAAGAAUGUAGGCCUUUGGCCACUAUACUGUUGGGAUUUAUGUCCCAAAACUCGUAGAUUGUAAAUAUAAUCCAUUGUCUGUUGUUAAUAAAGUGUUAUUAUUGUAAUAGUUAUUAUUGAUUAUAUUAUUAGUUUUAUCUUAAUAAUCCAAAUCCAAUAAACGAACAUCCGAAGCUGUUUAUGAGUCUUGAAUAGUAUGUAGAGAUAUACAUGGAUAAUUGUUUGAGAUCAGCUUAAAGGGUCUAUAUUAUAGGGAUAAGGUUGGGUACCUUAUCCUGGUAACAUUACAGAUACGACUCACUUUGUAUUUGAUACAAAUGCAAUGAUCCAACGCGUUCGUGUAGUUGACAUGAGAGUGAGGGUAUUACAAGCACUUUAAGAGAGAGUGUCCAUAGUUGAAGGCAUAAAUGCAGAGUGACCAGAGGGUCGAGUCCCUGUCAGUAAAGCAGCUGAUAGCUUCAGAAGCUUGAGGAUAGGAGACUAGUGGGUUAAAGAAAAAGGGAUUUGUGGAAAGGCAUCGCUAACUGGGCACAGUGUAUGCCAUGACUUAACAAGUGAGGCAGAAGACAUGUGAGAUGCCAUUACUAGUACAAUUCUCAUCUGUUAGUUUCUCGCUUAAGUCUUAUUUGAUCUAGGUGUUAUGCAUUCUUUUGUGUCUAGCAUUGUUUAUGAGUAGGUUGGGUAAGAAGUUAGAGCCUUUAGUGGAAGAGUUAAAUAUGUAUAACACAAUGGGUGAUGCAAUGGUAGUUACUCAAGCGCGUUGCGAGGUGUGAAGUGUUAGUGGAAAGUAUCAGCUUGCCAAUGGACAUUUUUCCACUUGAAUUACAAGAGUUAGAUGUGGUACUUGGAAUCAAUUUCCUAUAUGCACAUUUUGCUUCUAUGGAUUGGAACAUGAAAGUAGUAGUUUUCAUAAAACUAGGAUUUCCAAAAGUUGUGUUCAAAGGCCUACAAAAAGUUGUUUCAAUUAGUUUAAGCUCAGUUUUGAAAGCUAAGAAGUUAUUAAGGAAAGGGUGCCCAACAUUUCUUGCACAUGUGUUAAUAGUGCAACAAGAGAAGUUAAGGCCAGAGGAUGUUUUAGUGUGAGAGACUACAUGUAUAUGUUUCUAGAGGAAAUAUCAGGAUUGCCACUUGAUAGAGAAAUAGAAUUUAUCAUUGAGUUGUCGCCAAGGAUAACACCCCUCUCACAAGCACCUUAUAGGAUGGCUUUGAGGGAGCUAAGUGAACUAAAAGAACAACUUCAAGUGUUGGUUGACAAUAGAUAAAUUGGAUCUAGUGUAUCACCUUGGGGAGCAUCAAUUUUGUUUGUCAAGAAGAAUGACACUCUAAGGUUGUGCAUAGACUACUGAUAGCUGUAUAAGGUCACAAUACCUAAUGAGUAUCUCCUACCACGUAUCAAUGAUCUGUUUGACCAGUCAAGAGGUACAAUAGUAUUUUCCAAGAUUAACUUAAGAUCAAGCUAUCAUGAGUUAAAGGUCAAGGAGUCAGAUAUUCCUUAAAUAACUUUGAGGACAGGGUAUGGCCAUUAUGAGUUCUUAGUGAUGCCAUUUGGUCUGACGAAUGCGCUGAUAGUGUUCAUGGAUCUCAUGAAUCAUGUUUCCAUCUGUAUUUGGCCCAGUUUAUGAUAGUAUUCAAUAGAUGAAAUUGUUUUAUAUUCUGUGGAUAAAGGAGCCUAUUGUCACGUGUGAAAUUUUGACCAAAAUCACCUCCAUAAUUCUGCCAAUACAUGCCCACGACUCCCUUAGUAAGGCCAAGGGGAGCCCCAACGUGGUUCUAAGACAGCCCACAGGUGGCCACAACACAUGCCCACGACACUAGCGGACACCUCUUGAGGAUAGCUCACAUGCUCCGCACGCGUGCCAUGAUGAUUGCCCAUGAUAGCACAUAUGUUAGCCCAUGUGCACAGCCUCAUGGCACGUCCAAAUGCCCAUUGAUAUGGCCAUAGGCACCAAGCACCAGCACCCACCAUUAGGCCCAUGUGCACAGGCACAUGCACAUGGCCAAGCAGCUAGCCAAACACCCGUGCGCAUAGCCCCACGCGCGACCAAGACAACUACCCACGCACGCCCAUGCAUGUCAUGUGUGGCACCAUGCAUGUGCACCCCACCAUGCACGCAGCCCCUGGGCGUGCCCAUGCCCAACCAUGUGCGCAGAAUCGUGCACGCAACCCACGCAUGCUAUAGGUGAGCACGUCCUCCUCCACACUGACUCGUGUCUACCCAACGUCCAUAUGCCCCAAAAACCUCCAGAAGCUACCAGAAGGCCCACAAACAUGCCCAUCUGCGUGCUGGACCAUCCAUGCUAGACCUAGAUAGCCUAGAAGCCUCUAGAACACUUAAGGCAGUUCUGGAACGUGCUAGAAUGGUCGCAAAGCACCCAAGAUGAUCCCAGAACAUUGUGGAUGACGCUGAAACGUGUUGGAACACUCUAGAAGGCUACUUUGAAGGUAAUAAGUUUUAUGAAAGGUCUAGUCCACUUUAUAAUGUUGUAGGCUUCCUUGUAAUGGGUGAAACACUUAUGUAACCUCUAGAAUGUCCCUUGGCAAACCUUCUAAGGCCCUAAGUCGGUUGAGGAGAUCUAUUAAUACUUGAGGAGAGACUCAUUUGUACUCACCUUGCAAUUUGGCAUGUAUUAGCCAAGCAAGUCAACCUUGCCUCAUUCUAGUCCUCUUGCACAUGGUAUCCCCGUGGCAAAGGACUACAUAUUUGUACCCAAUGUGUAUUCUUUCAUUCUUGAAAUGUAAUGUAUCAUUCCCAAGAUGUAUCCAUCGAAGCUCCCUUAUUCUUCCAACCUUUCUCAUUCCUUGCAAUCAUCUCAACCUUUCUAAGAUGUAUCCUCUUGCACAUGUUAUCAUAGUGCUUGGUGCACUACCUUUCCAAAUGGCUUACUUGGCUAUGUGGGCGCUGUAAUUAGACAAGUGCUGCAUAUAUGGUUAGCUUGAGAAACUAACCACGUGACACUAUGUAGAGCAUUUGAAAAUCAUUCUAUAAAUACUGCAUGGUGAGCAACUUUAUGUUAAGUGUAGUAAGUGCGACUUUUAGCUAGAUCAAGUUAUGUUAUCAGGACAUGUGAUCUUAAUAGAAGGGUUUAGUGUGGAUCCAUAGAAGACAGAGGCAAUUGUUAGGUGGGAAAGGUCGACUAGGGUGACUGAAGUAUGUAGUUUCCUUGGUUUAGUAGGAUAUUAUAGGUGGUUUGUUGAGGAAUUCACUAAGUUAUCAUUACCUUUAUCAUCCUUGAUUAGAAAGAAUGUUAAGUUUUUUUUGUCAUAAAAGUGUAAGCAAAGCUUCCGAGACCUAAGAAAGAGGUUGGUCACAUGCCUGUCUAAACACUUCAUGUUACGAGAAAAGAGUUACAAUCUAUUCUGAUGGUUUAAGGCAAGGUCUUGUAUGAAUGCUUAUCUAAGAAGGGAAGAUAAUAGCUGUUGUUUCGAAACAGUUGAAAAAGCACGUUCGUGACGGUAGUAUUUGCUUUGAAAAUAUGGAGACACUAUCUAUGAGGCCCAUGUUUGAAUUAGAAGAGCUUUAAUCUCUAAAGAAGGUAUUUUAGUAGAUUAAAAUAUUUGAAGUUGGCAUUGAAGGUAGGUGAUGCGUUGAUGAAAGUACACGUCCAAGUAAUGAGAAAAGGAUCAAUUGGGCGUUUUGGUGUAACAGGUUCAGAAAGUUGAUGUUGAAGUGUUUUUAAAGCAUUUUUUCUAAGUUUUGUGUUGUAUUUAUGUUUAACGUGUAUUGUAUGUUGUUGAUGUUGAUGUUGUUAUUUGAAAAGAAAACUAAAGAAGUAGACUCUGGCGAUAGAACGAUUAUGCAAGAAGACACAUAUGAUCAUUGUGGUAAUAAGCAAUUAAGCUAGGUGAUCUAAUUCACUAGCAGACAAAUUUGAUUGGUGCGGAUCUUAGAAAAAGGAUGAUAGGAAAUUUUGCGCAGUGUCGGUGUAAAUUUAUUUUAGAAAUCAUGGAUGUCAUAUCAUUUAAUAGCCUAGCACGACGUCUACGCAACUUUUUCAGAAAGAUUAAUAAGAUGUCAAUCAACAUCACUCCCCACCUAUAAAUAGAAGACUCUACUUCAUAAUAGAGUGGGCAAUCUUUGGUUGGAGAGCAAGUUUAUACCGUCCAUUUUCUCUCUCUUAAAUUUUAGGUGAGAGCUUAGAACAAAAAGUGAGAGAGAGUUCUUCCCUCACCAUUCUCUCCUUAAGAACCAGCAAAAAUCAGAGCCAAGGAGUAUGAGAGAUCAUACUCUAAGGCUUGCACAUUUCUUUGUAUUCCAUUUUCUUUUUAUAUCGUAUUGCUUAGUUAAAUGGCUUCAUUGCCGAUAGGCCUAAAGUUAUGUUUAUAAUAGUAAUGCAUUUCGUCUUUCAUUUUCUUAUUUCUCUUUUACUAUCCAUGUUCACUCUGUUUAGUUAGUCCAUGAGUAAUGGGAUGCGUUUUUAAUACUAUAGAAUCAGAGUGCAUGUGUUUAUAAGUUUUAUUUAGUUAAAUGCAGACAUUAAUGCAUUGUGUAUUCGAGAGAAAGACAAUGAUACUGAUCGCAACGACUUGACAAGUGAAAGCAUGUAGUUAACUAAGCAGACGAUGGUGAGAUUGUAACAGUACAAUCAAUUUGUCGAAUUCAUCCUUCACAUAAGUUACAUAGAUGUUAACUUGUGCAGUGAAAGCAUCGAAAGGUUGCUUGCGCCUUAAUUAAGAAUAAAUUACUCACAAUGAAAACAAACUAAUUAGAUACAAAUCAUAGCUUGACUUUUAGGUAUUUAAGUCCUGAGAGGCAAGCAAGAUGGCGAAAGCGUCGAAAGGUUGCUCGUCUUAAUUCUGAAGUUAUAUAUGCUUUAUAUCACCUUGGCUUAUUAAAGCGCAAUCUAUCGCGAUUAGUUAAUUAAGCAUUUUCCAUCUCGUGUCAUCGCCAUGCUCACUUUGCACCACCAAAUGCUCCUUAGUAUAAAUAACUAGGAUAAAUUAUACUGUUCAUAUAUUCACAUUGUAGAGAUUAUACCGCAUGAGUUUAGUUACACGAUUAUUUUGGUGGGAACCUUAAUUCUCAACUCAAGAGCAAGAUAGAAGAAGUAGAGAAGAGUUUAGAUUUGUUUGCAAGUGUUUAAGCAAAGCAAGGGUGCCGUCUGAUCAAGCUCAAGUUGAGUUUCCUGUCAAGAGGACUUUGAGACGUUAAGAGUUUUGGCAAGUUUAAGCUAAGGAGGAAGAGCUAAAGUCUAAGGACUAGAUCCAAGUCCAAGUUUCUUCUCUGUUGUUUAAGAAUCUUAAAAGCAAGUUUACUAAGAUAGAGCUUUUUGUUUUAGGGUCUAAAUUUGUUGGAAGCUCGUGUUUGAGGUAGGACAAACUUGUUGAAGCGGUCUUGAACAAGCUAAGACCACCAAAGAGUUCAAAGAGAUCAAGGUUAGUAAGAAAAGAGUUCUCUUGAGUAGAAAAGAAAAAAGAUAAAGAAGUUGAAGAAACUUCCUUUACUUGAAACCUAAGAUUUACCUGAGUUUUCUUGCAAUUUAAAAGGCAAGAGGAAAUAGGACAAAUUUAUAGAUUGAGAAUCUAGCCAAAAGUAGGGAGUGACAAAAAUGAAUUUAAAAAGAAUUUCUAAGCUUGAUUUACGAAUUUUUUUUUUAAGCAUGCUUUGAGUUUCAGUAUUUGAAUAUACUAGAUUUAUGAUUCUAUCUAUUUACCAAACUUGAGUUUCAAGUUUAGAAAUUAGUUUAUGAGAAAACAUGUUUGAGUUGAAUUUCUAAAGCAUUCAAAUUGAGAAAUAUUUCUUUAAGCAUGAGAUUUAUGAGAAUGCAUUUGAAUGUUAUGUUUUGAAAGUAUUGGAAGAAAGAAGUUAUUUAGGCAAAGCUAGAUUUGAGAAUUGGCUUAGUGCAAAAGUUUUAUAUGAGCCUGCUAAAUUUAUUGAGUUGAAGUUUUAGAGAUUUCUAAAUAUGUUUUAGUCUAUGUUGAGAUGUUUUGAGUUGAUAGCAACCCUACGAGGGAGAUUGUCCUAUGCACAGACGUCAUCAAAUAGAUGCCUAGAGUUUUCAUCAAAUAAACUAACUAGAGAAGAGAUUAGGUCCUCCAUGGACGCCUAUAUUUUUCAUCUCAUUAUAGCUAUGUGAGAUAGGGUGCUACUGGCGACUAGUGUUUCAUCCCGCAGUUAUAUGAAAUCAAAGGUAUAACAAGAAAGAAAAUAGAAAGUUGAAAGCUAAGUUAAGAAGAGAAAGUUGCUAGGCUAAGUUUAUGUAUUUAUCGCUCAAAGUUUUCAUGAAUACUUUUAUUUUAAAAGCUGUCACUCACAGGGUUUUCUAGUACUAGUGCCUACUAGAGCUCCGCCUACUCUGCUAGAAAUUGAAUAGAAUUUUGUACAGUUCAUUCUAUUCAUGCAUACUAAGUUGUGUUUAAAUUAGAAAGGCUUAACGGUGUUGUUUAUAAUAGAUUUGAAAACGGUUUUUGAUUUGAGUGUUGUAAUAGUGAUGUCUGGUUGAGACUCUAAAUUUAGUUUUGUCUAUAUAAGACCAAUAAUCAAGUUGUCCAUUGGCUGAGUAAACCUCAAGAUGUUCUGUAAAGAUUUAAAUUCUUGUUUCCAAGUUUAAACAUUUAUUACUGCACUUGAUGUAUAUGUUUAUUAAAAACAGAUAAAUAAUUAAGAGUUACAGAUUAAGAAAGGUCGAUAGAUAUGUCGUUAGAAGAAGAACAUUGUUGGUUGGCUUCAUGACACAUCUCGAGCUUAGUAAGGAGGUGCUCCAGAAUGGGGUGUGACAUGUCAUAUGUUUAAUACAUUUCAUGUACUACAAAUAUACUUUGCACUCUUCACUGAUACACUCAAUUGAUUUAAUACACUUGAUUUACUUGAAGUUUUGCCGAUACACCUUUGAUAUACACUUGUAAAUUUGAUUAAUGUACUUAAUAAUGAUUCACUUUACUUAUAUGUUGAUAUACUUGUUAAUGAUACUGAAAAAUAGAUGAGACGAUCAAUAAUAUCAUCCAGCUAUAUCAAAAGUAAUUAACUAAGAGAAUAGCUAAAGAAAAAGAAAUAACAAAUAACACAAAAGGCUUUGUUAACCCAGUUCGACAAAUUCAACCUAUAUAUGGGGAGCUGAAAUAUUAUUAAGAUUCAAAUAUUAUUAAGAUUCAAAUGAGUAAUCAACAACACUCUUAAGUUAUAACAGAAACUUAAUCAAAGACAGGCUCCCCUUAAUUUGUGUUUGAAUCUACUUGAAGAUAAACUCAAGCUCCCCUGAAUUCAUAGACCGCAGUUCAACUAUUUCAGUCUUCUUUCAUAUUUCUUAUCUACAGGUGUAGCGUAAAUUCCACUUGCAGAACUUCACAGUAAUCCAUCUUCAUAAAGAAGGGAAGUCAACUACCUUCUCAAAUAAUAAUUCUUCAAGAGAGAACUUAUUUAAAACCAAUUUUUCAUCAAUGUGCACACCAAACUAAGCCCAUAGCUUAGCUAUUUAAAGAUCACGAUAAUAUAUCUCUAGCUUCUUUAUGCAAAUAUAUAGAUAAAAUAUUUCUAUUAUGAAGGAAAACAUUUUAUCUUUUAAUAAUAUCCCUAUCUUUAAGUAAUAUCCUUUAUUUUAAAUAACCACAUUAAUAAUAAUAAAAAGAAACUUAUUAUUUCUUUUUGACAAAAAUAUCCAACAAAUACAAAGAGUUAUAUUGCACAUAUCACUACUACAAAAAUUGGUUUACAUGACGUUAACACAGUGUCAAGUAAACAUAUACUUGACGUUUUUAAAAGCGUCAAGUAAUCGACUGUCAAGUAUAGUCACAUUACUUGACACUAAAAAACUAUCAAGUAUAUAUUUACUUGACAGUAUUUUAACGUCAAGUAAUCUAUUGCACUUGACACUUAUUAUGUGUCAAGUAAGGUCGUAUACGUGAUGCAUUUUAUGUGUCAAGUAAAGUCCUAUACUUGACGGUUUUUUCACGUCAAGUAAAAUCGUAUACUUGGCAUUAUUUACAUGUCAAGUAAGAUAAUAUACUUGACAGUAUUUACCCGUCAAGUAAAAUAGUAUACUUGACACUAUUUAUCCGUCAAGUAAAAGUGUUUAUUUGAUUCAAGUAAGAUGGUAUACUUGACAUGUAUUUAACGUCAUGUAAUUAAUAUAUUUAAUAUACAAAAAUUUUCAUUUCAUGUUUCCUACAUUACGUAUAUUUGGUUUAAUAAAACAUAUCCAUCAACAAAAAAAAAAAAAAAAACUCUCCAACCAAUAGUUACACAACAAAAAAAUGACAUAAUUUAGUAUAAUAAGUAAACCAACAAUAAUUUCAUUAAUCUCAACAAUGUCACCAACAAUUACAUAAUUUCAAUCCAAUACUGUUAACUAAAUUUACUAUAUAUGGCCUAUUCCAAAAUCAACAAUAAUAAUAGUUAUUUUAUAUAACAAAAAAUGUGUGUGGUAUACCAAAACUAAAGUAUAUCCUCUUGUUAUACCAAUGAACAAAAGCUCCAAAAAUAUUGAAUGCUCUUUGCAUCAAUUGAUAAGAAAGAUAAAAACCAAGUUCCCCUUAAAGAAAAAACAACAAAACAACUAUAAGAAGUUUUAGAUCAAAAUAACUAUUUAUGAUGGAAACUCUUGAUUGAUUAGGAGAUCAAGAGAGAAGAAGAUGGAGGGGCGUUUUUGUAUAAGCAAAGCUUAAAUCUAACAUAAAUAAUAUUCACCACACCACACUUGGCCUUAAUCUCUCUAGAUCAUGUACCAACCAUAUGUAACUAUAAUAUCAGGCUAAUAAAAACAGAUCUCAAUUUUCAACAAAUACAAUGCCAAUAACAGCACCCAAAUACAAUGCCAAUAACAUUAUAAAGAUACUGCACCCAAUAUCUCAUCCAAACGCAGUACAGUUCAGAGGGUUGAAAGUUUUAAACUUUAGUUACAAAACCUCUUUUAGCUAGUAGCUAUAAUACAUACUUAUACACACACACACACACAUAUAACAGAAUAAAAAACUUUGGAGGAAAAUAAAAAAUCAAAAGAGGAUACCAAAUUUCUACCAAGAUCAACCCAAGAAGGAAGACACGGCAAACCAGUAUCUAAUACUCAAAUAAUUUAGAUCCUAGAUCCAUAAAAGAAAUCAGAAGAACAUAUCCAUGCAGAAGUACAAACAUAAAAUGACUGAUGCCUCUACUCCAUUUGUUCUCUUGAAGUGUCAAUUAUAAGAAAUUUGUCAUAAGUGAGAGAAGUUAGAAACUUAAAUGAAGCAUGUAUAUAUGAGAUCAUUCAUAACUAACUGGAUUCAAACACAUAAAGAGACGGUCUACAACUUACAGAAAUAUCCGUAAGAAGAUCUACCAAAGCACUUGAUGUAAAACAUACAACACAGACAACUGCUAGACCACCAACCUGCAUGUAAUAGAAUUAUUCCCGAAUCUUGAGAUUUAUUAAAUUUCAGAUAAUGGUCCUACAAUGUAUACUUUGUGGAUAAUAUCUUUGAUUUUAAAUUAUUAAGCAAUUUAAUCUUAACGGAUUUCACAUCCACAUCCAUACAAAUUCAGGAACUAACAUUUCAACUGAAAGGAGAGGGAAAAGAAUUACACAGUAAUUAUAUAUAACUUGAGUCAAUUAACUUCACCUCUGAAGAAGCUUCCUUGGAACGAACUUUUUUCAAUCGGUAAAAUAACAUAAAACCUGAAAAAAAAAUUAGGAGAGGAAGAAGAAAGAAAAAUCAUAUUGGGUCAAUCAUAUAAAGAGAUUGAAGAAAAGAAAAAAAUCAAAUGCAAACUACCAGAAUAUCACAUCAAACGAUUAUGAAGUUCUUAGAAGAAAGCCAAAAAUAUCAAGAGAAAUUGCUCACCAUAGAAGUCUAGUGCUCCUCCUGAUAGGAUGACUAUAAUAGCAAGAAAACCUUCAUAAUUCUGAAAAUAACCAAUAAGUUGAAAUAAAAAGCAUUUAGGAAUUAAUUAAAUUGUAUCAAUACAAGUACAACUACAUGAUGUAUGUGUACUUGUGGUUUGAAUAUCAACAUAAGUAUUGAAGAGAAGGCAAUUCCUCAUAUUAAUACUUUAGGAUGUGUGUGGACUUGUGGUUUGAGUAUCAACAUAAGUACAGAAGAGAAAGCAAUUCCUCAUUCUAUAUGUUAUAAAAGAUGAGUACAGAAAGAGCAUACAUGGUCCUUGUGUGCACAAUUUCAAGUUGAAAAUGAAAAUAGUGUUGUGGUAGCUCGAGUCUUUAAGUGAGACCUUAACAUAGUUCUCAAAAAUAGAGUGGUGAUGAGGAAACAAACAAAGCUACAAUUAUUGUUGUUUUAUAAAUGUUUAGAUUAGUAAGUAUAGAAAUAACAAUAACGGUCUUGAGAACAAGGUCUAGAAUCUUCAGAUAUCUUUGGGUGGCUUGAUGCAACGUCAAGAUUUUUCAAACAAUUAAAAUGAACAACAAGCACAACUAUAUGACCAUUAUGCAUAAUAUCCAUUCAAAACUCUAGAAAGAAUUUCACCCCAAUAAUUUUCUAAAAACUGAUAUAAAAGAAGAAACUACCUGAGUUAAUCAAUAAUUUAUCAAUAAAUUCAUGCUUGAGCGAAUUAAAACUCCAUACCUUCGGUACCCCUUGUUGUGGUGUAAUAUUCUUAGGAAACAAAAACUUUAAAUUGCAUUUAGUUAGUCCAAAUCGACAGUUCAAUAAUUUUCAAAGGGAUAAAAGAAAAUAAAACACACUCACUCAACUACACCUCCAAGAACAAUUAAAACAAAGUCACUCAAGACAAAGGGUAGCUAAUAUGGAGGUGAGCUAGAGAAAGUAAAGAAAGUGUAGCCAAUAUGGAGUAAAGAGAAAAUUCCUCAAACAAGUUGUAAUAUCUACCUUUGUAAUACAAUAGUAAGUCUCGGUAGCUUCCCAUAUUCUUCGAUCAUAGACAUAUUCUCUAUCAUUAUAAAAAAGGAAAACUGCAGAAAAAGAACUUUACUAAUUGAUUAACAUAACACUAAGAACCCAUAAUCAAUAGCAUAUAGGUAGGAAAAUAUCAUAACUCCACUUUUCAAGCUUAUUCCUAACAAGAGUGCAGACGCAAAGUAAUGUACACUAUUGGUUUCAUCAAGUAGGACAAUUCAUUAUGACUAAAUGUACCACUGCUCAACAUUGACUCACUAAAAUUUUUAUAUACACAGAAUCACAUAACAUAUAUAUUUCUUCAUAGAAACUCAACAAAAGUUCAACACAUAACCAGCUUGGCACUGCAAAUUUAUGGAAAAGAGGGAAAAUUGGAUACAAUUUAUGGAUUUAAUUAGAUGAUUUGCAGAACAUUCCAAUGGCAGAGGAAUAAACUAGAAAGUGAACUUUAAAAAAAAACAUGAAAGAAGAGAAGAAGUAAAAUUACAAAAACUUAAAAGUAGAAGCUUGAACAUGUCCCAAUGAUCAGAUAACUUAAUCUACAAGUGUGGGAGAUGCUAUUUUCUUAAGUGGGCAAGCUAAAAAUAACUUAAAUUAUCAACCGCAACCACCAUUUCCAACACUCACACUCUUUCUGCAAAACUAAUUGGGUUAAAUUCAGUCAGGCAUUACCCCAAACACAAUAUGGGCUGAAACAGAACAGCCAAUUAAGAAGUCAUAUUUUACCUUCUAACAACCAUAUCUUUGAUUGUUUCAUUUCUCCCACCGUACCACGCCUUCUACUCCCAAGUACACUGCAUCAUAGAUUGAAAUUUGAAAGCAACAAUAGAGAAGAAUUAUACGCUAUAAAUCGUCGGCCAUAGGAGUGUAAUGAAAGAAAAAGACCUUCUUCUACUUCGACUAUGUUGACGAUUUUGGUUGAAUUGAUUUUGGUCUCCGUCGUUUCAAAUUGUUUUUCUUUGAAUCGAUUUCGUGUAAUUAGAGAAUGUUCAAAGCUUAUCAGUAUGGUCUAUGUUGUUUCAGCAAUCAUUGUAAAGCUCUUGUAAUCCCCUAUGCUAGAAAACCUCGCCUCACGAACCCCAGAUCAUUUAUCUAGCACCAAUUCGAUAGAGAAGGUUACUUUGAAAAAACUUGGCGGCGGCGUGUUACGAGGGGUGCGGUGGCAUGCGACGUGGAAAGAAGAGUUGCAGCGCGUGCGACGAGGGGUUUCAAAUUCAUUACUGAUAUGCUUUAACAAUAUAUUGUUGAUAUACUUGAUAAUGAUAUACCGAGUUACAUCAUUCAUACACUUAAUAAUACUCUAAUUCAUUACACUGAGUUACAUCAUUCAUAUACUCAAAUUACGUAAUAAGUAUAUUAACAAACUAAUACAUAUAAUAUAAGUAUAUCACAAUACUGAUAUACGAAACUGAGAGAAAGUAAAACCAAAAAAUUAAUGUAAAAAAAACAAAGUUAUUUGGAAUCAAAUUCAACUCAAAAUACACAUCGAAGAAAGUAAAAAAAAAACUCACAAAUGGAGUUAAAAUACUCCGAUCAACAACCAUUAUAUUAUAUUUCAUAUUGCAAUUAUUGUACUAUUGAUAUUUUAAAAUUAAGAUUAAGACAAAAAGAAUAAAUAACUUUUAUAGUAUAAGAAUAAAGAAUAAAUUUAUUGAAGAAAACUACCCUACAAUGACAGUUAUAUAUCUCAAAAAAUGAAUGGAAGAAAAAAAAACUGUCACGAAAUAUAAAAUAACUUUUAUAGUAUAAGAAUAAACAAAUAAUUAGGGCCUUAAAAAGUUGGAGAAUAAAUAAAUAAUGAGUAGGACAUUAAAAAGAUGAUAAAUAAGUUAUUAAAGGAUAGUUUCGGAAUAAUAACAAAUUUAAGAUGAAGAAGUGAAAAUUUUGCUAUAUUUGCAUAAUUCUAAAACAAUGUGCUAAAAUUGCUAUAUUAUAUUCUUAAAAUGCUCCCUUAUGCAAUUUUCCUUAAUUUUAUCACGUUUUCUAAUAAUUAUAUUUCAAUAUAUAUGAUUAUCAACUUUUCACGUAUUAAUUGUUUUGCAACCAAAAUUAUGUAAUUAAUAACAUUCUCCACCAAAUUUCAAAAUCUUUAAUUAAAAUAUACAUAUCUACAUAUAUAUUAAUUAAUCCAACACAUUAUACCAGGUAAAUUCUCUAAAUUCCAAUAUUCCAAUUAAUAUAACACCUAUAAUAAUCUAUUCAUAAAUUAUUCAAGAUAAUUAAGUAACAAAAUUAGCUUAAAUAUUUUUGGAUGCUAAACAUUAUAUAUCAUAUUGCAAUUAAUGUACAGUUCAUAUCCUAAAAUUAAGAUUAAUGCAAUAGAAACUAAAAGAAUUCAUGGACGCCUAGUACUAGUAAAUCCACUUCAAAACCAGAAAAAUAAAAAAGAAGCAAAACUAGAAAUAAAACUUAAAAGAUCGGGAAAAUUAAAAAAUAUCAAACUCCUCAAACCAUAAGACAAAAUCAAAAUCAGAAGUCUAUCUUCGUAUGAAUUUCGAAUAACUUAACAAACGAUUCACAAAUGAAGAAGUCCUUAUAAAUUUUAGAAACCAAUUGAAACCUACGGAUGAGGAAUAACCAGAAAGAACAAAUUGCAGAGAACAUAAGAGAGAAUAUGACUAGGUUUUUUAAAAAAAGUGAGAGAACAAAUACAUGUAGAGUAGUUUAACAACAACAAUGAUAAAUAUUUUCAAAAAUAAGAAUUUUGACUUGUUUGCAAAAUUCUAAAAAUAGGUAAUAUAUUUGUUAAUAUACUAUUCUAAAUAAACCACCAAAUACCCUUUAAAAGUGGAAGAAUAAAUAUAUUAUUGAAUGAUAGUUUGAUAAUAGAAAAAUUGCAUAGGAUAACAUUUUGAGAAUAUGAUAUAGCAAUUAUAGCACGUUGUUUUAGAAUUUUGCAAAUAUGGCAAAAUUCUCAUUUCUCCAUCUUAAAUUUGUUAUUAUUCCUAAACUACCCUUCAAUAACUUAUUUCUCUUCUAAUGUCCGACUCAUUAUUGAUUUAUUCUCUUACUUUUUAAGGUCAUAAUUAUUUGUUUAUUCUUAUACUAGAAAAAUUAUUUAUUCUUUCUUUCUUAAUAUUAAUUUUAGAAUAUCAAUAGUACAAUAAUUUCAGUAUGAAAUAUAAUGGUUGUUGAUCGGAGUAAUUUAACUUCAUUUGUAACGUUUUUUUUACUUUCUUCAAUGUGUAUUUUGAGUUGAAUCUGAUUCUAAAUUAUUUUGUUUUAUUUUUUACAUUAAUUUUGUUUUGAUUUUACUUUGUCUCAGUUUUGUAUAUCAAUGUUGUGAUACACUUAUAUUAUAUGUAUUAGUUGGUUAAUAUAUUUACUACGUAACUUUUUAUUUUUUCAACUUUUAUGCAAUUCAUUAGAGUAUUAUUAAGUACAUGAAUGAUUUAACUCAGUGUAUCAUUAUCAAGUAUAUCAACAAUAUAUUGUUAAAGCAUAUCAGUAAAGUGAAUCAUUAUCAAGUAUAUGAACCAAGUUUACAAGUGUAUAUCAAUAGUAUAUUAAGUGUAUAAGUAGGACUUCAAGCAUAUCAACUGCAUUUAAUCAAUCAAUUGUAUAAGUCAAGAAUACUAAAUAUAUCUGUAGUGCAUGAGGUGUAUCAAACAUAUAUUAGUAAUGUUUCAGGUGUGUAUCAAAAGGUAUCGAGUGUAUAAAAAAAUAUCAAGUGCAUCAAGUGUAUCAAUCAGAUGUAUUGGGUGUAUCAAGAAGUAUCAUGUGUAUCAGACAUGUAUAAGGUGUAUCAAACGUAUAUUAGUAACGAGGGCAUUUGUGACAUUUUACUUAUUGAUGUGUGGGUUGAACUUCGUUUGUGCCAUUUUCGCAAAUAAUAAAAUGUGUGUGUUAUGGACUUAAUUAUUAUAACUUAUUUUGUCAUUUUUGCAAGUGCCCCUGAUAAUAAUAAUAAAUUUAAAAUAGAAAAUAUUUAAAAGGUGCACGUGUCAUAUAUGCUAUUUACUAUUCUAAGAAAGCUACCUACUCCAAUUUCCUAUCAAAUAACCUACAAACAUUUUUUAAUACGUACAAACAUGAUUUUAUUUGUUGUGUUUAAAAUUAACGUAAAUGUGUAAUGUUAUUUAUUAAUAUAAGAACUUGAUUUAAGACAGAAAAUUGUCAUAAAUAGAAAAUAUAUAUAUAUAUGUUAACAAUAUAUAACAAAAAGCUUAAGAGAUCAUAGAGAGAGUUUAAUUCAAUAAAUUACAAAUAUAACAAAAUAUGUGAAAAACUAUCAUUAAUAGACCACAUUGACAAUAUCGAUCUAUCAUGGAUAUACCAUAAAAGUCUAUCACUUUGUAUUUUAUUAAGAAUGUUGGUAUAUACUUAGUUGUUAUUUCUAAAAUUACCACCUAUUAUAAUGAUCCUUAUUAGUAAUUAAAAGGAUAAAAUGGUCCAAAAAUGUUUUUCAAACCUAGGAGCGUUUGAAUAUAUUAUAAAUUUUAUUAUAUAUAUAUAUAAUAUUUCAAAUAAUAUAUCUAUUAAGGAAACUCAUGUACCACGUGCACAAGUUUCAAUUACACUAUUAUUUUAGUCAACAAUUUGUGUUCCUACUUUAUAUAAAAUAAUUCAUUUUGUUUAUUUAUAUUAUUUUUUAAAACAAUUUUUUAACUGCUUUUAAGGAUUACGAUAAAAGUAGGAAAAUAAAUUAAAAUAUUUUUAAACUAUAGCAAAAUUUUAGAUUUUAUCAAUGAUAAAAAUUUAUAAACUUCUAUCACUAUCUAUUAGUGUCACUGAUAGAAGAAUAUGUGUCUAUCAAUGUCUAUCAAUGUCUUUUAUUGAUAGAAUCUGAACAAUUUGCUAUAUGUUGUAAAUAUUUUGUCAAAUUUAUUAUUUUUUACAAUUUUCCUAUUUUAAAUACGUUAUUUUCUUUUUUCAAAAACUGCCUUACUUCAGAGAUUAAUUGUAAUGACCCAGGCCCAGAAUUCGAACCAAGAUCUUCAAUAUUUUCGUGUAACCUGACAACAUCAUUCUUACUAUCUUAAAGGCUUAUUAUAAUGAAAGUUGUCCCCACAAACCAACACGAGUCUUUUCAGCAUGCUUUGUCCUCAUUCACAUGCAUCCUAGAAAAAUUCUCAGGAGAGCACCUACCAUAGAAUUGCUUAAAGCUAAGCACGCUUAACUUUGGAGUUUGUAUGAUUAAGCCACUGAAAAGAAAUAUACACUUUGUUGGUAUAGGUAGUAACUUUGAAUUCUUUUAAACCUUUCUUAACAUUAAUUUCAUGUGCUUGGGAUCUAUCUCAUUCAUAUGUGAUACUGGUUUAUUCAUGUCUCACUCCUAAACUCGGGGCAUUAUAUUAAUCGAGUUAUAAACUCAAGACUAAAAAAGUGUAUGUGUGGAUACAAAGAUAGUAACGGUGAAAACACUCAAACUACGUGUACCAAAAUUUUUUUAAUAAACAAAAAGGAGGAUUAUUUUAAAUGACAAAAUUGUUGUAAACAAAAAUGUUAAAACUAUUUAUAAAACAUACUAAAAUUUCACGGUUGAUAACUACUUAUAAAUUAAAAAAUUUACUGUAAUAUUUUGUAAAUUUUGGUAGUUGGGUGCUAUAAUUAAAUAUGUGAAAGAAAUUCAAUAUUUAGAGAGAAUUGAUUGAUUAGAUGAUUUAGACAAGUGAUUAGAAGAAUGAGAUACUAACUCCAAAGAUAAAUAAUACUAAUAAUAAAACAAAUAUAAAAAAGAUUAGGUUUUAGAUUUUGUGAACUUUUGAAAAUUAAAGCAAAUAAUAAUAAUUGCGAACGACUUUUGACAACAAAAUUUGUUUUAUAUUCAUACAAUAAUGCUAUCCUCCAAGUUAACGUUAUUACUAACUCUACCACCCAUGUCUUGUAAACCAUCGACAAUUUCCACAUCCAAAACCACACAUUCAAAUAAAACUUUAUAUCUUGUACAUCAAACUUGAAUCAUAAUUAAUCUCAAGACAAUAUGAUCUUUCUUUUGACAUUUAAAUUAUCUUAAAGUUUCAUUAGGUUAAUACAUAACAAAAGCGUGGAGGACUUAUAAUCCAUAAAAAAUAUAUGGUUCAUUUUAUAUUAUAUUCCUACAGUAAUGAUUUCUUCCAAGUCAUUACUAACUCUUGCAUUCUUGCCUAAAAGUCUAAAAAAGACAAAUGGACAAAACCCCUUUAGAUAAACUUUAUUCAUAUAUAUAUAUGUAUGAACAUUAUUUGUACAAGUAAUAUAAUUAUAAAAUUGUUAGUCUUUCCUAAUUAUACUUCUUUUUCAGAACACAGACAAAUGAUUUGAACUUUGAAGGGUAAGAAGAAAUCAUGAAUAGGCAGGAAAAAAUCUCACUCCUUCUUAUUGAUGAUGGAACGUAACGAUUAUCCUGAUCUCAUUAAAUUUUAAAUCAAAGAGUAUUUUGGUUGUAGAUUACAACUGUUAGCCUUUAUAAUUGUCCACUCAACAACCUUAUUCUCAAAUAUAUGUUAUUCACUUUUAUUUUUAGUUUCAAAGCAUUUAUAAGAAAACCCUAAACCAAAUGAUUGUUGGGGUAAAUAUGUAUAUGUACUUCCAUUUACUAUUCUUACUCUUCACUUGUACUAAUUCGCUAUUUAUCUUCUUAACUCAACAAAUAGUCAAUCACUUUUCUUCUUCGUUAUGGGAAUUAUUUGUAUUCUUAUUCAUCAUUUUAAUAGCCCAAGCAUACUCCUCAUUUUGAAUAAAUUAAUAGAGGUAAAUUAUGAUUCUUGGAUCAAAUUAAAUGCUAGGAUGAUUGGAGUACUCAAUAGAUCCAGUCGACACUAGGUAAUAAACACACUAAAAAAUAUUAAAAAAAUAUUUUGACAUUUCACUUAUGUUCUAAUAACAUUCGCUACAUUUGUAGAAAUAAAGAAAGACCGACAAUUUUCAUAUGAUUUUUUAUAAUAUAAAUAUGUGAAUUUAAAAUUUAUAUCAAAAAAAGAAAAGAAAUAUAUAUAUAUAUAUAUUUCGUGGAAUAUUGUUGAGAGAAUCGAAGUUUGGAUCACCGAAUUUGUUUGAUUUUUUUAAAAAAAUAUUUGUUAGAUAACAAAUGAGAGCUAGAAAAUAAGUUACGAUUUUUAUCUUGGAUGAGUUUGUUUUUUCUCUUUUUAAAAUAUUACAUUUCUUUUAGGAAAUCAUUGAAAUUUACGAAGAAAUGUAACAGAUAGAUUUGAACACACAACCAAAGGAUUGUACAAGGACACACAGUAGAGUAGAGUAGAAGUAGAAUUUAGACAAAGUAAAGUUAAAUUUAAUAUAUAUUGUAAUCUUACAUUUUAAAAUUAAUAUUAAAAUAUAAAAAUCGAUAACGUUAGAAAAUACUACCUCUGUCCUCUGAAUAAAUCGGUCCGGGCCAAUGAAACCAAAUUUUGAUGUGGAACUGUGAAAAUUAGCAAAUUCUUGAAAAAUGAUAUGUAGCAUCCUACGUUUUUACGUCUUGAAUAUCCAACUUUCGUUGUCCCUUACACAAUUUUACUUCAUAAAAUGUAUUAUUUCUUGAAAUUAGUCAUAAUUGUGACUCGCUUUGGGAUCAAUACCCAUAUGUUAUAUUUGUCAUUUUCUCAAUGCAUUUAUGAAAUAUGGAAGCAAUAAUUCAUGGGAAAAAAAAACUAUAUAAAAUUUCUGCUAGUGUCUAGCUAGAAAAUAGUAAAAAACUAAAUUAUCCAAAUACACCAUACAAUAUAUAUUAUAUAUAUAUUUUAAGCAAGCAUAACAAUAAUGAGCUUCAUCCAUUUUACAAUGAGAAUGACCCUUAUUAUAUUUUUACAUUACCCAUAACUUAAAAGAACCAUAGUAAUAAAAAGAUAUUCAAAUCAAUCCUGAAACAGAACUCGUAAAGCAAACCGCAACCCUUUUGACUCAAACAUAAUCAAACAUACCCAACUGCAUGCGAGAGAAAGAUGAAGCUCACAGAAGACAUACAGCACAUCAUAUUUUAUUUAAGGUGAGAUUCUAUGUCCUUGGUGAGGUUAUUCAUAAGAUCAAGAUAUUUGUAAGGAUAAGGAGAGCCAUCAUUGAGUUUCUCAUACUCCAGUGUUAAAACUGCUAAGCUAUGUUCAGGUCCCUUUGGCACAACUUGAUAUGUUCCCUUGAAAAGUUUGUAAUGCUCAAAUACAUCUCCUUCCAACCCAAUCAAAGUUACUGCAAACUUCUCGUCAUCAAACUCCACUUGUUCUUUGAAAACCUCAGUCUUACCAUCUUAAUAAAAAUCACAUAAGAAUGAAAUAAAACGAAAUGAAUCAGUAAAAAUUAGAGAGAAAAAGAAAAAAAUGUGUGGUUGUGGCCGUGAUCAUUGUUGCAGUUAUGGUUAUAAUUUAUACGUACCGACGGUGUAGCUCCAAAUCUUGAUAGAGCCAUGACCAUGAGUGUCCCAAUCCCCUUCAUGAACUUCAACGUUUUGGAUUAUGUUUGGGGAAAUAUUGGGAACAUGAGAAACUUGGUCUUUGAAGAUUUUGUAGUACUUCUCAGCAGGUGCAUUUAUUUCUAAUUCACUCACAAAUUUUCCCACAAGAGACAUGGUUUUCAAAAAACUCUCAAUAGAUACUAAAUAACUUAAAAGAACGUAUGCACACAAAGAAAACCUUAAUGCCUUCCCCCUUUUAUGGAACUCCUUAUGAUGAAUUAUUAUUAUUAUUAUAUUCCAAUGAUGAAUUAUUUUUAAAUGAUACUAUAUUAUUUGCUCAAUCAUUUUAAAUUAAAGGAAAAGUUAUAGAUAUUGUUAAAAAAACAAAUGUUUUGAUCAUAUGGUUGUUGUGUCAUGUUGAACCACUGCCUUGAAAGCAAAACUUGGCUCGACUUCAGUGCUAAAUCGUUUAUGCUGGUUUCUCUCCAAGGUUAACACAACUUUCUCAACCCAAACGCGAACUAUAGGCAAUGCGCAUAGAACCUCAUGUAAAAGUGAAAGCUUUACAAAAAUAUCCUUAAACUUUUUCGUAGAAGGCAGCCACACAUUCACAGUCACGUUUCUUGCUUCAUCAAGUCGUUUCUUGCUUCAUCAAGUCUAUCACAGUAACCACUUAAAACUGAGCUAUGGAAAUUUCACAUCUAGUCCAUAUCAAGACCAACUUCACCAAGUUUGUCAAAGAAAAACCACUCAAAACUGAGCUAUAAAGAUUUUACGGUUAUCCAUCAAGUCCAUACUAAGACCACUCAAAGAAAGGGCUAUGAAAUUUUGAAAGGUUUUAGUUUCAUAUCCAUCAAAUCCAUUUAAGGACUACCCACACGUGGCUAUGGACCAUCAAGCCUACCGUAGUAGACUACCUAGAAAAGGGUUAUUGACCAUCAAAUGUUUGAGUCUCAUUACUCUUGUUGAAAAUCUUAAAAUUACUCUUCUUAUUAGGCCUUUGGAGAGAUGACCUACAAAAUUCCUCUCAAACCUCACAUACUUCAAGAAGAUAAUUCAUUCAUUUAACUAUCAUUUCACAGUUGCAAGUUUUAGACGAAAAUGCCUUCUUUUGCCAUAACACGCUACUCUUGGCAAUACUUAUGACAGUGCACAUGAAUCCUAAUAAAGAUAUAUUGGUAAAGAGGCCCCCAAUAAUGGUACAUCUUCCAUUAGGCUUCUAUGUCAUUCAUCCUAAUGUCCUUAUACAAUAGUACAUUUCUUAUUAAAAACACACAUCUACUAAUAUAAAGCUUACUUAAUCAUUCUGAGUUAUUCGGUUUGCAUACCUUACCUCUCUAGUAUGAUAGACAAUAAUUAAAAUGCAAACCAAAAUCUAUUGUAACCUUAAGAUAUCUUAAUAAAUGAAGAAGAACAAGAAAAUAAUCUUAAUCAAAAUAAUGUGUAUAUAUAAAUACUCAAUUUUCUCACAACAUAUACAAUAACAAAUCUUGUACAGGUUUAUAAAAAACAUAAUAUACUUUCUAUAAUCCUAGCAUAUUCAAAUUGAGAAACACUACCCCAUUUAUUUUUAUUAAGGCUCAUACUAGCAUCAUAAGGUGUUCUUACCAGAGCACCAUUAAACUGUCAAGUUCCUUUAAUAGUGCUCAAUAUGUGAUUGACAUAAAUAAAAACAUUCUCAAUAUACUUUAGAGCAUCACACAUUAGUCUCACAUAAAUUUUCACUUGAUCAAAAUGUGAUAACUUUAUAGCAUUACCUAAAGUGAUAAAAGCACAUGACAACGAAAGAUUUUACAGAACCAUUUCUCAAAUUAAUUUUGAAAUCCCAAAAUACCAAUACAUUGACAAAAUAAUACACAAACUAAUUUUCUUAUUAUACAUUAAAAGCUAAGCAUACUUUCUAAUUAUAGAUUAGAGAAUGAAAAACUUACUUAGUUUGAUGCCUUUGAAUCUACUAAAACUUCAAGUUAAGACACCACCCGUCAGAAACCUUCCUAUCCUCUAGGAUGGAUUGGUUUGUUGGAACCAAUUGAGAUGAGAAAAAGAAAGGUUUUGGAGAGAAAUUAUUUUGCAAAAUAUCAAAAUCAUUAGUUCCAUUAAUUGAUUAAUUGAUUAAAGAAAAUUGUUUUCUUCUAGAUAUUAAUAACUCUCUUUUCUUGAUUGAGUAGGAAAGGGAGCAUGAGAAAAGCAUGAGAUUCUACUAAUUUAAAAAAUAUUAAAUUAAUAGAAAUUUCAAAUCAACUAAUUAACUCAUCAUUAAUCAAUUAGUUAAUAAUUAAUUAAAUCAAAUUUAAUUAAUAUUUCAUUUAAAUCUUAUUUAAUGAAUAUCUCGAUAAUAUCUUAUACUUGUAUAUUAAUUUAAUUAAAUUAAAUAAAGGGAAAAUUUUAAAAAUAGUAUAUUUUACAAAAUAUUUACAACCUAUAGCAAAUCAUAUCACUGAUAGUCAUUGAUAUGUUAUAGCGAUAAAAGACUAUAAGUGAUAGAAUUCAAAAUUUUGCUAUAGUUUGUAAAUAUUUUAAUUUAUUUUAUUAUUUUUAAAAAUGCCUCUAAAAUAAAACUAAACUAUUAAUUAAUUUUCCAAUUAAUUAAUAGUUAAAUUAAAUAUCUUAUAUUUAAGUUAAAUUAAAUUUGAAUCAUAUUCAAAUAUAAAUUUCUCUCAUAACCAAUAAUUUUAAUAUGAAUCAAAUUCACAUUAAAUUAAUAUUUGAACUCGUUCAAAUAUUUUACUCUCAUAAAUUAAUUUAUCUACAAUCUAUGAGUUGUAGGACAUAAAUCCCAACAUUACCAAUAUUUAUGUUUGUAUUACAUAAAUCUUUCCAUCAACAUACAAACAUAUUAUCACACAAGCAACUCCAAAAACUUUUAGGAAACACAUAUAUAUAAGCAAUUUACUUCUAAAGACAUUGUUUACUAAAUUGUUGUUAAAGUUUUUCUUAUUAGUUAGACUUUCAGAAAACUAGUUAAAGACCAUAAAGAAAUUUGACUGUUCGAAGUUACCAUUAAGGAAUAUCAUCGUUACAUACACUUGAUGUAUCAGAAGACCUCAUGCAACUACAAAAGCUUUUAAUUUUAUAGUGAUUAACUUAGUCAUAUGGAAACAAGAAUCAAAACAUUUUAAAUUCUAUGUUUGAUUCAAAAUAUUUUUCAUAAGUUUAAAGUUGCACCUAUGUACUUAUGAUCGUCUCCUUAUUUAACUAAAGUGGGAUUUGGAUAGCAUUCCCAAAAAUUGUCCCUCAAACAAAGUUUCAACUUAAUCUCCCUUAAAAUAUACAUCAAUCCAUUUAACUCUUAUCAAGAUUAACUUCUCUCUAAAGUUUAUUAUCUAUUUAGAAUACAAAUAUCAAUAAUUCCCUAACUACUUUUAAGGUUCCACUAAAUCUUUUUGUUCAACCUAAAGAUUAUACCAACAAGGCUAAACCAGGAAAACAACUCCUUAUAACCACUUAUUAAGGACUACUUGGGUAUAAGCCCUCUUGUCUUGAAUAAAUAAUGAAUUUGCAUAUUCUCAUACUACUAGCAAACUUUGGUAUGACCAAAGUUGUACGACCAAAGUUAAUUAUAAGUAAUAGUAAUACUUUCAAUUUCAUGAAAAUUAAUUAUCAAAUUAUGCAACAAUUCAUGACGUAAGUCAUGUAGAACUCAGUCAAAUAUGACAUACAUUUCUACUCAUGCUAGCAUGGUAAUUGUCACACCCCGCCCCGAGCACCUACUUGUUUGGCCUGAGACGUGGCAUGAAGCCAACGAGGAUCAAUGUUUGAGAUCAACUAAGGCUGGGUACCUUAUCCUGGCAACACUAUGGAUAUAACUCACUUUGUAUUUGAUAUAAACAAAAUGAUCCAAUGUGUUCGUGUAGGUGACAUGCAAGUGAGGGUAUUAUAUGCAAUGAGAUUUCAUAAGACUGGAUCACGAAAUAAGAACCACUAGAUGUAACUUUGUUAACUAGUUAGGUUUCUAUUUCAUUAGGAUUACUUAGGCAACUUAGUCUUAAUUCUGAGUGUAUUAUAAACUUCUGUUUGCAAAAGAUUUUUCUUUAAUUUGUAUGAGUGAGAGUGGCUAGAUCGUCGACUUAAUAAUCUUAUCAUUUUAGGACCAAGACCGAGUGGAGAGCUGGGAACAUAAGUACAACUCUUGUUCACUCAUUUCCUACUUUUAGGGUAAGUAGAUGAGUGUUCCCUUAAAUGGUAUCUCCUCGACUUGAACAAAAGGCCCUACCCUCUCUAUGGCACGAGAGGGGUUUCUAUUUAUUGGUAGGACCAUAAACAAGUUGUUCAUUAGAGGAGCACUAGUAUUUAAGGAUUAUAAGUAACUUAGGGUAAAAUUGUAUUUUGACCUAGUUGGUGUUACGAACACUCGUGAAGGACAAACUUACUGUUAUUUGUCUAUAUUCGUGGACAUAAAUAUAUCUACAAUGAGAAGAGUUCAAUUGUGAGUCUGUAGAGGAGUGUACCCACAGUUAAUGAAUAUUGAUUAUUGUAGUUAAUGAGGUUUGCCAAUUAAUAUCAUAUCAUUGUAGCUUUUGAUGUGUAGGUCCAUAAGUCUCCUUCAUAGCUCGUAAAGGAUAAUGAGAUUUAUUUAUAUUGGUUAUAAUUUGAAAUGCUCAAAUUUACUUUGGAAAUUAGUAUAAUGUAUAGUAAUACACUAUAAUAUAAAGUUUAUCAAAUUUUAUUAUAUAAAUUUAAUUUUGGAUAUGAUUCAAAAUUAAUUUAUGAGAGAUAAAAUAUUUGAAUGAGUUCAAGUAUUAAUUUAAUGUCAAUUGGAUUCAAAUUAAAAUUAUUGGUUAGGAGAGCAACUUAUAUUUGGAUAUUAUUCAAAUUUAAUUUAAGUUAAUAUAAGUUAUUUAAUUUAGCAUUAAUUAAUUGAAGAAUUAAUUAAUAGUUUAAUUUCAUUAUAUUUAAUUAGAUUAAUAUAAAAGUAUAAGAUAUUACAGAUAUAUUCAUUAAAUAAGAUUUAAAUGAAAUAUUAAUUAAAUUUGAUUUAAUUAAUUAUUAACUAAUUGAUUAAUUACUCCAUGAAGGAAGGAGAGUUAUAAAUAUAUAAAAGAAAAACCGUUUUUCCUAACAAAAAAAUAUAACUAAUAAUUUUUAUUUUAUACAAAAGAGUUUCUUUAAAAAAUCUCUAAACUUUUUUCCAUCUCAAUUUGUUCCCACCAACCAUUCUCAUUCUAGAGGAUAGGAAUGUCUCCGAUAUGUGGUGUCUGAAUUUCGUGAUUUACUUUGUAGAUUCAGAGACGUCAAACAAGUAAGAUUUACUUCAGAGUGUGAUUAUAAAAGUCAAGAGAACGCAAACUCCAUAAAUGGAUAAAGUUUCUUAGGUUAAUCUUCAAUAGUUGUCUUUCCUUUCGAUAGCCUAUUGAAGUAUGCCGCUAAGAUCUGAAAAUGGUAGGAUCACACUUACGGAAUGAAUUGAGUUAGUUAGUGAAUCCUUGACCGAACAACAAUAGCUAAGUACUAUAGGAAGAAGAGUUAUUCUGGUAUUAGUAAUUAAAUGAGAUUGUCAUAAUUUAGGAGAGAAGUAGUUGAUCACCCUUUGGUGGUUGUUACUUUAAACUUCUAAAGUAUCGUUGCAAAAACUAAAUCCUUUGUUUGAUUAGGGUUCUUUGAUUGCUUGAUUUUGCUAAAUUGAUUGGAUAAUUUUGAGUAAUGGGUUAAGACAAAGAUAACUAAUACGGUCAACUGUUUGAUAUUUCAACAUGUCUUUUUCAAUCAUUCAACUUCUGAAAAAUGAAAAAUUAACCGUCGAGAAUUAUGCAACAUGGAAGGCAAACCUGAAUAUGAUUCAUGUAGUCGAUGAUCUACGCUUCAUCUUAAUAGAGGAAUGUCCUCCUUUCCCUACUCCAAAUGCAGUUCAGACUGCCAAGGAUGCAUACAAUUGAUGGGCAAAGGCGAAUGAUUGGCCCACAUCUAUAUCUUGCUCAAUAUGUCUGACGUACUGAGCAAGAAACAUGAGUCAAUGGUUACUGCACGUUAGAUUAUGAACUCCCUCCAGGAGAUGUUUGGGUAACUGUCCAUUCAAAUCUAAGAAAGGCCAUUAAAUACAUUUAAAAUGCAUGUAUGGAAGAGAACCAAUUUGUUACAGAACAGUUUCUUGCCUUAUUGGUUUAGUUUAAUGUGGCAGAAAUGAACGGGACGAUCUUGACGAGUCAAGUGUCCUUUAUAUUGGAAUCUCUUUCGAAGAGCUUCCUUAUAUUUUGUAAUAAAUCAAUCAUGAGCAAGAUAGAGUACAACAUGACUACCUUCCUAAAUGAGUUGCCCACUCUAUGAGUUUUCAGAAGAGUUCAUCCUUUGGAGCCAAGUCUGCACCUUCACUCCUUAAGUCGAAGAAAAUCCAGAAGAAGAAAAGAUGGAAGGGGAAGGGUCCUGUUGCUGCUACUCCUUAGGGCAAAGGAAAGACUAAGGUAACCGACAAGGGGAAGUGCUUCCACUACAACGUGGAUGGACACUAGAAGAGGAACUGCCCCAAAUACCUUGCUAAGAAAAAGAAGGAAAAGGAAGGUAAAUAUGAUUUACUCUUUUUAGAAACUUGUUUGGUGGAAAAUGACCAAAAGACCUAGAUACUUGAUUUAGUAGCCACUAAUCAUGUUUGUUUUUCUUUACAGGAAAAUAGUUCCAUCCAGCAGCUCGAAGAGGAUAAGAUGAUGCUCAAGGUUGGAACGGGAGGCGUCAUUUUAGCUCAUGCAGUGGGAGAUGUCAAGUUGUUUUUUGUAGAAACAAAUUCUUGUUUUUUAGAAACUUUGAACAUAGUUCCUAAGAUUAAGAGGAACUUAAUUUUUGUUUCUUUACUUAUUGAACAAUUGUACUAAGUUAGAUUUUGUUAAAGUGAAGUGUUCAUUUCUAAGAAUGAUGUACAUAUUUGUUCGGCUAAGCUUGAAGACAACUUGUAUGUAUUGUGAUGUUUAAAAUUGCUAUUACUCAAAAUAAAAGGCUAAGAAUUUCUCCUAAGAACAAUACCUACCUUUGGCAUUUAAGAUUAGGUGACAUUAAUCUCGAUAGGAUCAGAAAAUUGGUAAAGAAUGGACUUCUAAAUGAGUUAGAAGAUGAUUCAUUAACUCCAUAUGAAUCUUGUCUUGAAGGAAAGAUGACUAAAAGAGCUCUUUAGAAAAGGUUAUAGAGCCAAAGAGUUCCUAGAACUUGUACAUUUAGACCUAUGUGGUUCGAUGAAUGUAAAAGCUAGAGGAGGUUUUGAAUACUUCAUCAUCUUUAUAGAUGAUUAUUCAAGGUAUGGUUAUUUAUAUUUAAUGGUACAUAAGUCAGAAACUCUUGAAAACUUCAAGGUGUAUAAGGCCGAAGUUGAAAAUCUAUUAAGUAAAAAUAUUAAAAUACUUCGAUCUGAUUGAGGUGGAGAGUACAUGGAUCUGAGAUUCAAAGACUAUAUGAUAGAACAUGAAAUCCAAUUUCAAUUCUCAGCACCUGGUAAACCUUAACAAAACGGUGUAUCAGAAAGGAGAAAUAGAACCUUGUUAAACAUGGUUCGUUCAAUGAUGAGCUAUACUCAAUUGCUAACCUAGUUUUGGGGGUAUGUAGUAGAGACUGUAGUUCAUAUCUUGAACAAUAUUUCCUCGAAGAGUGUUUGUGAAACACUUUUCGAGUUAUAGAGAGGAUGUAAACCUUGUUUGACUCACUUCAUAAUUCAGGGUUGUCCAACACACGUGUUAUUGACAAAUUCCAAGAAGUUGAAACAUUGUUAAGAGUUAUGCCAAUUUCUUAGUUACCCUAAAGAAACGAGAGGUGGUCUAUUCUUUGAUCCACAAGAAAAUAAACUAUUUGUAUAGACAAAUACUACUUUAUUGGAAGAAGACCACACAAGAGAUCAUAAAACAUGAAGCAAAUUAGUAUUAAAUGAAGCUAAUAAUGAAUCAACAAGGUUUGUUAAUGAAGUUGGUCCCUCAUCAAGAGUUGAUGAAACCAACACGUAUGGUCAACCUCAUCCUUCUCAAUCAUUGAGAAUGCCUCAACGCAAUUAGAGGAUUGUAUCACAAUCUAACCGUUGAAGAUCUAUUGUCCUAUAAACAGGUAAUGAACGAUGUAGACAAGGACCAAUGGGUCAAAGUUAUGGACCUUGAAAUGGAGUCUAUGUACUUCAAUUCAGUGUGGGAGCUUGUAGAUUUACCUAAAGGGGUGAAACUUAUAGGGUGCAAAUGGAUUUAUAAGAGAAAAAGAGAUUCAGCUGUAAAGAUACAGACCUUCAAAGCUAGACUUGUAGCAAAAUUGUAUACUCAAAGGGAAGGGGUUGACUAUGAGGAAACUUUUUCCUAUAUUGCUAUGUUAAUAUAUAUAAGGAUUCUCUUGUCCAUAGUUGCAUUUUAUGAUUAUGUAAUAUGGAAAAUUGAUGUCAAGACUGCUUUUCUGAAUGACAAUCUUGAAGAGAGUAUCUUUAUGUCAACUUGAGGGGUUCAUAACCCAAGGUCAGGAGCAAAAGGUAAGCAAGCUGAAUCGAUCCAUUUGUCGGUUAAAACAAGCAUCCAGAUCUUGGAACAUUGGGUUUCAUAAUGUGAUCAAAUCUUUCGGUUUGACCAAACCGUUAAUGUAUCUUGUGUAUACAAGAAAAUCAUCAAAGUUAAAGUAGUUUUCUUAGUACUUUAUGUGGACAAUAUCUUUCUCAUUAGAAAUGAUGUAGGAUACUUAAUUGUCACUAAAAUUUUGCUAGCAACCAAAUUCCAAAUGAAAGAUUUAGGAGAGGAAAAGUAUGUUUGUGGGAUUCAAAUCAUAAGGGAUCGUAAGAACAAAACGCUAGCACUGUCUCAGACAACUUAUAUCGAUAAAAUGUUGGUUCGAUAUUCAAUGCAGAUGUAAUGACCCAACUAUUUAUACUAAGUUGAGGUCAUUGCCACUAAAAAAUAAAGAUUUUUUAUUUAAAAUAAAAGAAAAUACCAAAAUUUAAAGGAAAUGCUUUAAAUAUGCAUUUAUAAAAUAUAAGUAAAGUAUGUCAAAAUAAUAAUAAUAAUAAUAAAUAAAUAAAAUACUAGUUAUGUCAAAAUAAUAAUAAUAAUAAAUAAAUAAAAUACUAGUUUGGGUCCCAUUUGAAUUAGAUAGAAAAUAUCUAAAAGUACUCAUGAGUUCUGAAAUAAAUUUAUGUAAAUCAAAUACUGAAAAUAUAAAUGCGGAAGAAAACAUAAAUUGUUCCCUAUAACAAACUACGGUGACUUCUUGUCAUUUGCUAGCUUACUUCUACCUCUACCUUUGCUUGAAAAAUUAAAUGUAGAAAGAGUGAUUAUAAAUUUGUACUCAGUAAAGGACCAAAUACUAGUCCCGCUACGUGUCUGUUAACUUUUCGUUAGAGUCCUGUAAGAAAGUAUUGCAUAGCUAUUGUGAUCUCGAACGCAUUAUAUCCAUUGAUCUCGUAGAGACACAUCUAGGCUCUCAGAGAACCUGAAAGAAUCAUCCUGAAAGAGAGUCAGGCUGUAAAUGAUCCCGUUGAAUCACACAUAAAAGCUAGCCACACAAGUAUAAAUAGGUGGUGAUCCCGAGGGACACCCAUAUGAUACGACUCUAACAGACAAAGCUAACAGAACACCAUAGGCUAUACAUAUAAUAUAACAUAAAUAUUAUAUCCCAAUCAUAUUGUAUCUCAACCAUAGUCUCAUUCUUAACAUAUCUUAUUCAUAACAUAUCAUGGUCAUCACAUAUCUCAGUCAUACAUAACAGUUGUCUAUGUAGCUAUCUAUAUCAAUCAUCCCUAAUAGUCACAUAAUGCAUAAUAAGGGAAAACAUAAUGUCAAGGGUCUCAUAGGAGAAUCUCUUAACUUGAGAUUAAUUAGCUAAAUUAACAAUUCCUUGGUUGACAGUCAAUUCCUCCCAAUUUACCUAGUCCUCGAGACUAAGGUUGAAUCCAACACAACCUUGAAUGGAAAAAUUGCACAGCUCAAAUCCUCCAAUGACAAUUAGUCAACCUUCAAGUAAAUAACCCAACUUAAUCAAAUUGUGAAUUUAUCUCAAACCAAUAAUUAUUGUUUGAUGGGUAUACAUAAACUCAUAAAAAACAUACCAAAAAGUAAGAAAUUUUCUAAACUUGACUCUCUACAAGGAAGCAACUCCGAAACAACUCAAGAAAGAAGGGUUUGUUCAGUUGUAGCUCGUGUGAAAACGCACGGCUUGGUUUGGGUGGAAGUAGAUUAUCACGCACGGUUGGGCAAGGAACUUGUGGAUUGGGAAGAACAGCUCGACUCGUUUAGGUGUUGGCUUGCUCGAUGACUACUGGGGACGAAGGCUUCACCGUCGAAGGGAGACCGAAGUCCACGUGCAACUGUGUGUAGUGGAGUGCGAUGGAGGAAAAUGAGAGACUCACGUCGUUUAUUGGUACAUGGAGAUGAAGACAUGUAAAUGGCUCGAUGAUUCAAGUUCAUAGUUAAGGAGAGAGAUAUGGCAAUCGCAACGACAAAGAUCGAAGAUGGUGAAGGCCCGGCUAGGGUUUGUGAGGAAGGAAGAAGAUGAUGAAUAAUUUCCUUUAUUUUCUUUGCACGCUUCACGAGGGUAAUUAUAUAUAAUGAUAAUGAUAAUGAUAAUAUUUAUUAUUAUUAUUUCUUUUCCUUUUCCGAAUAACAAAUUACACACACACACGCGUGCAUGCACACACACAACACACACACACACACAACACACACACACACCAAACUACCUUAGGGCCAAACAUCCUCUACUCACCAACCUCACCCCAAGAAGCAGGGGACCUACAACACUUACCAUAUAGAGCUUCAAAUGGUGUCAUGCAAAUGUUAGUCCGGUAACUGUUAUUAUAAGCGAACCGCAUCAAGUGCAAAUGAGAGUCUCAACUCCUUAAGAACUCUAACACACAAUUUCUCAACAUAUCCUCCAAAAUUUGGUUCAAAUGCUCUGUUUGACCAUCAAUCUGAUGGUGAAAAGUUGUAUUGAAGUCUAAUUUUGUGCUCUUGGCAGCCUGAAGUCCUUUUCAGAACUUGAAAGUAUAACUGGUAUCUCUGUCAGAAACUAUCGAUACUAGCACUCCAUACAAUUUCACUAUCUCAGUCAUAUACAAUUAUGCCCACUUACUGUCAGUAUAAAUGGACUUCCUUGAGAUGAAAUGUGCUGACUUUGUGAGCCUGUCAGCAAUAAGCUAAAUCAUUGUAUAACCUUUCGGGGUCCUACGCAGUUCUGAAAUGAAGUCCAUAGACACAUUCUCCCAUUUCCACUUUGGCACACUCAAAGAUUGCAACAAACCUGCUAGCUUUUGUCUUUGGUGCCUUCACAUGCUGACACACCAGACACUUACUAGCAAAGUUGCCACUUCUCUCUUCAUAUUUCUCCACGAGUAUACUUGCUUCAAAUCCUGAUACAUCUUUGUACUGCUUGGAUGCAUAGAAAUUGGAGAACUAUAAGCCUCAGUCAAUAACUCUAUCUUAACUACACUUUUGGCUGGCACACAUAAUCAUCUCUUAAAUAUAAGUUCGUCAGUAGAGGAUAUAGAGAGAACUCCUAAACUUGCCCUUGUUCUGUUACAGAGUGUUUAUCAACCAAAUUAGGAUCAGUGAGCUGAACAAUAAUAAUUCUCUACCUCAAAGUUGGCUAUACUGACAACUGAACUAAUUGUGAGGUGACCUCUCCCAUUGAAACUGCAAUCUCAACUCUCCCACGAUCUUUAUGCAAAGGAACCUGAUUGGUAAUGAGUGCUGCAGAAUGUGAUACAUUCAUAAUAAAACCAUCAUUGGCCACAUUUCCCUUACCUGGGUGAUACAAAAUCUCACAGUCGUAGUCCUUCUCCAACUAAAGCCAUCUGCACUGUCUCAUAUUGAAGUCCUUCUGAAUGAAGAACUAUUUCAAGCUCUUUUGAUCAAUAAAGAUCUUAAUCUUCAAACCAUAUAAAUAAUGCCUCCACAUCUUAAGUGCAGCAACUACUACUACCAACUUUAAAUCAUAUGUAGGGUAGUUCUGCCCAUGAAUCUUCAAUUGACAAGAAGCGUAAGCAACCACCUUACUUUGUUGCAUCAAUACACAACCCAAUCCUUUCUUAGAGGCAUCACUGUAUAUCACAUAACUUCCAGAUCCAUCUAGCACUGUAAGGACUGGUGCAAUAACAAGUUUCUACUUAAGAUCCUGGAAACUACUAUCACAUGUUGGGCUCCAAACAAAAGGAGUCCCCUUCAUGGUCAGAUUGGGUUAAAGAACUGGCUAUACGAGAGAAGCCUUCCACGAACCUUCUGUAAUAACUUGUCAAACCCAGAAAACAUCAAACUUCACUAACUAUAGAAGGUCGAUGCCAACUGGUAACAACUUUAAUCUUUGUCAUGUCUACAGAAACUCCCUCACUAGAUUCUAUAAGGCCAAGAAAAGACACAUGUUUCAACUAGAACUCACACUUGAAAAACUUGACAUACAGUUUAUUGACUCGAAGAGUCUCUAACACCUGAUACAAAUGCUCCUCAUGCUCAGCCUCUAUCUUAGAGUAAACCAACAUAUCAUCAAUGAAAACUAUCACAAAAGUGUCUAAGAAAUUCUUAAACACAUUGUACUUCAAAUCUAUAAACACAGUAGGAGCAUUUGUCAAGCAAAAGGAUAUUACAACAAACUCAUAAUUGCUAUAUCUAGAAUGAAAGGGAGUCUUGGGAAUAUCUCACUGCCUCUAAUCCUCAACUGGCGAUAUCCUAAACGUAAGUCGAUCUUAGAGAACACAGUGGCUCCCUGCAGCUGAUCAAACAAAUCAUCAAUUCUAGGCAAUGGAUACUUGUUCGUGAUUGUCACCUUAUUGAGCUCUCUAUAGUCAAUGCAAAGACGCAUCAACCCAUCUUUCUUCCUCACAAAUAAUACUAGUGCUCUCUAAGGUGACACACUAGGUCGAAUAAACCCUUUUUCCAGCAAUUUCUGCAACUGGACCUUUAGCUCCUUUAGCUUAGCUGGAACUCUCAAUAUGAGACCAGUGUCUGAUUCCAACUCAAUAGCAAAAUCAACCUCUAUGAGGCGGAAGUCUUGGAAGCUCUUUUGGAAAAACAUUUGGGUGUCCCUUUACCAUUGGUUCAGAUGAUAAGGAUACCCUAGGCUCUCUAGCGUCUACAACAUUAGCCAAGAUACUCCAAGUACCUUGGUUGAGAAGCUUACUAGCCUUCAUGGCAUAGAUAACUUUGGGUAGGACCACAAUUCCUACCCCCUUAUACUUGAAACUAACCACCUCAAGAGGGUUAACCAACGACCUCCUUACGAGAAGAAUCUAUGCUUGCAUGGUUAGCAAAUAGCCAAUUCAUGCCUAAAAUUACAUCAAAGUAUAUUAUGUCUAAUACUAAUAAAGUUACAUCUAAAACAUGGUCUGCUAUUUUUAUUUGACAUGCUUUUAUCUUUUCUUUCAACAACAUAAUUUCUCCAAAUGGAGUAGUGACAUAUAACAUAUAACUCAAGGGUUCUACUUCUAAACUUAUAUGUUGAACAAAAACUGAGGAUAUGAAAAAUGAGAGGACCCCAAGUCAAAUAAUACUAAUGCAAAGUGUCCCAAGAUUGGAAGUGUACCUGUUACCACUGUGCCAACUUUCUCGACCUUCUGUCGAUUAGUGGCAAAAACACUCCCUUACUGGGAUGUGGAAGUCUAGUUUGAGACAGCUCCGAACGAUUUCUGAGGGCAUUUAUCAGCUAUAUGUCCAGGUUGCCUACAUUUGUAGCAUAUUCCACUCCUUGCUAGGCAACAACUUGAAUGAGGCCUUCCACACACUACUACAAAAAUGGGUUUACUUGACGCUAGCAAUAUUUACAUACUUGACGUUUUUAUUUAAAAAAAGUGUCAAGUAUGGACCAUUUUAAUGAAAAAUGUCAAAUAUAGUUUUAAAAAAGUAAAAUUUUCACAAAAUUUUAAAACUAUUUUACGUUAGCAUUUACUUAACUUUUUUUUGUGUCAAGUAUAGUGGAGAUUGCACUUGAAGGUUUUUUCACGUUAUGUACAUAGUGGAGAUUUUACUUAACUUUAUAACAUAUACUUGAUACAGAAACAACGUCAAAUAUAAUUAACAUUUUAAUUCAUCUCUUUGUAUCUGUCAAGUAUAAAAAUAUAAAAAUACUUUUUAUUUUUCUCGUUUCAUAAAAUAAAUUUAUUAAAAUUAAUUUCCCUUCUUUCAUUUCCACUCUUCCCUCUCUCCACGCAUUCGAUCGUCAUUCUCUCCAUAUCUCCACUGUCCAUCAUUCUCUCCGUUUUCGGACGGCCAAUGUACAGACCCAUUUUCGGAGAGCUACCAUUCUCUCCAUUUUUGGACAGCUGGCCACACAGAAGCCGACGUCGACCCACCGCUGAUGGAAUCCAAUUUUUGAUGCAUUCAAAGGUUUUUUUCCCCUCGGUCUUAUUAUAUUUCACAUUUUGCUCAUGAACAAUGCUCCCUUGCGAGUGAUUUCUAUCUUGUGAUUAAGGAUGCCAUUGAACUUGUAAAGUUUCAUCUGAUUGAGUACUCACAUUCUCUUUUCUUUAAACAACAUUAAGAGGGAGAAAAACUUAAGGAACUCUUAAAAACUCAAAGUCAGUACCUGCUGUCCCUUAAAAGUAAAAGAUCAUUAAGCCUGUAAGUUCAACUUGUACACGGGGGUUUUAGACCACAGUCCUCUUUGGUAAUGCAACCAAUCUUUGCUUGGAAUGUCUAAAUUUCAUUCUCCUCUGAAAUAAAAAGUAAAUAAAUACCAAAACAACUGCCAAUAAAAUAUACGCCUCAAAGUUGGUGUUCCCAAAUAUAUCCUACAAAGUCCAGACUAUUGCCACAGUUGCAAUCAAAGUUUUGUAUUACUUUUCCUUUGGCUGUUGUGUCUGGAUCAAAAACAAAGUCCACAGGCAUUGCUCCUUCUUCCAGUCAGAUGAUUGUAUUCUUCAACUUGUACCCGGGCAUCGACGCCGUUACAGCAGUUGUAUUCCAUAAUUUAAACCCAAAAUAAUCACAAUCAUUUUGAUUGAAUUGGAAUGAGCUAUAAACUAUCUAUGAAAUAUCUCUUGUUGCACUUUGGGCUUGAAAAGGGGGAUACAAGUUAUUAUAAUUGUACUUUAUAAUAUUUUGAAUGAGGCUACCAAGAGUGAGAAUAUGAUUCAUUGAUUAGUUUAGGAUUAGAAAGAAGGAUUGUGGAGUCUGUUAUCACAGCCUCGCGGAUAAUAUUUUGGUACAUUGGAGCCUAGAAACAUAGAAUAUUAGAAAGAAACAUAUUUUGGCACAUUGGAGGUGGAAACUAACAGGGGCACUGGUUUUCUGGUUUUCCAAGCACCUUGUAAGUUCCUGUUUUCCUCAUAAUAAGUAAGAUCAUCUUUUUUCCCUUUAUUGUAAGAACUAAUUUCCUUGAUAAAUGAAAUGAAUGUACUUAACGAAUAGAAGUCAGAUUUGGAACUUUGUAUCAUCAUUAUUUACCCACGAAGUCCACUAGCAGAUUGUAUAUGAUCCUUUGAAAGAUAUGUGAAUGAUUUUUAAAACAUAAUAUUAUGAGAUCCAAAAGGAGUUUUGCAUUACUUUUUCAGCAAUGUCGCAAAGGGAUAUAUUGAUCAAGACAUUUGUUUAGAAAAUAAAAGAACGAAGAAAACAAGAUGAAGUUGAUAAUCAAAAUUUCAUGUUUGCUGAGAAGAGAGAAGAACUUGAAAAGAAAAUGAGAGAAUGAGAUCCAUAAGUCGAAAGAAACCACAUUUGAUUGAUGUAACAAACUUCUCAUAGAAGUACAAAAAUGAAUACUAUUUAGCAAUUUCAACUAGUUAAGGCAUAUUCCUUGUUCAAGAGGUCAAAUAUUUGAUCUCCACUGUCGUCAUUCAACUAUAUAUGCAUAUAUGUCUAUAAUCACCAACUUAAAACUUAGAAGGCAACAGUAAACGUGAAAACUUAAAAGUGAAAGAUCAUUAAGUUUAAUUAUUUUCCUUUAAACAUCAUUAAGAGGGGAAAAAAAAUUAAGAAGUCUUAAAAACUUAUAGUCAAUAACCACCAACUUAAGACUUAAAAGAUCAUUGUCCAUUGUUCUCUUAGUUAAUAUUUAUGGAAUGAUUCUUGAAUUGUGGGUCAUCAAAUACCAAAUUGAGAAUUGAAUUAUUAAUGAUUUUUUCAUCAUGUCUCCGCCAUUUUUCCUUUAAUGCAUUACAUGAAGAAUAUUUGAUUUAGAAUUAGGUAGCAAUAUAUCCAAUGAGUGUUACCAACUCUGAUGUAAUUUUUAUUUUUAACAAAGUGUUAUCACACGAGAAAUUCUUACUAAGAUCACAAGCAUUAUCAUUGAUGCGGUAUGUUUUUAAACUACUUACAUUGUAACGUUAUAAAUAGUAUAAUAUGACUAAUUUUUAUUUAUAACAAAGUGUCCACUCGACUUUUUAUGUUUUAUAUAUUCAUACGAGAAACUCGUACUCACAGCUUCAAUUGGAUGAAGUACAAGUAGAGUGGGCUGAAUUUUUAACUCGAUACAUUUGAUAGACACACCUAGAUAUGAUCUUGUUACUUUUGUAAAUGGCCUAACAUUGAGAAUGUCCAUAACCUUUUUUGUGGAAAUGUUUUGUUUAUAGUCAUUAUGCUUAUAUACAUUAGGCAAAAGAUGUUAGGGGAUAGACUUUAGUUUUGGUAUACCAUAUAUGUUUAUGGUUAUAUAAGAUAGCUAUUGUUAUUGUUAAUUUUGAAAUAGGCCACAUAUAUAAAUUUUAGUUGGAUAUAUUGGAUUGAAAUUAUGUAAUUGUUGAUGACAUUGUGGAGAAAAAUGAAAUUAUUGUUAGUUUACUUAUUAUACUAAACUAUUUGUCCUUUUUUUGUUGUGUAACUAUUGGUUGAAAAGUUUAAUUUGUUGAUGGAUAUGUUUUAUUGAAACGCAUGUACCUAAUGCAGGAAGGGAAAAUGGAAAAUUUAAUAUAUUAAUAAACGGUAUACAUGACGCUAAAUACAUAUCAAGUAUACUAUCUUACUUGAAUCAAAUAUAUAUUUUACUUGAGAAAUUUAAAUAAUGUCCACUAUACAAAUUUACUUGCGGUGUAAAUAGUGUCAGUAUACUAUCUUACUUAAUGGAUAAAUAGUGUUAAGUAUAUUAUCUUACUUAACGUUAAAAAACCGUCAAACAUAACAUCUUACUUGACAUGUAAAAUCUGUCAAAUAUACCACCUUACUUGACACGUAAAAAGUGUCAAGUGUGAUAUCUUACUUGACACAAACAUGACGUCAAAAAAUAGAAGAAUUGACGGUGUUUUAGUGUUAAGCAAUGCAACUAUACUUGACAGUUAAUCACAUUCACACUUUUUAAAACGUCAAGUAUAGGUUUACUUGACACUGCAUUCAUGUCUAGUAAUUCAAUUUCUAUAGUAGUGACAAUUAGGACACAUGGGUAAUUCCUUCAAAAUUUUGCCUACCUCAACAACCUGUUGUUGGUGCAGCCGGAACAAACCACCUGAUCUCAAAUUUCUCUGUUGUGCUACUGUAGGCUACUACUCAGCCUUCCUUUUCUGCCUUGAAGUUGGUCCCUUUUUUGCAGCCUUGGCCAACUUUAACCUUUUAUGCAAACUCAAAUCCACUGCCAUGCGUAAUGCAUCAGCCUGGGUAGCUGGUCUAAGAACUCGAACGAAACCCUGGAUCUCCGACUUAAGGCCUCUGACAAACUUAUCGGCUCUCUCAACGUCAGUUCUCACUAACUCAAGUGCAAACUAGGAUAACAUGUGUUGAAUUCCUGAUCGUACUCCUCCAUGGUCAUAUGACCUUGCUCCAGCUCUAGGAACUCCUUGCACUUGGCAUGUCUCACUAUGGCGGAGAAGAAUUUGACAUAAAAAUUCUCCUUAAACUGCUCUAGGUGAUCUUAUUCAUAUCUCCACCCAACAUCCUCUCUAUGGACUCCCACCAGCCAUUGCCUUUGUUAAUCAGUAGGAAUGCGAUGCACUGAACUUUUCUUUUGUCGUUCUUUAACUUCCAUGCGGUAUAAGAGCAAUGGAACCAUAAGGGAGUAUGUGUUAUGGAAAUGUUCAAUCUCGAUAGUAAAUUAAAGACACUUCAUAUUGAGAUCAAUGAAAACUUACUUAUUCAUAUAAUACUUAUCUCUCUUUCUACACGAUUCACUCAGUUUAAGAUAAGCUAUAAUACUCAUAUAAAUGAAGUAUUAAUGAGCUUAUCUCACAAUGUGUGCAAGAAGAAAGGAUUAAGAGAGAAAUGAUAAAAAAUGUUCACUUGGCAACUAACUUUUGUGGUAAGAAGAAAAGAAAGUCUACGGAUGUUGCAGAAUGACAUCCAAGUAGAAUAAAAAACAAACUACGGAGAACCCUUGUUUUUUCUACAAAAAGAAAGGUCAUCUCAAGAAAGAUUGUCCCAAAUAGGCCCAAUGGUGCGUAAAGAAGCAUAAACUUAUUACUUUGGUUUGUUAUGAAGUUAAUUUAGCUUUUGCACCAACAUAUAUUUGAUGGGUAGAUUCUACCUACGGAGCCGACUGUCAAAUGAUGGUGAAAGAUUCAUCUAUGUGGGUGAUGAUAAAGUUAGUUCACUUUUAAAAAACUGGCUGUUUUUUAGAUUUGAAUGAGACUUUUAUUAUACCGUUAUUUAGACGAAACUUAGUUUCUAUUUUCAGUUUGAACAAAUUUGAUUUUUCUUGUUCUUGUGAAAAUACUAAAGUUAGUUUUUUUCAAAACUCCAAGCUUAUUUGUAUGCUUCUUUAAUUGAUAACCUAUUCAUUCUUAAUUCUUAUAUAUUCUUCAUCUAACAAGGUCAUGUUGUCUAAAUCAUGUGGUACAAAGUGUAAAUUAAAUGAGAAUUUUACUAUGUUGUGGCACAAACCUUUAGGUCAACAUCUCUAAAUAGAGACUUUAGAGACUUGUGUCUGAUGGAAUUCUUAAUUCCCUUGAUUUGAGAAAACUUAAAGUUUGCGUGGAAUGUAUUAAGGGAAAACAGACAAAUAUAAGAAAAUUAGGUGCCAAUAGAUGUUCAGACAUCUUAAAACUAAUAUAUACAAACAUUUGUGGCCUUAUUCUCUAUGACUUCUUGAAUGAACAACAAUACUUUAUUACGUUCAUCGACUACUAUUUAAUAUAUGGGUACCUAUAUUUAAUUUGUGAGAAGUUUCAAUCUUUAGACGUCAGGCCAAACUCAGAUAAGUUAGCUAUCAAACCUUUAUUUCUUCUUUCAGAAAUGUUGCACAUUCAGCCUGAAAGUGUCUGAAUCCAUCACAUUUAUGACACCUAAUACUUCUGCCUUCUUUAUAAUUUCUUUCAUUUUCCUUUCUUCGAUUAAAAUUAUUGUUUGAGCCGAAAGAAUUUUGAGAUGAGGUUGUUAUUGAAUCCUGCCUGUUUUGAUUUUUGUUACUUCUCACAUGUUUGAGAAAUUGACUCUUGAGUUUUGUCGUUUAUUUUAUUAGCAAGACAAUUGAUUCCGCUAAUGAUUCUUCAUUGAUAGAAUCCUUUGAGGUUUGAGAUCCAUCCUCGUUGCUGGCUGUAAAGGCAAUUCCAGACUUCUUCUUGGUGUCGCUUCUCCCAAAGCUAGUCGAAACGCCUUCAAUGAUCCGAACAACUGAUCAAGCUUCAUUUUGGAGACAUCGUUUUCCUCUUCAGUAGCAGUGACUUUCACGUGAAAUCGUUGAGGAAAAGAUUGCAGGACUUUCCUAACAAGCUUCAAAUCGCUUCAAAUCAGUCAUCCUUUCUGCAAGAGCAAAGGACUCAUUAGCUAUGUCUAGAACACGAACGUUGUAUUCGAUUAUUGUUUCAUCUUCUGACAUUUUAAGCGCUUCAAAUUUUGAUGUUAAAAUUUGUCGUCCUAACUUUUGAGGUUCCUUCAUAUGCCACUUCAAGGAUUUCCCAUGCUUCCUUUGCAAAGACGCACGUGUUAAUCAAUUUGAACACAUUUUGAUCAAUAACAUUGAAGAGCGCGUUUAGGGCACAACAGUUUCCAACAACAACAUCAUCCUCAGCACUAGUCCAUUUUAGCUCUGACUUGAGAGAGACUUUGCCAGCUUCAUUCGUCUCAGUUGGGUGCUGCCAUCCAGAAACUACAGCUUUCCAACAUUUGAUGUCAAGAGCUUGGAGAAAAGCUACCAUUCUCACCUUCUAGUAGGCAUAAUUUGCUUCGUCUAAUACUCGGGUUCGGGUGGUUGAAUUUCCUUCACAAUUUGAUCCAUUUAGGCAAUCUUUGUCGUAACUCGCUCUGAUACCAAUUGAGAAAACACACACUCAGUUAUAGUUGUAUCGUUUGUUGUAUUGUAAGUUAAUAACUCGACAAACAACUAAGACAACACAUAAAACAAUAGAUCACAAACAUACAGAACUUUGGUAACCCAGUUCGAUGACCACACAUCCACGUCUGAGACGUCUUAGACCUAAAUAAGAGAUUCUAUUACUCAUACAAUAAUUGAUCAAUUAUAAUGUUAUGUCUCAUGGUACAACACUUUACUCAUAGUCAACAGUCUUAUAAUUAGUAAUGUGCUAAACAUAUAACAUUACGAGGAUAACUCCCAAUUAUUCAGUAAUCACAUGCAAUCUUAGCUUCAAACACACUUAAUAGUUGAUUUAACUCUCUUGUGUUUAAUAUGCGGUCUCAUCACCUAUUCGUUCUCGAAAGGGCAUAUUAAAUGAAUUACCACAAUCAAGAAUCUGUUCACCAACGACGAGCAGAACCACACUCACGUAACUUCUCUUAUUCCACUUUUGCACGAAAAAGUAACCUUCAACGAAAUAGCCCAGGAACAAUAAUCCACGAAAUUGAGAUUUUUGGGAUUUUUUUUUAACUUAAGCGAAAUGUGUACCUUUCACCUUUUAAUGGCCCCAAACUCAUCGUUUUUAAAAACUAUACCAAACAUUUUGUCCCCUAAUGUAUCUCUUAUUUUUUGAAAUUUCCAUUUUGAAAUUUGAUUUUCUUUUCAAUUUUUAUAGAUAUAUUAAAGAAAAGAAAAUAUACAUAAUGAAACAACAUUUGUGAUUAAAUUUAACCACAUAUUUUCAAUUUUGUGAUUUAAGAGAAAAGCAAAAUAGAUGUUGCCAAUUAAUUAAUUUAAAAAUAGUUAAGAGUGGAAUUGGGUUUAGAAGAUAAAUGGAGCAUGUGACACAUACACCUCCACCAACGCAACCAACAACCAACUAGCUCGCACCAUCUUAUUACAUAUAGCUCUCUUAUUUUCUCCCAAACUUCCUUUGUAUUUCUUUCUAUAUUCUACAUUGUUCUUAUGUACUUAAUAAAUCAAUUACUUCUUGGUUAACUUUUUUCAAGUUUCUAGAUAUCUUUCUUAAAACAAUACUAUUUAUUUACUUAUAUAUUUAUUUAAUGGCCAAUAUGAUUAUUUUUUCCUUCAAUUUAAAAUUGGUUUAGACUUAGAACGUACAAUUAAAUUUAAUGUUUUUUUUAGAAGAUGAUAUCAAUUUAGGUUAGUAGUUGCACUCAAGGAUCUCCAUUAGGUGGGCACCCUUUUAACACCCUCAUCAUACCUGAUAUAUAUUCAUUAAGUUACGGGAUACAAAAGUUGUGGGACUAGAGAUAAGCCCAGUUGUUACAUCAACUAGUAAACAAUUUGUUCCUUAGGUACUAUUGAUCGUUUAGUAGACAAUUUGUUUAGGAUUCAAUCAUAAAUAAAAUUUGUUGUGGCUAGUAAGAGAGUGAAGCCGCAUUAUUCAAGUCCUCGAGUCAACACCAAAGGAAAUUGAAAAAUAAGUGAGAUGAUAAAUAAUAUCCUCCAGCUAUGACUAACGUUAUUAACUUCAGGAAUAGCAAACAUAACAAAACGAACAGAUAACACAGAAGACUUUGAUAACCCAGUUCGACAAAUACGACCUAUAUCUGGAAAGCUUUUAUGCUCCGAUAAGAAAUAUUAUAAGAUUAAAAAAAUUUGUAACUUAAUCCUAAAGUUAUAUUAACAAGUUAUCACCCUAACUUAACUGUAUAAACUCAAGCUUCCCCUGACGGUAAACUUGAAUCUCCUUGAAGACAAAUUCAGACUCCCCCUAUAUUCAUUGACCGCAGUACAAUUUUCUCAGCCUUCAUUCAUAUUUCUUAUCAAUUGAUACUCUAUCAAAUCCCUUGACAAUCUUCAAUAAUUUGUCAUAAUACAGAAGGUAACUGGUUUAUCUUCGUACAGAUUCUUCACCAAAAAUAUAAACAUAAGAACAACAGCUGUGAAGAAUAAUUUUACGUUCAUAGAAUUGUUUUUAAAAGAUUCAAAAAGAAGAACUUACAAUAAAAUAUUCCUAAAUAUGAGGAAUAUCUUCUCUUUAAAAAAGAUAUUUAAGGAAGAUCUUUUGACUCCUUAUUAAAAGAUAUUGAUAAACGAUCGUAAACCUAAAGAAGAUAUUUUAUCAUUCUUUAAAAAACAAUAAAACUAAUUUCAUAUUUAUAAAAAAAUCUAAGAGAAAUAACUUAUCUACAGUUUCUAAGGACUAUAAUCACUAAAAUUAAAUUAGAUGAAUAUUGAGUUUGCAAUUUGGGACACUCUCACCCAUACAUAUAUAAAAGGACGAUCUUGAUGCAUGAGCAAAAAGAUAUUUAGAUUGAGUUACAUGGUCAUUGGUUAAACUAUUAACAUCUCCAAUUAACGAUCUUAAUUACAAUAAAAGAUUAUAUGUUUUCUAGUUCGUGUAUAUCAUUGUAUAAGAUAGCCUCGUAAACAUGUGUCUAUACAAAAAUGAUUACAAACCCCAACAAUUUCGUCCAUGAACAUGCCCCGAAGAUAAGUUAUUGGAUUUUUAUCAUAGGUGGUCAUUGGACCAAAUUAAGCUUAUUUUUUGUCAAUUGAACAUGAGCCCAAAUUAAUACAAUGUUGGAUGACAUAUAUUUUAUUUGAUUCAAUGGUUAUGAUGAAAAGACACGCGACAUAAUUACAAUUCGCCUUACAAUUCGCCAACUUAUGUCCUCAACUUCAAUUUGUGACGUGUGUUAAUUUUUAACUAACUCUAUCACUUGUAAUUUCAUCAUUAAUUCGAGAAAGGACAUGCCAAUUUGUGAUUGAAGGGUGUGAAAUUGCCUAUCAAAUUUGGCCAAAGAACACAACAAAAGUAAAAUACUAGGUGGAAUAUAUUUAAUUUAUAGAUAUAUAUGUGUAUAUAUCAUAUUGUAUAUCGGACAAACACUAUAUUUGAGCUUCAUACAAUUAUAACAAUGAGGAUAAUCAUUAUUUACUCUUUAUUAAAUCCUCAAAAUCUCUAGAAAUCAUAUAAAUGUCAACAUACACAGUAAGUACUCGUAUCAGAUUAUGAGCGAGAGACAGGAAGCAUAAAUCGAGCCAUGUACGCUCUUAUUACUUAAGGUGUGAUUCGAUAUCUUUGAUGAGAUUUUCCAAAAAUUCAACAUAUUUGUAUGGAGCAGGUGAGCCAUCAUCAAGUUUCUCAUAUUUCAAAUUCAUAACCACUAAACUAUGCUGAGGUUUUUUUGGCACAAUUUGAUAUAUAAUGUUGAAAGUUUUGUAAUGCUUAAACACAUUUCCUUCUAAUCCAACCAACUUCAUCACUAGUUUCUUAUCAUCGAACUCCACUCGUUCUUUGAAAACUUCUGGCUUACCAUCUUAAACAAAUCACAUAGCAACACAAAACAUAUAUCAAAUUAAUAAUGAAUGUUUAUAUGGAUCAAUUCAUUCUUGAAUGGAAAAGAAAAACAAGUGCUCGUGAUAGGUGGCAGUGAUCGUGGUUGAAGUUGCGAUUGUUUUAUGCAUACCUAUAGUGUAAUUCCAAAUCUUGAUGGAGCCAUGGCCAUGGACGUCCCAAUCUCCUUCGUGGAGUUUAACUUGUUGGAUCAAAUUUGACGAAAUGUUUGGAGUAUGGAAGAUUUCAUGUUUGAAGAAAUGAAAAAACUUGUUUGCAUUUGCAUUGACUUCUGUUUCAUUUACAAGCUCUCCAACAAGGGCCAUUGUUUGAUGGAAUUCACACAACUCAAUAUAAUUCAACUUCAGUACCCUCUUCUUUUUAUAGUCCCUAGGGAUUAAUUAUUUUAUUAUGUGUCCUUAAUGUGUUAUUUUCUUUCUAAUUAAAUUUAUCUUAAUCUUAUGUUUUUUAAUAUUUUCUUCUGUUGAGUAUCUCAGUAGAUCACUGGGUGGGGUAUAGUUUUGAAGAUUUUAUGCCCUUUUUUUAUAUAUAAUAAUAAUUUCUUGAAAAGAAAAUUGCUAAGUUUGUCCUUAUAUUAUAAAAUUUUGUUUUUUAUUCCAAGUCAUUUACAUUUGGUUUUCUUUUUUUUUAAUGGAAAAAUUUUCAAAUAUAACCAUUAGAAUAUAUAUUAAACUUGGCCAUUUUUUAUAAAUAUUUUUAAUAGUUAAGUCACUUUUUUCAAUUUUUCUUUUAAAAUGUUGAAUUUGUUUGAUAUGGAAUUUGAUUUUAUUUUCUUGUUACAAUGUUAUAAAAUUUUACUAUAGAUAUUAAGGAAAAAUAGGACGGUUUUAAAAUUUAGAAACCAAAUUGAAAUGUAUAUAAAACUUAGGAGGCAAAUAUAAGAUUUUGAAAUAUUUGGAGCAAAAGUUUUUGGUCAAAAAUGUUUUUUUCCAUUAUUUUAAUUGGUCAAAAUUUAAUAUCUUAUUGCUUUGAACAUCCUUAUUUUAUUUGAGCACCAUGCUUAGCUUCCAAAUGUCGAAUGUCUAAACUUAGGUAUGGCCACUCACAUAAAAUCGUAAACUUAGUUAUUUUAAGUAAUGGUUAUGAAAUUUGAUUAAACUCUUAUAACAAUUUUCACGUCACGAAAGAGUCUUUUAAUUUGCUUGCAAAUUUUUUGAAGGGUAAUUGCAAUGAACGACCAUUUGAGAAAUAAUAGUUAAGUAUAUAGCAACAUUUAAAAAGAAUUACAAAUAUAGCAAAACUAUCGCUGAUAGACUUGUAUCACUGAUAGACUCGUAUGAUCUAUCGGUGAUAGAUCAUUUUUUAUAACAUGGUCUAUCGGUGAUAGACUCUAUCAUUGAUAGAAUUUUACAAAUUUGGUUAUAUUUGCAAUUUUUUUUAAAUCAUGUUGUUAUAUGCUUAAUUAUUUUGAAUUUAAUUACUAAAUUUGCAAUUAUCCCUUUUUUUUUGAAAGGUUACAGUAACCAAGCAUUCGUGGCUAUGUUUAAAAUUUCUGGAAACCAAAAGGGACUUAUUUUACACAUUUAAAUAAGUGAAAGGUUGCUUGGAAUAAAAAAAAAAUUAUAAUAUACCAAAUUUUACAAUAGGGAUAUUUCUUAUAUUUUAUAAAUACUUUUAAUAGUGGAAGGUUUCAUUAGGAGACAAAGGUAUAAGAGAUCAAUAUUUUAUAAUUGAAAUCUUUAGGACAGAGGUGUGAGUAUCCAAAGCAAAGUUAAAGUAGAAUAUGUUGAACGUAGAAGAAAUAGAAUUAUAUUAUAAAUUUUAUAAGCAGAAAUAUGUGUCCAUGCAUAUAUAGUAUCCUAACAAACCAAAAAGGUCUUUUUAUCCCAAUUAUUUUAUGUGUCUUGGUCCAUAUUGUCUAUGGGUCUAAUGCCAAAAUAUAUGUCAUACGACUAUAUGCUUGGUGUCCAAGUGGUUCCUCGUCUGUCAAGAAGAGCUAUUUAUAUGACUUUAAUUUACUUUUCUUGUUACACUCUGUCCCACACACGUCCUUGUUUGGUAUGCAAAACGCGGUCAUCUUGAUGUGCUAAAGCCAACACACAUUCAUCUUGAAGUCGUUAAGAUUUGGUUAAUUGCCAAGUCUCUUUGACUUAAAACUUAAGAAACAUACUCUGGCGAUAUAACCAACUUAACACACAAAAAUAGACCAACUCAUACUUUUAUUUAACUUUUAGCUACGGGUUUUACAAUAAGCUUUACAAACACAAUCAAAAUACAACUCUUAAAGCAUAAACUAAACGCCUAGCAAACCCUUCAACCUUCCAUUACUUGGCCUUAACGCCUGAUUCCUAGAAGAUGAGAUUUAAAAUUAUAAGUCUACAGACUUAGAGAGGUUUUCAUAAAUUCUUUUCGCUGUACUUUUACAAAUAUCAUUUCGUGUAACAUAAAAAUAGAAAUACUAGUUCAUAAUAACAUAUCAUUUUGUAUACAUGUUUCAUCUUGCAUAAACACACAUUAGUUACUAAUCAAUCAUUUUUUCAAGGAUCCAAAAUCAUUAUGUACACUAAGUCAAGUAACUUCGCAUUUAGACUACUGUAUUAACAACAUUUGAAAAUAUACAGAUUCAUCCUUAUUGCCCAAACUGAGAUGCAAUGCACAUCUUUCAUACAUUGUCCCGCCUCAAAUCACCAUGUAGUCCCUUUCAUUCUAUGGUGGCCUUUACUCUUUAUGUGCACAUAACCAUUAGCUUGACAAAGGAUGUAACUAAUGCAUGGUUUGAAACCAUUCAUAAUCUAAUCAUACAUAAUACAUGUAUAACAUUUUUACGUAAAGCUGUUUAGAAACACUUACAAUGAAACUCUUCCUUUCAAAUCAUUUAAAAACAUAUAAGGAAACUGACAAUCAUUUAAAAACUUUUAAGAAAACAUUCAUAAACUUAGCUUUAACCCGAACUUCUUCUACUUCCUUCUUCUUCUUCUCGCGUAGGCAACUCGGGAGAACUUCAGCUUUUAUGCUUUUCUCUUCAAAAUUUAAGAAUAUCCAUAAAAUAAAUCACUAAAGUGCUCUCCCUAUUUAUACUACUUCUUAAACAAGAUUAGUAACCCUUAAGCUCAUGCCUUCUUGACAACUCCCUCUCUUAGUGGUGCAAGUGUAAGCUUAAGGUUCAACCUAAUCAUGCUUAACAUAAACUCUCCACAUGACCCAUUAAACACACUUAGGAAAUUUCUCUAAAUUGUCCUUGCUCCUUUUUGCCUAGUGAUUCUUCUCGCGGAGCACCUUUAGUCACAUAGUGAUACUUGGACUUCAAGUUUUCCUAGCGAGUUACUUUAGAUAUCAACUUCUUAUCGCCUAAUUUUAUUUCAGAACGUCGUCUUUCAGUCAUAACGCCUAUUUUAGAACACUUUGUCAAAUUUUAUCCUUUUAACUUUUAAUUUAGGUACAUGUCUUACAUUCCUUGGGUUAUUUAAUGCAUUUAAAGGAUAUAUUUGUAGACUCUCAACGGUAAUUCAACAAAGUGUCAUUCGAGGUUGAGUUGAAACACUUAAGAGUUAUAUGAAAAAUCGAGGCCUCAAAAGAAUACAAAAUGACCAAAAUAUGCCUCCAAAGAAGUAGCACAACGUCGCCAUGCUCGCAUACCACACACAACAUAGUAAGGCAAUAGACACCUCAAAGCAAGAGAGCUAUAACGCAUUGAAUACAAACAUUUUCUGGUUUGUACCGUUUUAACUUGAAUAUUUAUUUAAUAAAAGCAAGAGUUAUUUCAUUUGACAUUUUAGACUAUAUAACACUACAAAAAAAAAAAAAAAAAACAUAUUUGUCUAGGCAAGAAAAUCCGCCGGCGGUGUGGUCGGAAGAAAAGGAUCGAGAGUUUGAUUUGCCAACACCAUAAACACGGCGCCGACAUAUAAGAACAAUUGUCGACAAGGCAAUACACUGGCAGUAGUGCAUUAUGAUCUCUUGAUACCUGUACUACACGGUAAAGAGAUAUUAUAUCUGCCAAUGCCUACCAUCGGUAGAUAUCCACAGGAUCUUAUUAAACCAUUUUAUGCUAAAGAUAAAUGUUUACCACAUGCUUUCUAUCUGAGAUUAAGGAAAUUAAUAUAUUUUAAAGCAUGAGUUUAGGAAAUGCUUUUAGCAUGUGAAUGAUAGUAAAACUUAAAGAUUAUUGUAAGUAUGUUUUACAAGCAAAACUAUUUUAUUAUGCAAAGUUUGAAUAUGAUUGAGAUUUGUGAAUGAGAUUUCCAUAAACAUGAGAUUUAAAGUGUUUAGUCUAUACUGGCGUUUAUUAUGAGAUACAUAUAGCAACUCUACGGGGUAUUACAGUUUCAUGUGCACAGAGGUCUUGCGGUGAUGGUAUUCAGUCUGUGACUAGAUUUGAGAUGAGGGCCUCUAUGGAUGCCUAACUUCUCCAUCUCCUAGCUAUCUACAUGAUAGGAUACUACUAAUGCUUAGGUUCUUUGUCUUGUAAGUAUUAUAUCACGAGAUAGGGUUUCCACGCGUAGCUUCUUCGUCUCGAUCGAUACAUAGAGAUAUUUGGUAUAACAUGAAAGAGAAAGUUUAUAUUUUAUUAUUCCAUAAAGCUAUUUGAUAAAUAAUUAUUGUUAAGGAAUGUUGUUUCUAUUGAACAUUUUCAAGCUUUACAUUUUCCUAAGUUAUGAUUUACCAGUUUUACUCAAAUAAUUUAUUUUAAGCAUGUUCAGUUAUUUAAUCAUUCACUCACUGGGUUAUUCAAUUCAUGCUUUCUAAAACAUUUUUAAUUUUUCAGGUAGAGAUCGUUAGAACCAGUACUUGACUCCAUUUAUCGAUAUGUUAGUACCAUAGUUUUGAGUUUCCUACCCGUAUGUGUUGUUUGGAGUUAGUCUUUUGGGUUGUAUAUAAAGUUGAAGUUUUGGUUGUGGAUUGUUUGAAUUUGUUAGUUUUAACUCUGAUGUUGGGUUAUUGUAGUUAUGUCUAUGUUAGAAUCGUGUUAUUGUACAUUCUGUAAGUGUGGGCUACAAUACAAGUUUCUGUGUUUAUAUUAGUUGAAUGUGUUUCAUGUUUUCGCUGUGUUAUAAAAAUUUAGUUAAGAGUAAGUUUUAGGGUUGAUAGGUAUCAUUGAGGUAAGUGGUGGUAUCUGUUAACCAGUUGCAUCAUCUCUUGGGCUAAGAGUAGGUGGCGUGGGAGGGAGUGUGACAUUGACAGCACAAUAAGUGAAAAUUACAAGUCCGAGACAACUAUGCCUGAAAAUAUAGGUGAAUAGGGUAAUGUUGAUAUUGAGGUCAUCCUUGGAUGGAAAGGACAAUAAUGAUGAAAAUGAGGUUGAUGCAAGAGUUACUAAAAAAAAAAAUUAGAGAGGAUCGUUUAGAAAAUAUCAGUUAAGUAUGAUUUGUCUUUUGAUCUGCCUAUUGCACUAAGGAAGGAUACCAAGUCUACACUAAACACUCUAUUGCUAACUAUGUUUCUUAUGAGAACCUAUCUCCUCAAUUCAAAGCCUUCACAUCCAUCCUUGAAACUACCAUGAUACAAAAAAAAUAUCCACAUUGCUUUAGAAUAUCUUGAGUGCAAAAAUGUUAUGGAAGAUAUGAGUGCCCUUGAAAAGAAUAAGACUUAGAAGAUCUACACUUUACCUAAGGGACAAAAACUGUGGGAUGCAAAGUGUGUUCACUAAUAAAUACAAGGUAGUUGGAACCCUUGACAGACACAAGGCAAGGUUAGUUGCAAAUGAGUUUACUCAAAUUUAUGGUGUUGAUUAUGUAGAAACUUUUUUUCGGUUGCCAAACUAGAUACUGUUAGAGUUUUAUACUAUAUGUUGUUGUGAACAAAUAUUGUCCUCUUUAUCAGAUAGAUGUUCAGAAUGCGUUCCUGAAUGAGGACCUAGAGGAGAAAAUCUACAUGAGAUCUCUCCCUCAGGGUUUGAAGUUCAGUUCGGUCAUCAAGUGUGUAAAUUUAAAAAAUCACUAUAUAGUCUUUAAUAGUCACUUAGAGCAUGAUUUGAUAGGUUUACUAGCUUUUUCGUGUCUCUAAGAUACAGUCAGGGGCACUCUAACCAUACUUUGUUUACAAAGGUGUCCAAGGUUAGGAAGGUUGCAAUGUUGAUUAUUUAUGUUGAUGAUAUCGUUCUAUCUGGGGAUGAGCACGCUGAAAUCAUUCAAUUGAAAAAGAGGAUGAGUUAUGUAACGCCCCAAAAAUAAGACAAUUUUGAAAUUGAAUUAUCUUGGUUAAAUUAUUAAUGUUAAAAUUAUUUUGGAGUGAAUUGAGUUUUUGGUGAGGAUUAUGUGUUUGAGGAAAUUAGGAUUAAUUAAAUAAUUAUGGAAAUAAUGUUUAAUUAAUCAUUGGAAUUGGAAACCUUUGGUAUUGUUAUGGAUUGAUAUUGAUUAGUUAUAUAUUAAAUUAUGGAAGGUAAUGAUAAUUAUAUUAAGGGUAAUAUGAUGAUUAAAAUUUUAUGUUUGUUUGUUAGGGAAUUAAAUGAGGAGGGAAGAGUUGGAGUUAUUUUACCGAUAAUAAAAUGGAAAAGAAAAAAAUGAUUUGAUUUGAGAUGUUUAAGGAGGAGAGAGAAUAAAUUAAUUUGAGUUAUUAUUUUGAAAAAGGAAUAGGAAGAGGGAAGAUAAAUAAUAAUAAUAUAUAUUUAUUUUUAAUCAAGACUCCUUGGCUAGUGUGCACUUCAUCUUCUUCAAUCUUCCUCGUCGCUUGUUGCCUCCAUCUGAUAUCCUCAUGUGAAGCCCCGUCGCCGUGGUUUCCCGCCGUCGGCCGUCCUCGCAACAUCCGAUCUCCACCACCGUCGUCGUGAAGCAGUCGAAGCUGGUUUGAUCCAUUCAUUAGAAGUUGAGUCGCCCGCGCGCACAUCCUUGUCGCACCACACUGGGUUGUACCUGUACCUCUGUCGUCUCUGUCCAAGUCAGCCUUCACAUCUACCGGCUUCAGUCACGUCGACACCUUUACUGCCCUGAGUUCGUUCUGGCAAGCCUCGUACCGUCGUCCCAGCCGUCUUUUUCGAUCCGAGCCGCUACCAUCUCAACCAAGUCACACACCUGAGCCGCAUUUUAGACCUGAGCUGUUACACGAGCCAUUCCUUCAUGAUCAAGUCGCACGUCUCCAAUGUUGGUUUUACAACAAAGGAUCUGUAAAAUCUCACGCACUCUUCUUGAAGAAAACAAAAGAUAAAUACUUUGUAAGAUAUAUUGUCAAGAGGAAGAGAAAAUUAAAUGGAACUUCUUGCAUUUAUUUAAUUUGAUGGAGUAAUAUUUAUAGUCUAAAAAGAAGCAAAAAUUAGUAACCCACUAACUUAGUGCUUGCUAAAACUUUGGAGAUAAUUAGAAAAAUAAAUAACCAAAAUAAUAAAUAGAAAAAUAACUUAAUUCUUUCACCUAUUUAGAAAGAUCAUGGCAAAUUAAUAACUCACACUACCCCUAAUUCUGACAUAAUUCUAAGUUACGAACACCAAGUAGUUGACGCAUAGCAGCUAACUUUACUCCCGUCAAUGCUUUAGUCAGAACAUCGGCUCGUUGUUCUCCAAUGGUGACAAAUUCAACGAUAAUUUGUCCAUUCUCGACACACUCUCGAAUGAAAUGAAAACGUGUAUCUAUGUGCUUGCUGCGACCAUGAAAUAAGGGAUUCUGCAUGAGAGCUAUCGCGGAUUUGUUGUCCACAAAUAAUGUCAUCGGCCUUGGCUCCAUUCCGACUCUCUCGCUAACAAAGCAUCUUAACCACAAUGCUUAGCAAGUUGCGGUAGUGGCUGCAAUGAACUCGGCUUUGCAAGAUGAGAGUGCCACCGUUUUUUGCUUUUGCAAAUUCCAUGAAACCAAGCUUUCGUUUAAGUAGAAUGUCAUUCCACUUGUGCUUUUCCUCCCGUCGAGAUCACCGGCUAAAUCACUGUCAGAGUAAUCGAAUAUAUUGAAUUCUCUUGGACCUUUCGUAUAAGUGAGCCCAAAAUGAAUUGUCCCUAUCAAAUACCUAAGUAUUUGCUUGACCACCUUGUAAUGCAUGGUUGUAGGCCUUUCCAUAUACCUACUCGCCAUCCUAACAGCAUAUGAAAGAUCUGGCCUUGUGUUCAGUAAGUAUCUAAGACAACCAACGAUCCUUUUGUACUCCGUAGCAUCAAUUGGUGCUCAUUCCAUGUCUUUGUGAAGUUGUGCAUUGAGUUCCAUCGGGUACUUUGUGGCAUUGCAAUCAGCCAUUCGAAACUGGGACAAAAUUCUCUUGGCAUAAGUUGGUUGUUUGAGCAGGAUUCGACCCUUCUGUUGUUCAACUUCAAUUCCUAAGUAGUAAGAGAGAAGGCCUAAGUCGCUCAUUUCAAAUUUUGCCAUCAUUUGUUGCUUGAACUUAAUGACCUUUUCAGUGCUACUUUCUGUUACAAUGAGAUCGUCAACAUACACUCCAACAAGAACACAUUCCUCUUCUUCUCUUCUUAUGUAGACUGCUUGCUCUUGAAUGCAUUUUCUAAAACCAAGAUCUUUGAGACUCCUAUCAAGUCGAAUGUUCCAAGCUCGUGGAGCUUGCCUCAAUCCGUACAGAGCUUUUGACAAUCUAUACACAUUGUGUUUUUCAUUUGGAACCUCAAAACCCUCUGGUUGAGUAACAUAUACUUCCUCUUCCAAUUCGCCAUUGAGAAAUGCCGACUUCAAAUCUAGAUGGUGUACCUCCCAACUUUGGUUUGCAGCGAGUGCAAGAAUGACUCGAAUGGUGUCAAGUCUUGCAACCGGUGCAAAAACUUCUUCAAAGUCAAUGCCUUGUCUUUGUACAUAGCCUUUAGCAACCAUUGUUUUGUGCUUGACAACUUCUCCAUUAGGGUCUUUCUUCAAUUUAAACACCCAUUUUAGACCAAUGGGUUUAUGUCCUAGUGGAAGCUCGGUCAGACUCCAUGUGUUUUUUUUCUCAAUGGAUUUUAAUUAGUUCUCCAUUGCUUCGUACCAGCGGCCCUCUGUAACAGCUUCUUGGUAACAAGUCGGUUCUUCGGACACUACCAUCAUCACCUCAUUCUCUUGUUCAUCACCACCUACAACUUCCUCUGUGUUGGCGUAGAUGUCACUGAGAGAUCUUAGAAGGAUCGGUGUGUUCAUCGAUGGAGGAGAUGGACUGGUCUCUCCAAUCGCAGGUAUCUCAGUUGCAUGUGGUUUUACAACAAAGGAUCUGUAAAAUCUCACGCACUCUUCUUGAAGAAAAUAAAAGAUAAAUACUUUGUAAGAUAUAUUGCCAAGAGGGAGAGAAAAUUAAAUGAAACUUCUUGCAUUUAUUCAAUUUGAUGGAGUAAUAUUUAUAGUCUAAAAAGAAGCAAAAAUUAGUAACCCACUAACUUAGUGCUUGCUAAAACUUUGGAGAUAAUUAGAAAAAUAAAUAACAAAAACAAUAAAUAGAAAAAUAAAUAACAAAAACAAUCAAUAGAAAAAUAACUUAAUUCUUCCACCUAUUUAGGAAGAUCAUGGCAAAUUAAUAGCCCACAUCCAAGCCGCACGCUUGCAAGCAUUUUGAGCCAGUUCUCUUCCACGAGUCAUCCACCCGAGCCGACUGCCCUUGUGGAGUCGUUUCCUGUUUUGAGCCACUUUUUGGUGAGAUUUGCUUAUUUUGAUUGGGUUUGGUACUCCCAUCCAAUAGCUAUUUAUCCCAAGUAAUUUAGUGAUGAGUUAAAGUCAAGUAAUUUGAGUUAAUGGAUUUAAGUUAAAAAGUUAUUUUAUUUGAAGGUUGAUUAUUUUGUUGGGAGAUUGGAACUGUGCAAUUUCUUAUUCAAGGUUGUGUUGGAUUCAACCUUAGUCUUAGGACUGUAAUUUGGAAGUUUAUUGUUAGGUGAAAGGACUGUAUUUCGGCUAGUCUUCACAAACAUCUAGCGGGACUAGUAGUGAGUCCCUUAAACAUAAAAUUUAUACUCACCCUUUUUUAUGUUUAAAUUUACACGCAAAGGUAAGAGGUAGAGCAAACUGACGAAUGACAAGAAGAGAUCAUGGUUCACCAUAGAGCGACAAUAUAUGUUUUGUUCAGCUUGUAUUGUUUUCAGUAUUAAAUUUUCAUAAGAUUAUUUCAUAACUCAGGUUUAUUUUAAAAAUUUCUUUUAUUUUAAAUAGGGCCCAACUAGUAUUUUUCCUAAUAUUUAUUUAUUAUUUUCUUCACACAUUUUAUUUACUAUUGAUUUUAAAUGAAUAUUUGAAAUGUUUUCAUUUAUUUUAAACAAAAACUUUUAUUUGUUUUACUGAUAACGACUUCAACUUAGUAUAAAGCGUUGGGUCGUUACAGGUUGCAAGAUUGAAUGCAAAAACUUGAAAAAUCUGAAAUAUUUCAUUAGAAUGGAGGCCAAAUCUAAAGAAGGUAUCUUCUUAGAGAAUGUAUACCCUUGAUUCACUAACUAAGAUAGGUAUGCUAGGAUGUCGUCUUGCUGAUAUUCCCAUUGAAUUCAACUGUAAACUAGGAAAUUCAGAUGCUAUAGUUAUAGUUGAUAAAAACAAUAUCAUCAUCCUUGUGAGUAAGUUAAUUUACUUGUCCCAUACUGAACCAAAAUUUUCCUUUGUUGUGAGCCAAGUUCAUGCAAGCUCCCUAUGAGGAACACACGGAGGCUGCAGACAAAAUCUUAAGAUAGUUAAAAAUGACUCCUAGUAAAGGAUGAUGUUUAGAAAGAUAGACAGGAAAACUAUUGACGUUUGUACUGAUUCAGAUUGGAUAGGGUCGAAUUUUGAGCAACCAAUGAAAUUAUUUUGUGAUAACAAGGCAACCAUUAGUAUCGCCGCCGAUCUAGUUCAACAUGAUAGAACUAAACAUGUUGAGAUUAAUCAACACUUCAUCAAAGAAAGGUCGGACAAUGGUAGCAUAUGCAUUCAGCACAUUCCUUCGAACCAACAAGUUUCUGAUGUCCUCAGCAAGGAACUUCUUAAACAGAACUUUGACUUUUGUGUUAGCAAGUUGGGUCUCAUUGAUAUCUAUGUCCCUACUUAAGGGGAAGCGUUAAAAAUAGUGGGCUUGGGCCUUGAUGAAAGCCCAUCGGUUGUUAAGAUUUACUUUACUCUAAUUUUUAUUAUUUUUUUAUUAGGCUCCUGUUGCAUAUAAAUAUUCCUUCCAUUUAGGCCUUUUCUAUCACCAGAAAAUAGUAAUACAAAAUAUCGUGGUUUUUCUCUCAGUACUCGGGUUUUCACGUAAAUCUGUGUUUCUUUAUCUUCACUUAAACUAUUAUGGCAUGCAAUUUCAUAGUGUAGCUUAUGAUAAUCGUGGAGCUCCUCAAAAUACUGGAAUCAUGACAGUUGGAGAAUGCAAGGGUGGAAGUAAUGAGCAUAAUUUCUAUGGUGUAUUGACUAAAAAGUACUAGAUACUUAACAUUAAAUGCAAGCAUUGAAAGUAUAAUUUCAGAAAUCCCAAACAAAGUUGAAAGCAUAAUUUGAAGAGACAAAACAACAGAUGAAACAAUAGAUGGUAGAAUCUCACGCAAGACAAAUGGAGGAGAUGAACAAGAUGAUUGAACAAAUGAUGUAGUCACGAGGACCAUAAAAAUAGAUAUGAACUAAACCUCUCAUAGUAGACUCGUACAUAUAGGACUUCGGAGCAUAGGGUUAUGACAAUCCUUCAGUUAUGGAAGUUCAUAAUUAAUUUAUUUGUGUUGCUUUGAUUGUAGACCCAGGUUGUAAUGGGUUUGAUUGUAUUUUUGUUUAGGGGAGGAAGCACUUGUGAAAUUGUUUGUAUUAAUGGGCUGUGAUGGAUUGUUCUCCAUUAAGAUGUUUGAGGGGAGGGAGGUGUUUGUAUUGAUUUAGGACAUGAGAUAGGCAUGGUUAGCUUAUGGCUUGGAGUGUUUGUUUUGCUUUGAUUGUAAGUGGGAGGAAAGAGGGUACUUGUGCAUUUGCUUGGACUCGUAGAUGCGCAUUAGAUGGGUGGUUUUACUUUUAUUACAUUAAAUAAGAGUUGUUUGUCUUUGAUAUGUUUCAAGGUGAGGGAGAACUUGUGCAUUUGUUUAGACUCAUCAUAGAUGGACGUUAGAUGGGUUGUUUUUUUUUUUUUUUUUUUUAUUACAUUGAAUGAGGAUAUUUGUCUUUGAUAUGUUUGAUUGGGGGUGGGGUGAGAGAUGGGGUGGGUACUUGUGCAUUUGUUUGGACAAAUUGUAGAUAGACAUGUGAUGCGUUGUUUUACUUUGAAUAGUGUUAAUGAGGUUUGUUUGUCUUUGAUUUGUUUGGAUGAGAGUUGUUUGCAUUGAUGUGUAUGAGGGAGAGGGAGGGGGAGGGGGAGGUGUUUGUUUUGCUUUGAUUGUAGGAGGGUUGAGAUAUGUGUGGGGUACUUAAUGAUGAUGUUUGUUUGAUUGUUGCUUAAGAGUGUGUUUAAUUAUUACUAUGAAAAGCAAUUGUCUCUUGAAUUCAUUACUUACUCUAGGUGCAUGCUUUCUAGGCAAUCAACUAGGAAAGAAGAUUUUUUUUUUUUGGGUUGAUGUUAGAUGCUUAUUACGUCAAACCUAGAAGUAUUUUGAUGAAAAAUUUUCUUUAACAUUCCUUUCUAUCAAGUCAUGUAUCGAGAUUUUUUAGCGUAAUUAAUUAUGUCUUGUAAAUUUCUAUUAAUUUGUAUAUAUUAAUGAAAUUUAGAAUUCACACAAACUGUUAUUUUUACUGUGUAUAGUAUAUAUUAUUUUUACUGUGUAUAGUAUAUUUUACUUUUAUGGUUUCAAUCGUUUGAGAUUUUAUAAAUUUAAAAACAUGAUUAAUUUUUCCAAAAAAAUAAAAACAUUGUCGAUGCUUGAAUUAAUAUCGUCGGCAAAAUGAAUCAUCUUCUGACGCCUUCAUCAAGAUUUAUCUCUCGAUCAAUUAAUUUAUUAGACUGUGCACAAUAUUCCUAAAGCGACAAAUGGCCAUCUGGAGAUUAGAUUUCUGUCGACAUCGUUUGACAACGAUAUCAGAAGACUGUUAUUCCUGUCAGAAAUAAUAUCGACGGUAAUUCUCAACGGAUAUUUGGAUGGCAUUAGUGUUCGUUCUCUAAAAAGAUGUCUCCCAACCCAAUUGCCGACAACUAAAAUGACUCGGUCAAAGUUUUCCCUAUGUCAUCUAGGUUCUUUUCCAACUUAUACAGGCAUCGAUAAAUCCUAAAAUUCUUGGAGUGUAUCCUAUGUUUUUUACCAUAAGAUUCUUUUUUCACGUAGGAUUUGUCAUCAUCUCUUUGGCCUAUGACUAUAUGGAUGUGAAAUUUCCAAUAUUUUUUACCACUGACUUUUUUCCUAAACUGUAGAUUGCAAACAAGUUAUCAAUUAAUGUUGCUUUUUUCUUCUUCUUAAUUUUGGAGUAGAAAGGGAUAGCAUUCUCGUCUGUAUAGACAACCCCAACUGUUGAUACCAAAUUUUGGUUAAGAGAAAGCGCAUCUUACAUUCAUCUAACACAACUCUAAAUUUAUAAUUAGGGAAAGAGAUUACCAUAAAACAAAGAAAAAGAGCUUUCAUAUCUAAGUCACUGACAAAAUUAUGUAAUAGAGAAGAAGUUGAAAGUCUAAAGUGUCAUAUCCCUUAUUUAAAUACUUGAUAUGAGAUUAUAUAAUUCUAUUCCUAAUUCUAAUAAGUUAGAAUAAGAUAUUUUAUCUUACAUUUAUCUUUUUGUGUGAUAUUUUACUUAUUUUAUCCCCAAUUUCACACACAACAGAUUCGAUUUCCUACUACAAUCUCUUUUUUAUUUCUUUUUUCCUUUUGUCUUCUUCUAUUAAACUUUUUUUCAGUCUUAAAGAUUGGCAUAUUCUCUAAUUUAUCUCAAACUCACAUCUCUUUUGUUGUUUCUCAAGUUUUUAUAAGAUUAUUUUUAAAUAAAAAAAUGAAUCAAAAUAUAGUUCAUCUUUUAUCUUCAAAUAAGAUUAGAAAUGUUGCAUAUUUAAUUUGUCUAAUAGAAUUAGGAUCUUGCUUAGAUAAAAAUAAAAAUAAUGUUAGUGUAUCUUUAUAUUUUCCAAAUGAGAUUAGAAAUAUUACAUGCUUUGGCUAGUAAGAUUAAUGAUACUAAUUGGAUAAAGAUAAAGCUGCUCCAAAUUUUAAAUAGUUUUAAUUUUUUUUUUAUUUUAUUUUAUUAUAAUUCUAAUAAUAUUAGAAUAAAAUAAAUGGCAUGUUUAUCUAUUGUGACUAGGUUAAAAUAGAUCUUUUAAUUUAGUAUUAAAUAAUUAAAUAUGUCUAUCUAAAACUUUUUGUGCUGUCAUAUUUUUCUUAUAAGCUAAUUUUUAUCAUAAAGGCAGCAAUAUUUGUGUGAGAAUUUUUCUAUUUUCUUGGCUGUGCACACAAAUUACGAACCUAAAGUAAAACUUGUUUUCAAAUACAACAAUUUUGAGACAAAUUAUCUAUUAAUAUAACAAAAUGUUACCAUUUAUAUGUGUGAUAGAUAUAAACACUUGUAGAAAAAGUUUGUAAAGUCUAAUGAGUAUUAGAUUCAAUUGUUGAUAGACUUCUAUUAGUGAUAUAUUGCUUUAUUAUUAUUAAAUUCUAAAAGCUUGAUCUGAAUUUUGUUAUCUUUGGAUAUUGUUUCACUAUCAUGCUAUAUUUGAACUACCUCUUUACAUAUACUCUUUGCAUAUCCUUUAAUGAUAUGAUGGAUAUUAAUAGAGGGUCUAUAAUUGAUAUUAUUUAAAAUUUUACUAAAUUUAUAAAUACUUUCAUUUAUUAGGAUAUAUUUGAAAAUAGUACCCUUCUAAAAGUAAAUUACAUAUAUGUAUAUCUAUAUAUAUGAAGUGGAAAACAAAGCAGAAUAAAAUAUUCGUGGAAGCAACUGCUUUUUUUUAUUUACAUCCAUAAUAAUAAUAAUAAAAUAAAAUCACUUUGCUGGGUACUUCCUGGCCAGCACAAGAAAAACUAGAACAAAAUAUAAAAUAAAAACAAUACAAUGUAAUAAAUUAAAGUAAAUCAUGAGAAGGGUAUAUAAAAAGGGAAGUAGGAUUGAGCAUUGUUAUUUGUGGUUAUAAUAAGAGAAUUGUAAAGCCAUGUCUCUUAAAGGAAAAAUUGAGAGUGAAAUAGUAAUAAACACACCUCCCCACAGAUUUUACAAACUAUUCAAAGAAGAAAUUUUCGACAUUCCAAAAGCUUGUCCAAAGUUAGUCCAAAAGAUUAAUAUUCAUGGUGGGGAUUGGAGCAAACACGGUCACGGUUCGAUCAAGACUUGGCAUUACACUUUAGGUACAUAUAUCAAUCGAUAUCUUGUUAACAUCAUCCCUGCCACAAUCCUUUUAAUAUAUGUUUACAUGAGUUGUUCCUUAAUUGGCUUUUUUGUUUUUUCUGUGUUGGUUAUGUGCUUUUGUAAGAUGACGACAAAGCUGAAGUUUUCAAGGAACGAGUGGAACUUGAUGACAAGAACCUAGUGAUAAAACUAAUUGGAUUGGAAGGAGACUUGUUUGAGCAUUAUAAAAGCUUCAAUGAAACAUAUAAAGUUGUGAAAAAGGGACCUGGUCAGUGUGCCAUAAUUCUUACCUUAGAGUAUGAGAAACUUCACGAUUGUUCUCCAUCCCCUCAAAAGUACUAUGAUGCUAUGAUUAACCUUGUCAAGAGCAUUGAAUCACAUCUUAAAAAAUAAUGUUUCUUCUGCGCCCAUGAGCGACCCUUUAUGAUAUAUGAAUAAGUAAUGUCAUCGUAGAGGUGAUUGAGGAUUUUGUGAAAGUAAAUAAAUGGUUAUAUCCUCAUGUUAAAUGGAUGAAAUAAUAUAUUGUACUACUGAAGAAAUAUAUAUAACUUCCGUUAUGUUUGAAAAUAAUAAUUGAUAGUUUUUUAUUAUUAAUAUUAUAUUCUUUGCUCCCUCUCAAAUUUGACAGAGCUUAUUUUCACAAACAUUUAUUUUUCACAUUAAAUGUGUCGAGGAAACUACGAAUGAAAAAUAUGGUACAUUCCACCUCUAACGUAAAUGAUAUAAUUUUUAGUUUAAAAAAUGUAUGUAAUAAAAAACUUGACUAUUUACAUGACCAAUCUAAUAAAAAUAAAAUACACUCAUUGAGUUGACGUAUAUUUAAUUUUUGAGAUUUUAAAAUAUAUGAUUUAGUCUCUUAAAUUUGAAAAAUAAUUUUAAAAUUGACUAAAUUUUAAACCAACAGAAUAUUUACUACAUUAAUUAUAUUAGAGAACACAGUUAAGUUUUUUAUAUUAUUUUAAAAAGUCAUUUAAAAGAUGAAAUGAAAAAUUAUUUGACAAAGUUAAUAACAACAAUAAAAAAAAAUGGCCCUCAUACUUCAUCCUCUCAUCAGUCAUCUCCCAAGCUUUCUCCGGCCACUUAAAUGACCUCGACCUCGCUGCCUUUUCCAUGGCCGUUAUCGUUGUCUUAGACAUGGUUCCCCUGAUAUACCUAAAGCCCUAACUCUGUUUUCUCUAAUUUAAUUGUGGAGAUGCUAUGCAGGAAAGCGUACGGGUCAAAGAAAUAUUGUUCAUGUUGGGAGUUUAUUUGCAGCGCUCAUGGACCUUCUCUUUCUAUGCUGUCCUUCUUUUGUUGCAUAUUUUCUUCAUUGCGUCUCCAUAUUGCUGAUACCUCAAAGGUAUAACAGCCAGCUUCCUCUGCCAAUUUAAUAUUUUCAACAUGGAUACUUCCUUCUCACUUUAGCUUUGCGUUUUACUUUUCAUUGCAAUUUUUUUCAAGAGCCAAGUGAAGGUCUGGGCGAUUUUGUGGUCGGCGUCGGCGGGUAGUUGGGUGCUUGUAGGUUGAACUUAAAAUGGGUGUGGUGGAAAUUGCAGCGGCUUGCAAUAUUUAUUGCAAACCUUGGGGACAAUUAGUUUCUUUAAUCUCUCUAUCUAAAAGGCAAUCUGUUUGCUUUUAGGUUUCUAACUUGUUAACCAUUUUCUGUUUGUUAACAGAACACAUGGAAAUAUUAUUUUGGGAGAUCAUUUCUUUAGGACAACUUUUUUAAUUUCUUUGCUUGGCAAGCUAAAACUUCAUUUAUUUGAUCUUUUCAUCUUUCCUUUGAGUGAUUCGUUUGGUCUACAAUUCCUGAAUUAAAUUAGGUUUAUUUAUGUAUGUAUAGAUGGUUAUGAAGUUCUAGCUUUUUUGGUUACUGUCACGCCCCCGCUCGAAACGUGCCCUCUACGUACCGAGUAUAGACAUGACUUGAGCAAACCGACGUUUCGAGGUGCACCAGAAUGCUUAGGUACUUCUUUAAACAUAAGUUAAGCUUUAGGCGUGAUCAUGCUGACAAACGAUUGUACUAAGGAGUAGGACAACAUGCAAUAUAUAUAAAAAUUAGCAAUCCUUUUAUUAACAAUCGUGUUACAACACAAGCGUACAACUUACAACAUAAAAGACUAAAAAACUCAAGCUAACUAGUACUAUGCAACACAACAAGUACUUAGCAGUGACCUCCUCUUGUUUUGCCUGAUGACACUUUUUCGUUUAACUUGAAAAGGGAAAACUUAAAAUGUAAGCUAAUAGCUUAGUGAGUGACAAAAAUUUACAAAUACAUUUUGGGAAAUACAAUUAAACACAAUAAGACCUUUCUCAUUUUUAGAAACAUCUUACUGCCUCACUAUGCUUUUAUUGGCACAAAUAACCACAUUUGCCUCUACCUAUUUUCUUAUCGUCGUCUGGAUAUUAAACUCCCUCAAUGUAAGGAUUGUUGUGAUGAUUACUUCACCACUAGCAUUUCUACAUACACUCCUUCAAUACUAGUUGCUUCCAUGAUCUGCUUGAACACAGACCACUCAACGCGUUCAACUAUCCUUCUACCAAGCAGACAACUGAAUGUAUGACAACCUCUACUCUAUUGUGCAUACAAUAUAUAGCUAGCUUUUGAUCUAAAAUAAGGCUAAUAGUUUUGUAUACAUACAAGCAUCACAACAAUACAAUUUCACAUAUAGACAGACUUGAAAAUUAGUCAUGGUUUUUUAAUGUAUAAAUGAGAUUACAACAUGAGCAUAUUUAACAUGGCAAUAUAACAUGAUUUUGGUGGUAAAAACAUUUUUCAAAAGCUUUCUUUUCUUUUGGAGGGUCGCUCACGUAGUUAAGCUUUUCUUUCUCCCUUACUCUCCUUCUUAUCACCUAACUCUUCUUCCCACUUUUUGCCUGCUCCUAUAAUGAAACUUCACCUUUUCCUCCGUAGAAUUUUCUCUUAUCUAAACACUUGAAUUAAUCCUUCCUCAAAGCUAUUUAUACUAUUCUCAAAUCAAAUUAGUCAGCAUUACACUUCUCCUAAAUUCAACAGUUCCUACUUAGUGCAUUACACGUACGUGUUAGUUUAGUAUCCUUCUUAAACCACAGUCUUAAUUUAACUUAACCUGUGUUUAGCUGACUAAUAAUGCUCCUUCUCACCUAGCUUGUCACUUGAAAAAUUGAUUUAUGUUCGUUGUCUCCUUCCCUUCUUGCAAUACUUUGUUGUACCGUGUUGCCUUUCUUCACAAUGUCUUAUCUGAUCUUUUUACCCUCUGCUCCUUCCUCACAUUAUCUCAAAACAUACUUAAGCUCAAAUAUGCUACUUCAAAAAUUAAUUUAGAAGAACCUCUCUUUUAGGACGCAAGUUUCAUAAUUCUUCCCUCUUUAGUAAUUUCGUCCUCCAAAUUCUACCUUUUUUCCUUUAGUUAAACUUGGCACCCUAACGGCGAUUGUUGCACUGAGUGGGACACGACUCCUUGUUGGGUAGUACCUUGUUUAGGUUUUCAUUGGGAUUCCUUUCCAUAGUGCCCUUCUUCUCUAAAAUUGAAACAGAUAAUUGUACUUCUUCAUAACCUACCUACAUGCUUUCGACCACACUCAAUGCAUUGAGGUUUGUGAGUUCCACUUUAGAAUGAUUAUGUGUAGCUUAUUUUCAUUCUUUUGUUUUCUCUAACUUCUUUCUUUCUUACUCUUCUCUUUUCCUUCUUCAUCAACUCCUCCACUUCCUUCAAAAGCUUGCUUUAUGAAUUGAAAUUGAUUGUUUCUUUCUUACUGCUAUCUUAAACUGAUAAAAGGUGUUCUUGAUAGCUUGAUCUUGGUGAAAUGAAUCCUAAAUCUAGGCAAUGUUGUAUCUCGAGAAGCUCGUAAAAGUGAGUCCCAGGUUUGAGAAAAUAAUGAUUUUGCAAGACGUUGGUGAAGUGAACCUAGGUCUAGCCGAUUAGAACUUCAAAGUCCUGCGUUUGAAUAUCAACCAAAAUUAAUCUAUGAGUUUUCAACCUGAAAUUCAAACAGCCACGUGUCUCCCAUCCAAGUUCUUUGCAUCUUCUAGGUCACAAGUCCAAAUUAUCCUACACGCCCUUUUCUUUACUUUUACGUGAAAAAUCCCAAACUAAACAUUUAUUUUCUUCAUAUUCUUCACCAUAUUUCCCAAUUUUCUUCCAUUUUUUGACCAGAAGUUACAUCUCAACCGCCCUAAAAUAUUAUAGAUUACCAAAAAACCACGAAAAAAACCCUCUCCAAAACCCAUUCCAAACCCAUUUUUUCUCCCAAAAAAUUUUAUCCAUUUUCUUGAUUCUCAUGGAAGGGUAAGUGUUUUAUGAGGUAAAGAGUAAUUGGGUUGAGUUUUCUUUUAUGGGGGCCUCUACUUUUUUGCAAGAUUGUAAAUUUUUUCUUUAUUUAUUCAAGAACUCUACUUUACUUUCUUAUAAAAUUGUUGUAAUUUAUAUUCUUGUGAACUAAUCAUUCCGAAAGUUCAAGCAAUAAUUUGCCACGCAUGAAAUGUACUAAUUUAGAGAAAUAAAGUUGACAAUUGUUUGUUUUUUUUAUAAUUCUUGAUUCUUUGAUAAAUUUUGUUCAUAGUUUGAGUUGAGAUGGCUAGAUUUACUUUAAAUUUUGUUCAGUGUAAUAAAAUAUAUCCUUUCUCUUGGACGAAUUUAAUUUUCUUGAACCCAAUUUGUCAUUUUAUUCAAGGUAUGCAAUGUGCCAUUUUUUUUGGAAAUUUAAAGGAAACCUCGUUGAAUGGUGAAUUAUUUUCUAUCAUUUUUUUCUAGCGUUUGUGUCUGGCAAUCUUUUGAUUUGGUAAUUCUUGGAAUAAAUAUUCAUGCUAUGCACUUGUUUGUUGAACAAAUGAUGGGUAAAUAAAGCAAUUUCUUUUAUAUGCAUAUUUGUUUUUAUUCUUGUUAGGUAAAAGGUGUGAAUCUUGAACAAAUUAAUUUUGGUGUUCAAGAAAUUUGAUCCCAAAGUUAAUUUGACCAAUAAUCUUUUAAACCUUUCAAUUUUUACUUUCCAUUUUUGGAUCCCCAAGGAUAGAAAACCCUCGUAUACUCAAUUACUCUGGCCUCACAUUUAUUAGUUGAGUAUUUUUUUCACAUAUUUUACUAUCUUGAGUUGGAACAACCUAGAAUUUACUUUGUUACUUGUCACAACAUGAUUCUUUAAAUUUCUUGCUUAAUCUUUUCAUGCUUUCUUAGUUUAUCUAACACUCUUUUCUAGUUUCAAUUCAAGUUAGAAUUAUUUCCACUCCCUUGGUUCGACACUCUCACUUGCCACCACACUAUGGUAAUAAGUGGGUUUUUAUAAAUAAUCUUUUGUCAAGGUGAAUUGGUACGUCUCUAUCCUUUUCCUAAUCAACUAGUGUUCCAUUUUCCAUAUAAUUAGCAUAUAUUGUUACAUGAUUACCAUUUAAAUGGGCUUGCCAAUUACAUAUUACAUACAACAUUCAAGCCUUGCCAGCGAGUAAAUGCCGGUGAAAGUGAAUCCUAGUCUGAGCAAGGGAUAAAAAUGUGUUCUUGAUAGCUAGAUGCUGGGGGAAGGUGAAUUUCAUGUAUAGGCAAUGAGAUGCUGAUAAAAGUGAAUCUCAGAUUUGAGAAAACAAUGAUUUUGCUAGACGCUGGCGAAAUCCCAAGUCUAGGCGAUUAGAUGUUGUGAAGUGCAUCCCAGGUCUAGGAGAUUAGAUGUUGUGAAUGGGAGAAUCCCAAAUUUUGGCAAUGAAUAAUGAACAUCCUGAUGAAUGAAACACGUGGAAUUUCUUUGAUUGUUGUGUUUAUGAUUUAAUGCUAUGAGAAUUUAUGUUCUUAAGAUUAAGAUUGUUGUUAAUGAAAAUGUUGUAUUCCCCCUAAUAAGGUAUUUCUUAAACCCAUCACACACUAAGUCUUUAACUAACCUUUUAGUUUUCUCCUCCCCAAGUUGUCAGGCGUUGAAGAUAAGUAAAGAAUGAAUGUCAGGUGUAGAAGCCAAGUAAAGAAGGGAAAUGUCCGUUAUCAUGUAAACCCAUUUCACAUUUGAGGAGUUGGCAGGCAAUUCUUAUACUCCUAAAUGUUGAGGGCUACAACUCAAUUUUGAGGAGAAGUUGAAUGCUUCAGCACAAUUUUGAAGAGAUGCCAAGGGCAGCAUCACAAUUUUGUCUUGCCGAAGAAGACGAGUGGAAGAAAUGAGCCAAGAAUGAAGAGCCUAAAGUUAUCAAUUUAGUCUUGUCAUAAUUGUAGAAGUGUGAAAUUCAGUUGUACUUAGUGUAAUGAGUUAAGUGAAUAAAGCGAAAAAGUUAAGCAUAUUCAGCUACAUCAUUGUUAUUAUUUGCCAUAUCCUGUAAAAGUUAAAAGUUAUUUUCAAUCAAGUAAUGAGGGCUAGGUGAUGGAGCUAACUCUAAAAUUUGUUUUAAGCUAUUAUAAGCUAUAAGGGUCUAAGUCUAAAGUAGAAGCUUUGCGAAGAGAUAAGUUCAAGAAGUUGCUCUGCUUACUAGGCAUUUAGCGUGUUAUCUCGCGAUGGGUACCUAGGCGGCACAUCCCAAUCUAGUCGCAUGGAAUGGAAUUUGGGAUGGUGUAUGACAUGAUCGUUUGAAGGUAGAAAACUAAACGAUCACGUAAGAGGGUAAACGAUCGUAUAGAAAGCUAAACAAUCGUGUAACAGGUUGCAGAGUAAACGAUUGUGAUAACAUUUCCUUCAGAACCAAACAUAGUUAUGAAUGUCAAGUAGUUACAACAGUUUUAAACUUUACAAACAUUAGGAAUGAAAAAAUAAAACAAUACAACCCGAUAACCCAACCCAACCCAACCCAUAUUUUAUGGGUUGGAUUGGAAAAUUAAUUCGGGUUAUUUGGGUUGCCAAAUCAACCAACCUGAAAAUAUGGAUUGGGUUGAGAAUAUCUCCCAACCCAACCCUACUCGUUUACAUCCAUAAUUCUAGUGUCAUGUAUGCCUUUUUUUUUUCAAAUUAAAUAUCCUAAUUGUUAAAGAUUAUGAGAUUGACGAUCUUUGUUUUUACAUCUUUAAAUGUUACUAGAGAUGUCGUUGCAUUGGUGGUUUUUGGAAGAAAAAUGUUGAAUGGAAAUGUUGUUCUGCAAAAUACCCUUCUUAUCGUUUCUUUCUUUUGUUCCCUUAUUUGCCAAUAUCUUUUGCUUACUUUGUAUGUAGCUGCAGUGGAAGAUAGGGUUUCUUUUUAGUGUUUCUAUUGGACAUACUUAAAGGACACUUAGUCUUUCGGCUAGGACUAGUCGUUAUGUUAUUUCUUGAGCAAUAUUUUUCUGUAGAAGUGUGUUGGUAUCGAUCUUGGUUGUAAGAAGAAGAGAGUUGAAUCACUUAUUUCAACUUACUUACUACACGUGUAUAUUGUGAUUCAUUUAUGAAGGGAUUCUCAAAACUAAAACGAGCUUGUGCUAUUCAAGAAAAGAUGUCUUUGUUCUUAGAAUGAAUGGUAUACAAUAAAAGUGAGAAGGAAUCUCAUGACUCAAGGGAAGCUAUCAAGGCUUGUCGAGAGCCAGGUUUAUGUCUUAGAAGGAACCUAAAACUCUCUUCACUAAUAAUACAACUUAUGCAAGCCUACGAUAUAAGAGAAGUCUCAAACCUAGGGGAGUCUGGGUGUGCAGUAGAAUGAUAAAACUAUUCAGAAGUCAUAUAUUUGCGUUAUCAUUAAAGAUAAGUACUACGAUGUAAUUGGUUAUCAUUGUUAUUAGUGAAUGUAAUGUAUCUUUCUUAGGUACACUACCCGCUAGAUGUAUAAAACUAGGUUACCAAUCUUGUGUUCAUUUGUCACUGUACUAUUUGUUUGUAACUAUUGUGUGAAAUGUUGUAACAUUAUCGUGGGUAACAUAGUUUAUUUCAUGUUGUAGACAAGUACUUUCUUAAUUUCACUGUAAUUAUGGUUACUUUGCAACCACUAUAAUAUUUUAUAGCUUGUUUACAUGGACUAUUUUCAUAAAUUACAUGCUUAUUAGUUCUGUAUAUAUAGUUAUUUGCUGAAAAUAUUAUAUAAAUAUUUGGGAUUUUUUUAAAAAUAGAACAAAUGGGCAAAAUAUUUACAGUGUAGAGAACAAUUUCGAAAAAGAAAAAAAGCUCAUAGGCCCACAAUUGAAAAUACCAAAAAUGCCCCGAUCAAUACGCCAUUAGCCGGUCACACGUGUGUGUAGUUCUUCUAAAUGAUCGUGAACCAAGAUCGUUUAGAUAUUGUUACAUGAUCGAGUACGAAGAUCUAAAUGGUCAUGUGCAAAAUCUAAACGAUUUUUGUUCAAGAUCGUGUGUCAAGAUCUAAACAAUCAUGUACAAAGUUCUAGACAAUCAUGUACCAAGAUCUAAAAGAUUUUUGUUGAAGAUUGUGUACCAAGAUCUUUUAUAUUUGGUACAUGAUCUUGUACCAACAUCGUAUAGAUUUUGUACACGAUUAUGUAUAAAGAGCUAGACGAUCGUAUACAGAGAUUUAAAGCUUUGGUAUAUGAUCCUUUAGAUCUGAAAGAGGAAAUAUAUGAGAGAUGACAAAAAUUGUUCACCAAAUGGAGAUUUGAAGCAGUGAAAAAGAAAGACAUAAAGGAAAGAAUAAUAAUAAUCGUGGAACAAUGACAAUGGUUUUGAAAAAAAUAUAAAAAAAAAAUCCAAAAAAAAAAGGAGAUGGAAGAUAAUGAAAAGGAAAAAGGAAGAAAUGAAAGUCUAAGUAUUUAAAACAAUCAAAUCGACUAGAACAAACCUGUAUUAUUUUUAAAGAAAGGGUCGACUUCAUGAACUUUUGUAUUAUUUUUAAGGAAAGGGUCGACUUCAUGAACUUUUAGAUUAUUAGAUUAUUGGUGUUUGGUUAUGUUUAUAAAAAGUAACCUUAUAAAAAAAGAAAGAGAGAAUUCAAGAGUAAAAUAUUAUUGAUUAUUCAAUAUGUUUCCAAUUGAAGUUGUUCUUCCUUAUCAAUUUUGGGAUAGUUGUACAUUAAUUAAUAGUUAAAUCAUCACAUCAUGCUAAAAAUAGGCUCAUCCCGUCAACAUUCAAAUUGUUUCAAAGAAUAUAUUCACAGCGAAUAAAUAACUAGUUUUUUUAAAGAUAUACUUUUCUCCCCUUGAGUUUAGAUUCCAAAUUAAUUUGGAUUAGGUUGAGUUUAAUAUCCAUUUGGAUUAACUGUUUUUUACUUUAAAAUUUAUGCAUGAUUCAGUUGAUCUUCUUAAUAGUUUGUAUGUUUUUGUGUACAAGUUGUCGCCACAUGCCCGAGACGACGCGGAGCGGUCGACAUCUUUAAAAGUGUUAGUUUUAAAAUGAAAUAAGAGUCGCCACCAAUCUUUUUUUACGGUGCGAUUGAAUACUGAAAUACAAUAAACAACUUUUAAAAAAUGGUCUGCGAAAAAUAGAAUUGAGUUCGGGAGUCAUUUGUGUGUGGGGAAGGUAUUAGCACCCCACAACACCCAUUUAGGAAAACGAUGACCAAAUUUAAAAUCUUGAAUUGAAAAUAUUUUUAAAUUUAUUUUAAAACUAUUGUUUUAUUUCAUCCCUCGUUACUCCAAUAUUUGAAGCAAUGAUCUCAUAAAAUAAGUGGAAUUAUAUUUCAUUAAUUAGACUAUAUAUUGAAUGAGAGUUUCUCACCUUAAGAAAAUGAGAAAUUAUUACAAUUUCUCAAAAUCUAUCGUAGGCUAGUCUUUGAAUAAAGAUUUUUUUUUUAAAACAUUGAUUAAAUUCAUUUUUUAUUGGGAUCGAAUCUCGGACUUCCAAAGAUGUGAUCCCUCACCUUAAAAAUUCUAGGAAAUCAGACUCCCAAAUUUCCUAGAUUCCAUCAUAGGAGUAUUUUUAGCGAAAUAGAAGUUAGUUAUUAAAAAAGUUGAUUAAGGAAAACAUAUGAAAUAUAGAUUUAUAUUUUUAAAAAAAUUAAAAGGAAUAGUUGUAAAUUAAAAAUUUCUCAACAGUUAAAAAAGGAAAUUUAAUAAAGAUCUUCAAAAUUAGGUCAAUAGAAAAUAAUGCACAAUAGAAUCAAAUAUAAUAUACCCUAAAUUAAGAUAAAAUUUUAUUUUUUAAAAAAAGUAUUGGAAAUCGAAUCUUGGAUUCCCAAAGAACCGAUUCCCUCAUCUCAAGAAUUUAGAAAUAACGGACUUCGAUAUUUCUAAUUCCAUCGUCGGAUUUGUUUUUAGAAUGAAAAAAUGUAAAAAAAAAAAUAUGAUGUAAGGAGAAAAAAAAUUAAAUAAUUGAUAUGAAAUACCAUGAUAAUAUUGCAAAGUGUAAAAAAUAUUCAUAAAUUUAAUAUUACAUGAUAAUAAUUAUUAUGCAUGCAAGAAAAGCAAGUUAAAAAAAAUAAAUAUACAAGGAAAAUACAACUGGUAGACAACUACAACAAAUAAAUAUAUAAAUAAUAAUAAAAAAGAUAAAAGGAAAAAAAAGGACGUUUUUUUUUUAAACCUUGCCGCCACCAUAUAUAUAAUAAUAAUAAUGAUGACGAUAAUAAUAAUAAUAAAAAAAUAUAUAAAAGUAUUAACCGUAAAAGAAAAGAAAAAAAAUAGAUUUUCAAAUCCCAAAUAAAAUUUACUCGUCGAUGAGGUGCGGAUCGGAGUAAAUCCCUACCACAUGAACCUCCAACAAAGUGUAUUUUAAAAUGGAAUUUGAUUUACUAACGAGAAAAAAAAAAAAAAAAGUAAAACACUAACGUAAUGAAAAGAAUAAGAAAACUUACCUUUUUAAGAGAUUCUUUCUAAAAGAUUUUCUAACGUUUUCUAGACUUUUUGUAAGAAAAUUUUCACCAAAGAAUUCUUUGUUAAAAAAACUAUUCCUCCCCUUUUUCAAAUGACAAGGGUCCCUAUUACAAAGGUGUUGCCUUGAUCUUGAAGGUAGCCAAUAGAAAAUAACCUUCCAUUUCUCUAGGGAUCUUAGGCAGUGCUUUAUUUCCAAUUGGGAUGUUCCAAAUUUUGCAAGCAUGGAAAAAUCAACUCAUCAUAUGGAAAUGCGCUACUAAAGAUGACGGAAACAAAUGCUUCAUUAUCAUUUUUUACUUUAUUUUUCUUUACUUUUCAUCUUCAUAGUUCACUUGUUUAAAUGAUGGUAUUGACACAUGGCUGAUAAUGCUCUGCCCCGAGCUGAUCUUAUGCACUUCAUCUUUUCUUUUAGUGGGAUCGUACUUUAAUGAUGUUAACUUCUACUUCUGUAUCAUUCGUAAUCUCUUUCCUUCAAACAUCAUUAUCAUAAUAUGAGAGGCAUUUUAUCACAGUAUGGAACAGUCAAAACACUGGUGACAUUUCCUUACUCACUCAGAAGUGGUUGCCUCCGAUCAAUAUUUUUUUUUUUUACAUCCUUAAGGAUAUUUCUUAAAAGUGGUUAAUGCUUCAUUUUAUACACGGAAGAUUUAAAUGGUACGAGACCAAACUAAUAAUGUCCUUAUAAUUUUUCAAUACUUGCACACUUGAGAGAUAUCCAACUACAUAUACCAAAGAGCAGUUGAGCUCAAUUAGGCUAUCGUCUUAUUAACAAACAACUAAAAAAGGUGGGAUCAGGAGGCGCACCAGAACAUCUCAACUAGGUUGACACCUUCGUCAUACCACAUACUUAAUAAAAAAAUAUGCUCCUUAUCAUGAGAUCAAAUAGUGACAAAACGUUCUUGGAACUGGUGAAAAGAAAUUGUCAUUGUGGAAGUGGAUUGACAUCCUUCAAUCGUAUAUAAUGAAAUGACUUUCAUUAAACUUUCCAAAUUUUAGCCUCUUGAACUUGGGUGUUGUAAUGAUGAUGUCUAAGACUAGACACAAUUGUGUCGCCUUAAUUUCUUCAUAAAUGUUGUUCUUUAUUACACUUAAUCUCUCUUCUAGAAACUUUGAUAUAAACUUCUUUUGAGAUUUGUCUUCAAAGGUCUUCAUGUCAGUUUUCUCAUUCACCGUAGAAUCUAAGUCAUUCAAAUGGCACAUUUUUUGUGGAGCUCGACCACACUCUUUGUGUCAAGUAUGCCCUCAAGUUUAACCAAUGAUGAAUCUAAUAGUUUUUUUAGCAGUAAGAGCAUGUGGGUAUAAGGAGAAACAUCGUUUGAAGGUUGGUUCUAUACCAAUUUCACUUAUUUGAAUGCCCCUGCUAGUGGUCUAUCCUUAAUUUAAGCGAGAGACUUUAAAACCACUACCACUUGUCCUUUUAACACUUUGACACAUCUUUCCUGGUUACUUACACUUGGUUGGAAAACUUUUCCAUGACCUCGACCAAUAAUGAAUGAUGGGUGAAAAUCUUUUCCACUAUUUGUAAAAUCUUUGACUCUUUUGAUCUUUCUAAAGAGAGAGAAUGGUUAAAUUAUUUGAAGUUAUUUAUUAGAGUGAGGUUUAUGCAUAUGAAAUUUCAUCAACAAUGCAACAAUUAUCAUUCUAAAGUGAAUAAAAAUGACUACUAAUAUUUUCAAGAAGAAAUAGCUAAAUGCAAUGACAAAGGAGAUUUUAAAAUAAAAUACUAGCCAACAACUUAAACAUACAUACAAGUAUGUGUUGAUAAACAUAUGAUUAUAAUGCAUGAUAAAGAAAUUACUCUUAGUGUUUGAUCAUGCAAGUAAAAAGAAUAAUGAUGAGAUAAUAGCAUAAUAUAACACUAUCCAUGAUAUAUAUAUAUAUUGCUUAAAAGAAAAUUUUCUUUUUGACAGUUAUUCACACUAUUUAAGCUUAUAUUUAAAAAAAUCAUUAACGUUAAAGUAUUAUUAGUUAUUUAUUAAAUGAGACAACAAAAAUACCUUAGUAAAAAUGUGAUUUCUAAUGAAGACAUCAAAAUUUACUUAAUGCAGAUCAAAUGGAUAAAAAUAUGGUUAUAUGAGAUGAAAAAGUUAAUAGAUAAAACUCAACUCAAAAGUUUUAUGAAACCCAAAAGUUUUAUUAAUCAAUUAUUUUAAGCAUAUAGUGAUUUAAGGGCUUCUCUUUCAAUUAAUUAGUCAAAUUUGUUUCAUGGCUAUCAAGUAAAAUGUCCAAAUUUAUUUUAAGAAAAUUGAAAAAUUAAAUUUUUUUAUUAUUUUAUUGGAUUAUUUUUUUCUUUGAAAAUAUUUGCCCAUUUUUAAAAUAACUUUUAAAAUAUUCACACAUCAAUAAAUAUGCAUGUUAUUUCACAAAAAUAAAAUGAAGAAACAAAAAUGAAAGUUACACAAUAGGCUUUCCUUUUCUUUUCUUUUUUUUUUUCUUACAAAUUCUUCUUAUAUGAUCAUAUUUUUUAGUAUUUCAAAAAAUCGUUUUUAGUAUUUCAAAUGAUCAUCCUCAAAAAUUUAGUUUUUAAUGCUAAUGUUAUUUAAUUGUGGCAUGAUUUUUUUAUUUAGAUUUAAAUAGUUAAUAUAUUAAAAAAAUUAUUAAAUGAUACUAAAUUACUUAAUAUAUAUUCUUUUUAGGGAAAUUUUUUUGGAUAAAUAUGUAUUUCAAAAACUUUUUUUUAAAAAAAAAAAAAAAGUGUUCAACCUUUGAAAUAUAUGAAGAAAAGUUGUUGAAAUCUCUUUAAAAUAUUUUUUUUUGAAAUAUGAAAAAAAAAACUAUAUAAAACUUCAACAAAUUAUUGAUAUGUCAAUUGAUUAAGAAAAAUCGAAAUUGGCAAAUGAAAUAUUGUUAAACUAAAAAAAUUUAUUCAAUUGUGAUAAUUGAACAAACAUAAGUAAAAAAAAUCAAUCAAUGAAAUUAAAAGGAUAUACAUGUGUAAAUGCAUGUGUAAAUGCAUGUUGUAAAAUUGACGUUAAUUCUAAAAUUCCUAAAUGAUAAACGUUCCUAAUUUGGUCAAAGUCAUACAUGACGAAUUGACCAAGUUGAGUGAGAAUUUUUUGUGUGCCUGCACGGAAGCAUGAGCUUCUCGAAGGUCAACACUACUCCGUUCACAAUUCUAAUCUUAUGAAGGUAAAGCCUGGGUAGGAGGCUCGUGAUUGUGUGUGUAAUAGUUAAAUGCACAAUAACUACACACAAUAAAUUAGAAUAAAAUUAAAGAAUAAAAUAAUUAAGAUAAAAGAAAAAAUGGCCAAACUCUCGAGGUAAAGCCUCAUGUCCCUAGUGGAGUCGCCAUGCUGUGAGGAUCAAAGCUCCACCGAUAAUGCCAAGAACUUAAACAAUAAGUUAAUGAAAGAUUUAUUUAAUCAGUUUAAAAUUAAGCACUCUAAUUCUACCCCGUACUGCCCUAAGAUGAAUGGAGCAGUAGAGGCGGCAAAUAAAAAUAUCAAAAAAAUCAUUGAAAAGAUGACUGUCACAUAUAAAGAUUGGCAUGAGAUGUUACCAUUUGCAUUACACUGUUACCGAACGUCAGUUCGCACAUCAAUUGGGGCAACUCCUUUUUCUUUGGUGUAUGGCAUGGAAGCUGUUUUGCCUAUUGAGGUCGAGGUGCUAUCCCUCAGGGUAAUUAAAGAAGCGAAACUAGAAGAAGCUGAAUGGACACGAGCAAGGUACGAAGAAUUAAACUUCAUAGAAGAGAAAAGGUUGACUACGUUGUGUAGAGGACAACUUUAUCAGAAGAAAUAAAUGACUCGUGCAUACGAUAGAAAAGUUCGACAACGUUGUUUUCAAGAAGGGGACUUGGUCUUAAAAAGGAUCCUACCAUUUUAAAAAGAUCAUAGAGGAAAGUGGACCCCUAAUUAUGAGGGACCAUACGUAGUAAAAAAGGCAUUCUCUGGUGGAGCUUUGAUCCUCACACAAGUUCUUAGUCAAAUUAAGAAAAAUGAGAACAAGUUUUUAUGAACAAUCAUUUUAGUUUUAAAAAAUUGACCUUGUUUUCAAAGACAGGAUAAAAGGUAGAUAAAAGAAUAAUCAAAUUUAGAGAUAAAAGAGUUGUUUGUGGACUAGCAAAUGUGGAGAGUUUUCAAAUCCACUACUACAAAAACAGGCUCUCUUGACGUUUGCAGUUUUCCUUUCUUGAUGUGUUUUUUGAAAAACGUCAAGAAAGAUUUCAUUUUUAAUAAAAAACGUCAAUAAAUUUUCUGAAACAACUUUCUUGACGUUUUUAAAACAUCAAGAAAUAUCUAUUAAUUUUUUGACGUUCUUAAAACGUCAAGAAGCGUAUGAAUUCAACAUGUUUGACAUUUAUUAAACGUCAAGAAUUUAAAGUUUUAAAAACGUCAAGAAAUUUAUAAAAAAAUUAAUGAUGUUUUUUAAAUGUCAAGAUAAUUUCUAUAAAAAUCCUUGACGUUUUAAAAAAUGUCAAGAAAUUUUAAAAAUAUUCUUGACGUUUUUAAAACGUCAAGAAUGUUUUGAAAAUUUCAUUCGUAAAACGACGACGUUUUAUUUAUCACAUUUUCCCUUUUCUAAAACCAAUCUGUCGCGCGUUUUUUCAGAAAAUCUCAAACUCUCCCUCGUUUGUUCGUCGUUCUCCCUUCGCGCUAUCACUGUUCAUCAUUCUCCUUCGUGCCUCCGUUCACCAUUGUUCACCGUUCUCCGUUCAUCGUUCACCGUUCACCGUUCACCGUUCAAAACUCGUAAUUACCUUCUCUGUUCGAAAACCCGUGAACACAUUCACCUCUGUACGAAACCCGUAAUCACCUCUAUUUGCCUCCAAAUCCUUUGUAAAAGGUAAUAGUUUCACUUCUUUACUUUGUGAUUAGAACUUGUAAUCUGCAAUUUAAAAUUGGGAUGUGUUUAUUGCCUUUUUUCCCUUUGUGAUUAAAGCUUACAAUCUGUAAUUUCCUUUGUGUUUAUUGCCUUUUUUCCCUUCAUACAAUAAGGCUUAUUAUUUGUGAAUUUCUCACAUUAAUUUACUAGGUUGUGGCAUUGGAAAUUAAUUAGUUUAUGUUUAAAGGUUUAAUUUCUUCUUGUGAUGAACCUAUACACAUCCAUAUGAUUAUUUAAGAAAACCAUUGCUCUUUGAUUUUACUUUAAUUUUUUCUCUGAAUCAAAUAUGUUAAAGUUGAUCAAAGUUGAGGUAUUAUUAUUGGCGAAAGAAGUGCCCACUACUACUUUAACCACAAAAAAGAAAAGGGAAUGGGAAAAAAGAGGGCAUAAAGAAAAUGAAUGAAUGUAGACUUGUUUAGGGAUGAAUUGAGACUUUGGGAAGAGUGAAAUGCUUAGGAAAAAGGAUUGCUUAAAAUAUUUGAAAGAAAUUUGUAGUACGAGUUUUAGGGAUCCUUUGUUGAAAAACUAUCACUUAUCUGAUUUUCUAAGUAAGAGAAGGCUUGUAGAAAAGUUAAAUGUAGACUUGUAGACUUGUAGGAAGUUCCAAUUGAAGAGACGAAGAAGAACAUAGUAAAAUGCUCACAUAGAUUACAGAGAAAACAAAAGAAUUCAACUGGGUUGGUAGGUGCUUUUCUUGUUCCGUAGGCUGGCUGUAACCUUGGUUUUUAAGAAUAUCUUGCCCUCUUGCUGAGUAGGCUGACUGUAACCUUGGUUUUUUUCUUUUAAUCUAGAUAAGUUCUUCGUAGUAAUUACAAGUCUUAUCUCUCUUUGGAUUCUACUAAAAAACUUUGUUUCUUUACUUGCUUAUUGGAUACUUCAUAGUCCAGGUAAAGAACACCUUUAUUACAUUGUUUAAAUUUCUUAAACACUUAAAUUUACAUGUUCCUCAAGUGCCUACAACAACUGUCUGAUUUUUCAAGUGCCUAAGUUGAAAUGUCUGGUCUUAACUUUUCUUCUCUUACUCAAAUAAGUUCUUCUUUUUUC
rnacentral:lncRNA from 1 species